rnacentral:lncRNA from 1 species
AAUGGGAGAGUAUAUACAAUAUGAAGCCUUCUGGAAAGAAAUCAUUUAGUGCUGCUGCAUGCAGAGAAUUGUUGACAAGAUGCAUGGAGAACAUUGACGUAACCAUCAAUAUGGAACAGCCACCAGUUAUUGAUCAAUGGGCAGAGUUCAAGUCAACAAAAUUUCAGAACCAAAAGGAAACUAAUGACAAAGCUGACGAGAAUCAUGAAGAGGAAAUCUCUGAAAUUGAUAUGUUGUGGAAAGAAAUGGAACUUGCCCUGGCAUCUUGUUUUUUUCUUGAUGAUGGUGAGGUAUGACUUCUAAACACGCACAUGCAAAUCCUCAACAAAAUGGUCAACCUUGAACUCUCCAUAUUUUUAACUUCGUCUGUGUCCAUGAUGAUAUUUCUUCCACUAAAAUGUAAGAGAAACACCAUGACGAUUUAAAGAUUUACAGGAUUCUCAUGCAUUUCCAACUGAAGUGAAACUGUCAACUGAGAAAGGUAGAACAGGAUGCAACCAUGAUUAUCGACUCAACGAAGAAAUUGGAGUUAUUUGCCGGCUGUGCGGAUUUGUGAGCACAGAAAUGAAGGAUGUAUCACCCCCAUUUGUAAGUCAAUUAAGAUUUGAUGAAAGAGUUAUCGAAUAUGUCAAAAGCAUGAACCAAUCUUUGCAUACAAACUUAAACAACCAGAAUGGUGUAGCUUAAGAUGUUAGUGGUACUGUAUAGCUUGUACAAGAAAGAAUGAAUGUGUUCCGAGUCUUUUAAAUGGUAAUCCCGUGAAAAUAGCCUUGCAUGCUUAAAUAAGGGCCAACUGGAUUUUAUAUUUUUUGCCUUCUUGAAGAAGGGCCAACUGGUUAUUUGGAUGAUAUGCCAUUUGUCUCUAGGGACUAAAUGAAACCAUCAUGCUGCCCGUGAACUCUUUUACGUUCGAGGUCACUUGUUUUCAUGCAAAACUUCAUUAUCUUGAUUGGUUCUCUGUUACUACCUUGGCAGUGGUCAUCCGCAAGAGGGUUUGUACACUAGGAGCAAAGGGCUGAAGAAAAUUCAGAGCAUAAGCCAAAUGGAGCUGGAGGCCUCGAUAAUUUUCAUGUUCCAGCUUCCUCCAAGGCACCUUUAUCAGAAGGAGAAGUGGAGACAACGUAUGGGCUUUAAUUCCUGAUCUUAGAAGUAAAUUGCGUGUCCACCAAAAGCGAGCCUUUGAAUUUCUCUGGAGAAACAUUGCUGGAUCUUUAGUACCAGCCCUUAUGGAAGAAAAGAGCAAAAGGAGAGGUGGUUGUGUUAUUUCUCAUACACCUGGAGCUGGCAAAUCUUGUUGAUUAUAACUUUCCUUGUCAGCUACUUGAAACUAUUUCCACGUUCUCGACCUUUGGUGCUCGCGCCUAAGACAACACUUUAUACAUGGUACAAAGACGUAAUAAAGUGGAACAUUCCUAUUCCCUUUUACCAGAUUCAUGGUGGCCAAACAUAUAAAGGUGAAGUAUUAAGGCAAAGAUUGCGCUCAAAUGCAAGUCUUCCUCGAAACCAAGAUUUUAUGCAUGUCUUAGACUGGCUGGAAAAGAUGCAGAAGUGGCUUUCCCAUCCCAGUGUCCUUCUCAUGGGCUAUACCUCAUUCCUGACAUUGACGAGAGAAGGUUCAAAUUAUGCUCACCGGAAACAUAUGGCCCAGGUUUUACAGCAGUGUCCGGGGAUUCUAAUACUUGAUGAAGGGCACAACCCAAGGAGUACGAAAUCAAAGCUAAGGAAAGCUUUGAUGAAAGUUAAUACGAAACUCAGAGUAUUACUCUCGGGUACACUAUUUCAGAAUAAUUUUGGGGAGUAUUUCAACACUCUUUACUUGACAAGACCAAACAUUGUGAAAGAGUUGUUGAAAGAGUUGGAUCCGAAGUACAAGAGGAAACAAAAGGGUCCAAACAAUCGCUUCUCCCAAGAAAAUAGAGCGAGAAAAAUGUUCACUGAUAAAAUUUCAAAGCUGAUCGACUCAAAUAUACCUGAUGAAAGGUUGGAAGGUAUAAAUAUUUUGAAGAAUCUGACUGAUGGAUUUAUAGAUGUAUAUGAAGCUGGGAGCACUGACAAUCUCCCUGGUUUACAAUGCUACACAUUGAUGAUGAAGUCAACCUCUCUUCAACAAGGAAUUUUGGAGAAGCUUCAAAAUCAAAGGCGUGUUUACAAAGGUUUCCCAUUGGAACUAGAACUAUUAAUCACUCUUGGGGCAAUUCAUCCUUGGUUGAUAAGAACAACUGCUUGUUCUAAUCAAUAUUUCAGUGCGGAAGAAUUGGAGGAUCUUGAAAGAACUAAAUUUGAUGUCAAAUUUGGUUCAAAGGUCAGAUUUGUUAUGAGUCUUAUACCCAAGUGUGUGUUUAGAAGGGAGAAGGUCUUGAUCUUUUGCCAUAACAUUGCUCCAAUCAAUCUGUUUCUUGAGCUAUUUGCUACCGUUUUUAACUGGCAAAAGGGCAAAGAAGUGCUAGUGCUUCAAGGUGACAUUGAACUGUUUGAGAGAGGGAGGGUGAUGGAUAAAUUUGAGGAGCCUGGUGGACCAUCAAAGGUUAUGUUGGCAUCUAUUGUGCUGAAGGGAUUAGCUUAAUUGCAGCAUGACGAGUAAUAUUGAGGAUCCUUCUCAUUGGCAAGCACAAAAAAUUGAAGACGAACUAUUGAGGGAGAUAGUGGAGGAAGAUCGAGCUACAUUAUUUCACAGGAUAAUGAAGAUUGAGAAGGCAUCAAGCGUGAUCAGAGGUAAAGAAUCAUAUAACAUUCCAUUACUAACGGCUGUAAAAUAAUUUUAUGCAAAUUUAAGAACCUGACCUUUUUCUGUCUUCUGUUUUCCGGCAUCUUUUCUUUUCUUUAGAAGGGGAAGGAGGAAGCGUGAGGGGAGAAUUGGGUGCAUGAGAAUCAAACUCUGGUUUCUCAUUUCUUUAUAUACAUUAUUUUCGUCCGGUCCUUGAUCCUCUAAUGUAGCUUAAUUCAUCGCAUUGGCGAAGAGGAUGAGUGGUAAAAUUUCUACCAUCUCGUCUUGAUUUGAAAUAAUCCUGGCAGAACUAGGUAUUAUCUCCAUGCACGUUGAAACAAGCAUUAACAAAACAUAAUAAUGAUAACAAUAAUAAUAAAAACCCUGGAGUUUAUAUAUAGCUCCUAGCUUCUAUAAUGUAUUAACCCUUGACCUGACUAACCAAAGUAUAUCAGAUUAAAAGAUGAAAAACAAAGGAAAAUUGUCAACCGCCAUCUCCUUUACACACGGCAAAAGAAGUAAAUUAAAAUAAAUAAAUAAAUAAAUAAAGCUGAUGUUUGGCACAUUAUCGAAGUUAUCAUAGUCAUCUAACUCAAGUUCAAAAAGGAAUUAUAAGAAAGGAUUAAACAUCACUUCUCUGAUAGAAUAACUAGACUUUUUGAGAUUUAGAAUCAUACGUUGCACAAGUUCAUUGCAAAAUCAGUAGAUACAAGGGAGGGAAAUUUCAGAAAAAAAAUAAAAACAAAACGCUGCAGAGAUUCAGGUUUCAUCCUACCCAAGCUGAUUUUCGUUUGUCGAGUUUCCAUGCAUGCACGUCAAAUUCAUGAAAAGAAUUUGGUAGGAAAUUUUCUACGUUAUACGAGCCAUGACAAAAAUGCGACAUGUAUCUACUUGAGAAGGUUUACUGUUUUCUUUCUUUCGCACAUGUACAAUUGCGAGGACUACGUGCAUGGAUCAAUUAAAAAAAAAACCCUAAAACACGAUGGUCAAAUGAUUAUAUUAUAUCCAUCCUUUUUAAAUAAAUAAAAAACUACUUUGGUAAAUUAUCUGCAAAGUAACACAGUUCACAUAACAUCAAGGAAUCAAUUGCACAUGGUUAAAAACGUGCAAAACAGUAGACAUAAUAGAGUAGUAUGUUCUUUACAUCAAGCUUAAACCAAAGCUUAUGGAAAAAGAAAUGGUCAAAGUUUAAUUGUUGGGGCAAAGUGUGAGAUUUGAUAUGCAAAAGAAAAACUUCAAAACCAGUAAAAAGCAGUACGAAAAAGCUUUUAGGUUCAGUAUAGGCCACCUGAGUCUCCGCAUUUGCUUCUCAUGCACGUCCAAUAUCCCAAGUCUCACGGAUAUAUAUAUAUAUAUAUAUAUAUAUAUAUAUGUAUAUAUAUAUAGAUAUACAUGAUAUGGAAAAAAAGAAUGAAAUUAUUGCUGUAAGAAAACGUUUCUAUACUGACUAUUUCAUGUUAAAUACGAUAAAUUUUGGUAUGAUAAAUGAAUUUCCACUGUUUACUUUAAUCAUGUUUAAUAAUGGAAAAGCCUUGGCGGUGAGAUAGUUUAUUUGAUCCUUAUGAUCACAAGUUAUUGUCUAAAAGGGUCUCUUAUGAUCACAAAUGAAGCACUAGGAACUGUUUGCUAGAGAUGAAUUUAAUAUAAUCGAUGACCAAAAUAUGCACUCUCUGAAAAACUCCGGCUCUUUUUUCUUUUUAAUUGACCCCAGAAAGCUUGUGCCUGCUCAUGAAAUCACAGCAAAUAAAAAAUUUGGAAAAAUUAUAGGUAUUUCUUUGGGCAUGAAAAGUGGAAAAAAUUUUGAUGUCUUCAAAAUUAAGCAAUUGCGUACAAGAAUCACUCUUUCAGAGAAGUUUUAAGUUAAGCAUGAGUGAAAUUUUUGAUAACAAUUUUGGAUUUAACUUGUACUGCCCCACACGGAAUCCUCAGUGCCACUUUUCCAGUGGCAAUUCAGUGCCACUUCUAUAUUUAUGCCAAGUGUCCUGUUUAUUUAAUUUGUCAUGUGCUGUUUAUUUAAAUUUCUUCUACCAUCACAUGGUAAGUGGAAUUGGCACUGAGUAGUGGUAUAGAGGAUCUCAACUGGUACUGCCCAGCAAGUGACAAUUUAAGAAUAUAUAAAUCUUAAAUAAAACAUUUAAAUAAGGAAUAUCACAACAGGAAAUGAAAUACCAAAUUAGUGAAACUUAGGGUUUGUUUGGAAGGCAAGUUUUUUGCCUAUUUUUUCUCAUAUAAGUUUUUUAACAAUUUCAUCUACCGUAAUCUUAAAAAACUCCCCAAAAUUUUAAAAUAAACACACCAAAUAUACAAAAACAGACAAAAAAUUUUUCCCUUCUUACUCAUCCUUCCUCCCCACACCUCAAUCUACCAUCACCUCCACCGUUGGCAGUCGCCGACAACCACCUUCACGGGCAUUGGUGUUGGGGCUGGCAUUGACAUCUCUCUCUCCUUCUCCCUUCCUCCCUUCCUCCCUCCUCUCCCCCUCCUCCUUCUCUUUUCUCUUCUCCCCCUACCCCCUCCCCCACCUCCUUUUCUUCAUCUCUCUCCUCUUCCCUUUUUCCCCUUCUGGGUGGUGAUUUUUAGGAUCUAGAUUGCGUGCGACUACAGUAGCAACCAUAACUAGCAUUUAAUGGCCGAAAUUGGCUUAGCCAAGAUUGAGCUAGAAGUCGUUUACGGUUGCAAUGAUCUUGAUUUUAGUAUUUAGAACUUUAGUUGUGCUGAAAGAGGAAUCACGAAUUCCUAAAAAAAGUAAGCAUAAUUCAAAUUGAAGAAAAAGAAAGGGCAAGAAAAAGAGAUUGGCACAAGGUUGGCAUUUCCGCUACAACUAGAUUAGGUCUAGAUCCAAAAGAGGGAACAUAGUCUAACCCACAAAUAAAUGAGAGGACUAAGUCCAAUCCAAAACCUAAUCACUGAUGGGGCACAUAGAAGUCAGAAAUAGUGCACACAAAGAGCUAAGUAAGCGUAGUUUAAUCUCUAAUCCAACAGCAUAAACUUUUGAUACCAACUUUCCUUUUUUGGUAUUUUAGGGGUAAGAAUUGUAGCAUUUACCCUAGUGAAAUAUACGGAAAUAACAGAUCCAUCAGCUAGUUUUACUUCUUAAGCUCUGAGUAUGUACUUUUCUAUUAGUUUCAAGUUAGUUGCUUAUUGGUAACAAAUGUUCAUUUUUCACUUUAGCCAAAUUUUAAAUGUAUUUUAAACUUUAAAAAGAACUUGGUUACAAGUGUUGUCAUUUAUAUAUCAUAAAUCUCACUUUCAAGUGUUGUCAUUUAGAUAUCAUAAAUCUCACUUUAAUCUAGAAGUAUUCAUCUACCAGCAUAUCUCUAUUACAACAGUUAUUCUUUCACAAAAUUUAGGGAUGUUUAGGUUGCAAUUUCUCGUCCUCGUUUUUGUUUGUGAGGUACUUUCGUAAAGGUGGUCUUUAAACUUCCUUUUCCUAACAUCAAGAUUGCAUGUGAUAGACCUUCUAGUGAAGUGCCUUGGAUAGCCAACUCCAAUGGAAAAUUCUCAAGACGAUCAGCCAACCCCAAUUAAAUCUAUCAAAGUUUACAAGCCUAACACACAACUAAUCUUAAUUAAGAUUACAAUGUUUGUAAAUAUUUUUAAAAUUUUUAAAUAAUGAUAUUGUAUACACCAUUACCAUUGGAUGUAUGACAACUCAUUUGAAUAUAAAUUUAAAAUCCAAAUUAUGCUCAUAUGUCAUACAUCCAACCAUGAUAGUAUAUAAAUAAAAAUUUUUAUUAUAUUCCUUCUAAGUACUCUAUUUCAUCUCGUAUUUCAUAGGUAUAAAUAAAAUGGAUACACAUAUAGAGUACAAAAUGUACAUCUUUCUUUUCUAUUAUUAAUAUAUUAAUAAAAACUCAGCAAAGAAAGUUAAGUUAACUUUCAAAUGACUAAAUAUAUACAUCGGGACGUUUCUUAGUAAUGGCUAGUGUGAUUUAUAAUUUGAAAUAGAUUAAUUAAUAUUAUCCUUGUAAAAUCUAUGUAAAAGGAAAAAAUGAAGGAGCUCCAUCUAAGAACUUCUAAUUGAGAUAGGAAUAAACACUAUGUUACCAAAAUAAAAAGCUAAUUUUGAAUCAAUCCAAAGUUUAAAAUAAACAAGGUUUAUAAGAUUAAAAAGGUCCAUUAUGCACCUCAUGGCUAUGUCAUAAUAGAUCUUAACACUUACCCCAGAUCGACUUCUUGAUGAUAAUUGCUCUAGUGAAUAAUUAGAGAAAAUGGAUAGAUGGAAGAUCAAAAAAUAGAAGAGAAAUAAACUAAUUAUAUAAAUAUCUUAUUUGACUUUUGGCAAAUUUCUUUGUAUGUGUUGUCCAGAAAGAGGAGAAUUCAAUGAUUAUUCAUUCACCGAAACCAGAAGUAAAAAUAGUGGUAGAUAGGGAUCCUAUAAAAACUUCUUUCGAGGAAUGAACAAAACCAAGUCAUUUUUCAAAAACAAUAGCUAAAGGACCUAAGACUACCACUUGGAUUUGGAAUCUACAUGCUGAUAUUCAUCAUUUCAAUAGAAAUACCAUUAAUUCGAAGCAAAUUUCUAGAAAAGUAUUUAAUGCCCAUUUCGGCCAACUCUUCGUCAUCUUUAUUUGGCUAAGUGGCGUAUAUUGUCACAGUGCCCGUUUUUCCAAUUAUGAAGUGUGGUUGAUCCAACUCAUAUUCGGCCUAGUGCCCAAGUGGUUUGAUCAAUAGUGAGACACUAUCACGGUUGGAUGUAUGAUACAUCCAAAAUUUGAAUUAAUAAAGAUUACAUCACUAUCAACGCACAUAAUAUUUACUCUUUAACAAAAAAAUUGAUAUUUUAUAUGCUGACAGUGUAUACAUCAUCAUCAUUCAAUGCAUGACAACCUAUCUAAAUUUAAAUUUAAAAUCUAAAUUUUGCUCAUAUGUCAUCCAUCCAACCGUAAUAGUAUAUAAAUUAUUGUGUAUAAGAUUUACUCUUUGAUAAUGAUUAAUUUUUUUAGAUAUUAAAAGGAACUAUAUGAAUUCUUAAGAAAAUUACAACUAAAGACAGCCAAUUAUAUGUUAAAAGUUUUGAAUUGUGUACUUCAAGUCCAAGUCUCACAUUUAGUUCUACAAGGCCAUAAUCUAAAUUGCUGGAUUCCUAUCCAAGCCUCACAUGAUAGUAAGAUAAUUGUGCAUGUUAUUUAUUAAUAUUUUAUCUUAAUUUUGGCAAAAUAUUAUGCUAAUUGAUGGAUUUUGCUUAUAUUUGGUGUUUUGUGUUGUUUAUAGGACUUUGAAGUAGAAAAUGGCACUUCAAGUUAAAAUUUUCAGAAAACUAUUUGCUCCAAAGCAUGCCCAUGCCAGAGAUUGAGAAGUUGAAGAUUGGACAUGGGAUUCAUAAAUUAUCUCUGAAAUUUGGAAUUAUCUUUUGCACGUUUUGUUAGGAGUCUUUAUUAUAAUAGGGAACUUGUUUAGUUAGUAUUUUAUUUUGGGAAAAGUUAGUUUCAGAUAAAUUUUUGAACUAGAUUAGGAUAGGAAACAAAGGAGAAAUUAAUCUACGGUUUGAGAAAAAGAAGGAAGACAAGAUUUGAUCAAUCACUCGGGAAGGAAGAUCAAGGAGGACCUUUUCUUAUUAAGCUCCUUCGUUACUUGAUGAGAGAGUAUCGUGACUAGUAGUUCAACCUCUCAUUCGCACUUUAAAAAUAACAUUUAGUAGGUUUCUUUCUAGUUUUGCAAGUUUUACAAAACAAGACUUGUAGAAAGACUUUCAUAGAGAUUUGUGGCAGUGCUUUCUUCAGGGAGCAAAACUAAAUUUAUGUCUAGUUGAGGAGUAAUCAGGCAUAGUUUCAUGAUCAAUUGUGAGAUCUUUUAAUUUUUUUCCUGUUCUUUAUUUUAUAUGUUCAUGAGUAUUUAAUUAUAUUCUGUAUUUUAAUGAUUACUAUCAUUUGGGUUUAAUUGAAUAAUUUGGACAACUAUUCAAUUGUCUGAAUGAUUUAAUGCCAAUUAAGACAUCAAGUUCACAAUACUUGAUAGUUUGAUAUUAGUGGCAAAUAACACAGUUUCACUACCUCACAAGUAGUCUAAUUUGUAUCAUGGGAAUAAUUAAUCUAGUUUAAAUGAACUUGUAUGUGUAUUUGUUAACUAGAAUUAGGUCUCUCUAAAUUUUAAAAUUGUAAAUAGAUUAAAUCUUAUGAGCAUCUCUAAAAUUAUCUACUUUACAAGGGAAGUAGUUAAUGAGCGUCUCUUGACUGUCGAGAAAUUAAGGAGGGAUUGGUAGUUCGGGGGUUGUUGAAUUGUUAUAACCAAUUAAUUUGUGAACAUAUAAGUUAUUUCUGAUAUCAAUGAUCAAUUGAGUGAAUCGUUGCGAAGAUUAUUUCCUUGACUAGAUUUUGAUAAUUAAUUUAUUCUAUUGCAUUACUUUAUUUUAUUUUAUUAUAUUUUCAAAGAAAUUCUAUAACCUUUUCCCCCUCCAAUAUCCAGUGCAUUUCUCUGUGAGUAAUAAAUCUACUAGUUCCCUAAGGAGACGAUCCUACUCAUCACUAUGCUCAUUAACUUUUGGGGAGUAGGUAAUUUUAUUUUUGGUGGUUUGACACCCACCAAUUUUGGCGCCGUUGCCGGGGAACUAGUGCUUGAAAUUAUUUGUUACUUUACAUUUUGAUUAUUUUCUAUUUUAUGCCUCGAUCUUCCCAUACAGGAAAGCUUGAAUUUGAUCCGGAGAUCAGGAAAAGAACCAAGAGAUUGGCUAAGGAAGCUAAAUUGCGUAAGCAAUAAGAUUCAUCACCAUCUUCUCCUGGACUUGACUUUGGUUGUUGAGUUAAGCAGAUCAUUUUGUGAUUUGGAAGAGGAUAUAAGGGGAUUGGAGGAAGGGAUGGUAGCUCAAAGGACUUUGAGGGAACUCACAACUCCAAAUGUUAACUAGCAGCCAUUAUGCAUCACAUAUCCUGAAACUAAGGAAGCUUUCGAACUUAAAUUUAGUUUAAUUCAUUUAUUGCCUACUUUUCGUGGUAUUGUAGUUGAAGACCUACACAAACAUUUGAAAGAGUUUCACGUAGUAUGUUCGACUAUAAAAUCUCAAUGUGUUAUGGACGAACAAAUCAAGCUAUGAGCUUUUCCUUUUUCUUUAGCAGACAAGGCUAAAGAUUGAUUGUAUUACUUACCAUCGGGAUCUAUAACCAAAUGGGAAGGACUCAAAAAGCAGUUUCUUGAAAAGUUCCUUUCGGCUUCCAGGGCUGCUAACAUUACGAAGGACAUAUGUGGUAUGAGGCAAACUAUAGAAGAAUCCCUCUACAAAUACUGGGAAAGGUUCAAACAAUUGUGUGCUAGUUGCUCACAUCACCAGAUACCCGAUCAACUAUUGAUUCAAUAUUUUUAUGAAGGAUUGUCACCGAUGGAUAGAACCAUGGUAGAUGCAGCUAGUGAUGGUGCUCUAGUCAAUAAAACAACAGAUCAAGCCACAAGGUUGAUUUCUAAUAUAACUAAAAAUUCUCAACAGUUCAAUGCUAAGACAGAUGGAGUGACUAGAAGGGUAGAUGAGGUAAAUCAUUCUAACCUUGAAAAUCGUCUAUUUGAACUAACUGCUUUGGUUCGCCAAAUGGCUGUAGGACAAUUGUAGGCGGCUAAAGUAUGUGGGAUUUGUAUUGUUCCCGGACAUCCAACUGACUUGUGUCUAACUCUUCAAGACGAUUCUCAUGAACAGGCAAAUGCUAUGGGAGGUUUUUCAGAACCACCGCAAAGGAGAAAUGACCCGUAUGGUCCUCCAUAUAAUCCAGAGUGGCAAAAUCACCCCAACUUCAGCUAGCUUCAAAACCGCCAGGUUUUCCACAACCCUUUCAAGCGAGACCACUAGCGUAGCAACCAUCAACUUCUAAUACAGGUAUGUCACUUGAGGAUAUGGUCAAAUGCAACAAGAAUCACAGAGAUUUCAAUAAGAAAGCCGAGCCAGCAUUCGAAAUUUGGAGACACAAGUUUCGCAACUUGCAUAUUCAAUGAACAAUUUUGAGAAUAAUAAAAGUAAACUACCAGCUUAGGGUAUUUUGAAUCCAAAGGAGAGUGCAAAUGCAAUGACCCUCCGUAGUGGCAAGGAAAUACAGUCCUCGAUACCAUAAGCAAGAAAAAUUAAUGAAGAAAAAUUGAAUGAAGAGCUUGAGAAGAAAGAGCCUUCAACUGAAAAAGUAAGACAUAAAUACGAUGUUUCUAAAAUACUUGAAAUUGACCCUCCUUUUCCUAGCAGGAUGGCUAAAACAAAGAAGGAAAAAUCUGAGAAGGAAAUCUUGGAGACAUUUUGAAAAGUUGAGAUUAAUAUCCCUUUGCUUGAUGCGAUUAAGCAAUUACCUAAAUAUGCAAAAUUUCUGAAGGGAUUGUGCACUAACCAGAAUAAACUUAAUAAUGAUGACAGAAUAAGGGUUAGUGAGAAUGUGUUAGUAGUCCUCCAAAAGAAGUUGCCUCAAAAGUGCAAGAAUUCAUGUAUGUUCACAAUACCAUGCAUUCUAAGCAACAAAAGAAUAGAAAGAGGUAUGCUUGAUUUAGGAGUAUCUAUUAAUGUUAUGCCUUUAUCAAUAUUUAAAAUCUUAAAUUUAGGACCUCUUAAGGAUACAAGGCUAAUAAUUCAACUAGCUGAUAAAUCUAAUGUUUAUCCUGAAGGCCUAGUUAAAGAUGUUCUAGUGAAAGUUAAUGAACUUAUUUUUCCUACUAAUUUUUACAUUGUUGACAUAGAUGAUGACUAUUUUGUCAAUUCAGCUUUAAUUCUCUUGGGUAGACCAUUUAUGAGUAUUGUUAGAACAAAAAUUGAUGUGUAUGAAGGUACUUAUCUGUAGAGUUUGAUGGAGACAUAGUUACCUUCAAUAUUUUUGAUGCAAUGAGAUACCUAGAGAAUAUUGAAUCUGUUAAUUAUGUUGGUAUUACUAGUUCCAUUGUGCAAGCUAAUUUUGAGCAAAAUUUUAUGGAAGAUAAGCUGGAAUUUGUGUUACAGCAUAGCAAGACAAAAGCGGAAGUAGAACUUGAGGAUGAGGAAGCUAUACAAGAAGCAAUUACGGCUCUACAAUCACUUCCUGAAUUUCCUGACAAGUUAGUUAACUCAUUUUUGCAAUUACCACCCUUGAUUGAGAAAAUCUUGCUUUCUGUUGAAUAGGCACCCAAGUUGGAUUUGAAAGAAUUACCAGAGCAUUUGAAAAAUGCUUAUCUAGGAGAGAAUCAAACCUUGCCUAUCAUUAUUGCAAGUGAUUUGACAAUGGUUCAAGAAGAAAAACUUUUAUGAGUUUUGCAAGAUUUCAAACCUGCUAUCGGAUGAACAUUGGCAGUUAUCAAAGGUAUUAAUCUUUCGAUUUGUAUGCAUCGUGUUUUACUUGAAACAUAUGCAAAGCCAGUAACGGAGCAGCAAAGAAAGCUUAAUCCGGUAAUGAAGGAAAUUCUUAAACUAUUGGAAUUAGGAAUUAUUUAUCCUAUUUCUGAUAGCGAGUGGGUAAGUCUAGUGCAUGUAGUUCCUAAAAAGAUAGGAAUUACGAUUGUUCGAAAUGAGAAAAAUGAGUUAGUGUCGAUGAGAUUUCAAAAUAGCUGGAAAAUGUGUAUUGAUUUCAAAAAUCUGAAUGCAGCAACAAGGAAAUACCACUUCCCCUUACCUUUUAUUGAUAAGAUGCUUGAAAGGUUGCCAGGUAAAUGUUUCUUUUACGUUCUUGAUGGAUAUUCUGGGUAUUAUCAAAUUAGUGCUACUCAGGAAAACAAACAUAAAACUACUUUUACUUGUCCUUUUGAAACUUUUGCUUACCGUCGCACGCCUUUUGGAUUGUACAAUGCCCCAGGUACAUUUCAAAGAUGCAUGAUGAGUAUCUUUUCUGACUUGAUUGAGAAUUGCAUUGAAAUAUUCAUGGAUGAUUUUACCGUUUAUGGCAAUUUUUUUGAUCAAUGUUUGCAUCACUUAACGAAAGUUUUGAAACAGUUUUGAAAACGUUGGAUUUGACAAUGAUUGCAUUCAAAUGAAACAAUUUGGGCCACAUUGUUUCAUUUAGGGGUAUUGAGGUUGAUAAACUCAAGGUCGAUUUAAUUACUAAUUUACCUUACCCUACUAAUAUAAGGGAGAUUCGUAGUUUCCUUGGUCAUGCAAGUUUUUACUAGAGAUUCAUCAAAGAUUUUUCUAAAAUUACACAACCAUUAUCUCGUCUACUUCGAAAGGAAGUGUCAUUCCAUUUUGGAGAUGAUUGUAAGUUGGCAUUCAAGUCGAAAGAAAUGUUGACCACAACACUAAUCAUUCAACGUCCAAAUUAGAGUUUAUCUUUUGAACUCAUGUGUGACGCGAGUCAAUAUGCUGUUGGUGUUGUACUCUGACAAAAAAGUAGGAAGUGUAGCCAUGCCAUCUAUUAUGCUUAAAAAACAUUGACCCCAACUCAAUGCAACUACACCACCAUGGAGAAGGAGCUUUUGGCAAUUGUUUUUGCUUUUAAGAAAUUUAGAUCAUAUCUGUUGGGAUCGAAAAUAACAGUUUUUCUGAUCAUGCAACUUUAAAAUAUCUUUUGGCAAAGAAGGAUUUUAAGUCAAGACUCAUUCGUUGGAUACUUUUAUUGCAAGAGUUUGAUUGGGAGAUCAAAAAUUGUAAAGGAGUUGACAAUUCUAUGGUAGAUCACUUGAGUAGAUUGAUUUGAGAAGAGAAAACAAUACCCAUAUCCGAGGUACUUCCUAAUGAGCAUUUAUUUCAUCUUAAGGGUAAGAAGCCUUGGUAUGCAGAUAUUAUUAAUUUUCUAGUGACUCAUAAAUUUCCAAAUGAUAUGAGUAAGGCUAAGAGGGAUAAAAUAAUAAAAUAUUCUAAGUAUUACAUAUGGGAUGAGCCAUAUUUAUGAAAAAUAGGCUCAGAUCAGGUCAUCCAUAGAUGUGUACCUAAUGAAGAGAUUCAUUCCAUACUUAUGCAUUGUCAAAAGUGAGGUGACGAUAAGUCACCAUAGCAUUAUCCUAACGUGAAACUAGUAGGUAACAAUUCUAGCAAAAGCUAAAAGGAUAUAGACAAGCUCUACUCCACUAGUGAACUUCUAUGGGGAAACUGGUGUUCUUGUUUUCUUAGGCCACCACCAAAAGUAGUAAACAUGAGGGUGGACUUUGAAGUGAUAAUAGAUUCUUCUCCGUGCAAUGCAUUAUCGGGAGUCUUACUAUCACUUCACUUGAGGCUAUUCUCUCUUUUGUCCAUCAAAUAAUAAAGUUCCCUAACUACUAAACCUUGCAUAGAAGAAGUGAAAGAGGUUCAAGUUGCUGCUUGGAAAUGCUACGUUGCAUCUCUUAAAGGCAAAAGAAAGAAAAUUUUGUUUACUUGUACAAAUUGGCAUGCACCUAAAAAAAGGAGAGAAAGAGUGGAUAGUCAUGAAGUAAACAUAGAAAAAAAGGGAAUGACUCUGAUGAAGAGCUCGAGCAAGUAUUUGUGGAUAUCCUUGAAGAACAUGAAUGAAGUGAGUAUGGCGAUGAUGACUUCACUAUAGGAGAAAAGAAAACAAAGGAAGUUACUGAGGAACUUUUCCAAGUUAUCAACUUCGUUCAUCUAGUAGAGUAUCUCAAAAGACUUAGCAAAGCAGUUCUUUUUGAGAAGUAGGACAUAAGUAUGAGAGGUUGUGUAGAGAAAUCCUGGAUUUCUAACUCGUUCCAUUUGAAGUUUUAUUUUCAACAAGAGCUUCUAACUCGUUCCUUCUAGGAAUCCAAAAGUUCAUGAUGUAAUCAACUCAGGGAGUGGACAAGUUUCAUCAUCUUAUAUCUUCUAGUUGAUUAAUGAAUUCCUAUUAUAUUCAAAAAACUUGUAAGAAAACUCUUAAAACUUUAGCUAUCUUGGAUUAUUGCAAGACGCUAUACUUAAAUGAGAUCUCGUGAAAAUAAACGGACAACCCUCCUAAAGAUGCAAGCCAAGUAGUUAGCCCUCCCGAAGGCGUAGACUACUAAUCAAAAAAAUAUAGUCCUCUAAAUGAUGCAUGAUACAUAAAAAUUCAUUUGGAAAAAGACUCCUCUAAGUCUAAACUUAGAAAAAAUUAGCAAAGGGGCUAAAAGUUAAUUCCAAAUUUUCUACUACAUUAUAUCAUAGAACUCAUAUUUGGCUUUUUGUGGUAGUUUACAAAAAAAUUCUUGUAGACACCAAAAUUUUACUAUUUUAUUUUUCUUCAUUUUAUUCCUAUUUUUGUUCAUUUUAGUUAAAUUUUAUUUAUUUUAAUUUAUUUGGUUUCAUUUCUAUUUCUUGAGAAAAAUCAUUUUUUUUAGAAAAAUAAAAAAAAAGAAAAGAAAGAAAGGAAUAGCAAAAAAAAAAAGAAAGAAAAAAAUUUGAAAAUUGCAGUUUUUGCCAAAAAAAAAAAAAAAAAAUUGGAUCCACACACGUGUCACCAUGGGGAUGGCUCUUGCACCAUGUUACAAGGGUCAUUUCUUGGCCAUUUUCACUCAUUUUUCUUCCGUUUUUUCCUCCAUUCGAUCACUUCAGUACAAAACCACUUGGUAUUGAUCCAAAACACCAAGAAAGACCUGGAUUCAAGCUAAUCUAAUGGCUCAAAGUGUCCAAGAAAACCAACCAUCAUCUACACCCAUAAUUCUAGGUUUUGGGGAGGAUUUGUGGCUAUAAAAGGGAUAAAAAAACACAGCCCUAACAAGAAGGAGAGUGAGAGGCGGCUGAGCAAGAAAGAAAAAAAGGAAAAAGCAGCAAACCAAGAGAAAACACAGAGAAAAAUUUUUCUGCAAAAAAUUUUCCGACCAAGGCUGACUUUUCAGCCAUGUUGCGACCACUAUUUCUCUCUCAAUAUAGCUUAUUUUGAGACGUUUUUAAUUUCUACACACUCCCUGAAGUCAAGAGAACAACUUGGAUUCUGAAAUCUCGUCCAUAAAACAUCAAGAAAGCCCCCGAAUUCGGCCCCCAAAUCUGCUACUUCGUUCCACUGCUGCAUGCCCGAAAACUGAGCCAGGGUUGAUCGUUUGGCUCACUUGGUGAUCAAAAUCUGAUCUCAGUUGUACCCCUUUGGGUGUGUUCUUUACAUCUGCACCAUCUAUGUUCAUCAGUAAAAAACUUUUAUUCAGAAACUCUUUGGAAGAAACGGUUGAAAGUCUAUUGAAUCUGGGCGAAAAUUCAUCACUCCAUCAAUCUUGAAGUGGGUUUCUAGAAGUUUUCAACUUCAUUUUCCAGCUCUCAGAUUCAUUUUCCUUCGAAGUUUACUACCUCUUCUCAUCAAAGGUAGCUUCUUUUGUUCACUUUCUCACUGUAUAAGCUUGAAUCCUUCCAAAUCCGUCAAAAAGCUGGUUGCAUCAAUGCUUGUUUUGUUUCCUUUUGAUGCACAUUUUUUUAGCUUAGAUUUUUGGGUAUAAUCUUGUGUUAAAUCUUGGAAGAUUGAGUUUUGGUGAUAGAGCUGUAUAAUUUUCUUGUUUUGGUUAGGAAGUUUUGAUGAUUCGUUUGGACUUUUUGCCUGCGUUUGAUAACUCAAAAAAGUGCAAAAGAAAGCCCUUCUUCAUAAUUUUUCAUGUGUUAAGUAGGUUUUGGGUGGAAUAAUUCUAAACUUUAGGGCGUAAUUAGGGUUUAAUAUUUUUAGUUGAUUUUAUCUUGUUGGGUUUUGUAAGAAAAUUUAAGCUUUUAGUUUAAGAUUGGUUGGGUUGGAUUUAGUAAAAGAGUUUUAAUUUGUUUUAGAUGGGUUUUGACUUGGGUUUAAAUGCUAUAGCCCAUGCAUUUUUCGGUUGAGUUUGAGUGAUAAAAGUAAGGGCUUGCCUGUGUUAUUUCUUUUGAACUUUUGGUUGGGCUAAGUAGUUUCUGGCCCAAGAAAAUAAAAAAAUGACCCAAAUGGCCUUUUAUUUCAAGAAGUCUGAUACGAAAUUUGCAUUCGAGCCCUAGACUUUUGAGUAAUUUUACUGUGAUCCUAAAAAUUUUAGAUUACUUUCAAUUAGGUUCCUAAUUUAACUGCAAUUUGAUCCCUAAACUUUAGUUUUCUUUAUUUUGACCCCUAAUCUUUGUAAUAAUUAUAAUUUGACCUAAAAACUUUCUUAAUUUUUGCAAUUAGGCCCCUAAUAGUUUGAUUUCUUAAAUACAAGUUGUUUAUCUUCUUUAAUUGUUAAUUAUACUUUAUUUAAGUGCUUUAUUGGUAGAUUUCAUGAUUAUUUCCAUUUUUUUAUAAUUAAAUUGGUGUCUUAAUCAUUUUGUUGUUUUUGGAGUAUAAAUAGGGCAAAUUUCACCCAUUUAACUACAACUUCAAGGGAGAUGACUUCUUUUAUUAUUUUAAAUUAUUUUAUGUGCUCUAAUAUGUUUUUUAUGUGUGUAAUUGCAUGUUUUGAGUGCUUUUAUUUUAAUUAUUCAUUUUACUCAUUUUAAGUUUCAUUUAUUUUAUGUAAUUUUUUAUGAUUAUUUGAGAGGCAUUAAAAUGCCAAAUUGUAAUAGAUAGGUGCUCAAGACAUGUAUUUAGUUAGCCUAUGUAAUAGAUAGGUUUUAAUUUUUGUUAAAAAUAUAUUUAGUUAGAUAAAUGUAAUAGUUAAGUUAUUAUUUUUUUAAAUUCCCCCCUUAGAUUGUAAUUAGAGCUCCAAAUGUAAUAAUUAGGUUUUUAUUUGCAUUUAUUUGCUUGUAUGCUUGCAUGCUUGUGUGUUUACGUGUUUAUUCGUUUUCAUUAGGGUUUUGCAUCUAGAAAUUAUGCUUACGUGUCAUGUGCUCUAUGUGUAUUAUGUGUUUAUUUGCUUUAAUUAUGUUUCAUAUGAUUUAUUUGUUUGUAAUAAAUGCAUGACGUCACCACACUAGUCCAACGGUAGUUGUGGUCAUUCUUCCCGAUUUUUACUAGUCCAACGCUAGUGAACAUUUGUAGAAAUGAGUUAGUCCAAUGCUAGACCCUUUAUACCGUCUCGCGAUAGAAUCACAUUUUUGUGUGACACUCAUCACAUUUCAUACAUGUUUUUUUAUUUUUAGCGUCUUUUCUCAUCUUGCAUGAUAUUUCCUCUAUAUAUUAUCUUUCUUAUCCCUAUGUGUGCGAAACAUGACAUUUAGACUUGCAUUCCAUUUAAAAAAAAUAGAAGUAGGUUAGUUCAUUUGUUUGAUUAGGUUAGAAGAGUCACCCUUCAAAUAUGGGAAAUGAACGAGUAUGGCUUUAUAGCCUUAGCACGGUCGUUUCCCCUCUUUAAAAAGGAAAAUUAAAGUCACGAAUCUUAGUCUCCCAUACUUAGGGAUGGCAAUGGGGCGGGGGACCCCUCCCCCGCCCCCCGCCCCGUUGCCUAUUAGUUCCCCCCGUCCCCCCGCCCCGCCCCGCCUUGCCCCGCUUCCCCCGCGGGGGCACCCGCGGGGAUAAUAAAAAUUUAUUAUAUAAUUUUAUUAUAAUUAAAUUUUAAUAAAUAAUCAAGUACUAAAAUAUCAACACAUCACUAAAUUAUUAUUCAUUGUAAUUUUACAAUUGAAAGUCAUAAAAACAAUCAAACAGAAGUUAUUUGAAUACAAUCCAAUAUGAUGAAAUAAAUAUAACUAAAAUAGUCAAGUUUUCACUUUUAAUACAAAUGCAAUCACUAAUUCAUUAUUGUGUUUGUGUUUUUUUUGAGAAAAAAGUGUUAUUCUAUUAAGUGUAAUUAGAAAUUUAGUAUAAAUGUAUUAGUAAAUUUAGUAUCACUAAUUAAUAAAUUCUAUUAGUAGACAUGUAUAAUUAUUCAUAUAAUUGAUAAUAUCAAUUAUAUUACAUAAACUAAUAUACAUUAUAUAAUACAUCUAACUAAUAAUAUCAUUAUCAUAAGUUUAUAACUAAUUAACUUACAUAUUAUAUAUAAUUAUAUAUAUAUUUAUAUAUAUUUUUUUUGUUUUGUGGGUGGCGGGGCGGGGGUAUACUCCCCCGCCCCCCGCCCCGUUUCUAAGCGGGGGGAAAAAAUUCCCCCCCGCCCCCGCCCCACCCCCCGCCCCGAGAGCCUCCCGCGGCGGGCACCCGCCCCCAUUGUCAUCCCUACCCAUACUCAUUGUGUUACAUUCCUCUUCUUUAGGUCACGUAUAUUUAUAUAUUGUAAUUCUUCUUUUCUUCAUGUCUCAUCCUUUGCAUAUUUGUGACAUCUUCUAAGAAUCAUUUUGGGCAUCAUAGUUAUUGUGAUUUGCACCAAUUAAACUUUGAAGUGAUAUUUUGACGCUCUCGAUAUCUUUUAGGUUUAAAUUUCCAUCCAUAUAGAAACGACCUAAUGUGAUAAGUUUUAUAGGUUAAAUUAAGAAAAUUAUCGACUAAAUCUCACAAUUAACCUUGGUUAGGUUGAAAGGGUGUCUUAGGUUUGAUCCUAUCAAAUCAUUGCCUUCCUUUUCUUUAAUCGUGACUUCUAAACUCUUUUCUCUUGUUUUCAAAGAUCUGGAGUCAUUUAAAAAGGGUUUUAUCUAUUUUUUUUUAUUAAAAAUACAUUUUUAGGUGACUUGGUACAUCUAAACUCGAUACCAAGUGGCGACUCUUAUUUUUCCUAAAAAUCCUUUUUAGACUAUUAUUUUGGAUCAAAACCGUCGCACUUUUUAAGUUGCAUUUUAGGCCCUUUUUCUUUUGUUUAUUCUCUAAAAAUAAAAAAACUCAUUUUCCAAAUAAAAAAUUCAUUUUUCUAACAUCUAAAUACUUAGAUUUAUUUUAUUUUUCAAAAAAAUGGGGCGCGACAAUUCUUAACUGAAUAGAUGGAACUUGAUUUCCAUGUGAAGCCAUAAUAUAUUCAAGAUUUCAAGUUACCUUUAUUUCCAUUGUAUAUCUUUUAUUCAAGUAAGCAAAAUCCUUUAUGCAUUACUUUUAAGUAAAUAAACUCGAUACCAAGUGGCGACUCUUAUUUUUCCUAAAAAUCCUUUUUAGACUAUUAUUUUGGAUCAAAACCGUCGCACUUUUUAAGUCGCAUUUUAGGCCCUUUUUCUUUUGUUUAUUCUCUAAAAAUAAAAAAACUCAUUUUCCAAAUAAAAAAUUCAUUUUUCUAACAUCUAAAUACUUAGAUUUAUUUUAUUUUUCAAAAAAAUGGGGCGCGACAAUUCUUAACUGAAUAGAUGGAACUUGAUUUCCAUGUGAAGCCAUAAUAUAUUCAAGAUUUCAAGUUACCUUUAUUUCCAUUGUAUAUCUUUUAUUCAAGUAAGCAAAAUCCUUUAUGCAUUACUUUUAAGUAAAUAAAAUUGCGUUGGAGCAAAUCUUGUGCUUAAUGUAAUAUGUUCUUAGUUUUAUCUUUUUCCCUUCAAAGAAAACCAACUAGUAUGGUAGAGGUUUAGCCACCCUACCAGUUGAAUAACUUUUAUAAGUUUUCAUUCCUUGUUUCGUUGUUGUUUUGCGAGAAAGAAGAUAAUUACUUCUGCAUAUUAGGAUUAAACGUUUAUCAUAAGUCAUUGUUGUUUGGUAUGUUGUGUAUAUGUUGUUAUAGCAAGCCUUUCUCCUAAUUCGGGUGAAUGCUAUCACCAUGAUGAUCAAGUAAUUGCUAAGUUUGAAGAUCAAAGGCAGCGACAAAGCUAUAUAUCAAAGAAAUUCCAAUCUCAGUUUGAAGAUUAAAGGCAACAACACAAAUAUCAAUGAAAUUCCAAUCUCUCAUAAGCUAAUACAAAGCUUUACCAUCCAAAAAACCUAUAAAUUCAUCAUCAGAAGUUGCCACACCCUCAAAUGGUGAAUCCCAAAACCCUCAUCCAAGAAUUUGUUUUAAAGCUAUAAAAAUCAUUUCGAUAUAAGGAAUUUCACCUAAAACUACUAAAAUAUUGUCACCAGUAACUUUCAUUGUACAUAAAACCAUAGUCAUAAAUAGUCCCUCCAAGAUACCAUUUUGGAAACCACUUUAGAGUUAAAGGAUUUCGUACUGUUAGAGUUAAAGGAUUUCGUAAUGGUAAGAGGUAAAAGUGCAAUUCUGGAAAGCAAACCUCGACAUAUUAGGCCAUAGUAUGACCCAUGAAUUUGACACCCAUAAUGUCAAGAACUUCAUAAAUGUCAUGUUUUAUUUAUAAUAGACCUUGUUUGUAUGUGUCUAUAAUUAGAAACUCAAACUAAAGUACAAACUUUAGCCAUGUAUUAGUCCUUUGUUAUGUCAUUACCAUCUUGAUGAAAGAUGAAUUGUUUGUUUGAGCUUACCAUGAUUUAGAUGUACCUUGAAAUCGUGUAAUAGCUUUCAAGAUAACUUUAUUAGCCACAUCGGUCAAUAGCAGUUUACAAAAAAAUUCUUAACUGAAUAGAUGGAACUUGAUUUCCAUGUGAAGCCGUAAUAUAUUCAAGAUUUCAAGUUACCUUUAUUUCCAUUGUAUAUCUUUUAUUCAAGUAAGCAAAAUCCUUUAUGCAUUACUUUUAAGUAAAUAAAAUUGCGUAGGAGCAAAUCUUGUGCUUAAUGUAAUAUGUUCUUAGUUUUAUUUUUUCCCCUUCAAAGAAAACCACCUAGUAUGGUGGGGCUUUAGCCACCCUACCAUUUGAAUAAUUUUUAUAAGUUUUCAUUCCUUGUUUCGUUGUUGUUUUGCGAGAAAGAAGAUAAUUACUUCUGCAUAUUAGGAUUAAACGUUUAUCAUAAGUCAUUGUUGUUUGGUAUGUUGUGUAUAUGUUGUUAUAACAAGCCUUUCUCUUAAUUCCGGGGAAUGCUAUCACCAUGAUGAUCAAGUAAUUGCUAAGUUUGAAGAUCAAAGGCAGCAACAAAGCUAUCAAAGAAAUUCCAAUCUCAGUUUGAAGAUUAAAGGCAACGGCAAAAAUAUCAAUGAAAUUCCAACCUCUCAUAAGCUAAUACAAAGCUUUACCAUCCAAAAAACCUAUAAAUUCAUCAUCAGAAGCUGCCACACCCUCAAAUGGCGAAUCCCAAAACCCUCAUCCAAGAAUUUGUUUUAAAGCUAUAAAAAUCAUUUCGAUAUACGGAAUUUCACCUAAAACUACUAAAAUAUUGUCACUAGUAACUUUCAUUGUACAUAAAACCAUAGUCAUAAAUAAUCCCUCCAAGAUGCCAUUUUGGAAACCACUUUUGAGUUAAAGGAUUUAGUAAUGGUAAGAGGGAAAAGUGCAAUUCUGGAAAGCAAACCUCGACAUAUUAGGCCAUAGCAUGACCCAUGAAUUUGACACCCAUAAUGUCAAGAACUUCAUAAAUGUCAUGUUUUAUUUUAUAAUAGACCUUGUUUGUACAUGUCUAUAAUUAGAAACUCAAACGAAAGUACAAACUUUAGCCAUGUAUUAGUCCUUUGUUAUGUCAUUACCAUCUUGAUGAAAGAUGAAUUGUUUGUUUGAGCUUACCAUGAUUUAGAUGUACCUUGAAAUCGUGUAAAAGCUUUGAAGAUAACUUUAUUAGCCACAUCGGUCAACAGCAAUUUUCCAAAAGUUACACCACCUUACACACAAAGGGAUUAUAAAAAUUCAUAAUGGUAAAAUAUUAGUUUAAGACGCAUAUAUUUCUACCCUAAUAUGAUUCUAAGUAUCUAUUAAUUUUUCUUUUAUGUUACUCUUGAGCUAUUGGAUGACAAGAAGCUGGUUACUCAAGGGAAAAUUUAUGAAACUUAAGAGGCUUGAAUCACUGGCUGAACCUUGACUAAAUCUUUCCCAAAUUGGUUUUUCAAAAUCUUUCCCAGAUUUAAGAGGCUAAAAUCUUUCCGAAUUUGGUUUUUCAAAAAUAAUUGAAUUGUUUUCAACUAACUUUUUGGAAUUGAGAACAUAUGUCUAAAAUGUUUGACAUCCAUGCAGACUAACAAUACCAUUUUUGUUGUGAAAACUGGCCAAACACGUAAACACAUGAAGCUGCAAUUAGUAAUUUUGCCACCUAAAUGAUCAGAUAUUGCUCAUUUUCCUGACUAAAUUCAACAGUUAACAAUUGGGAAGGGGAAGUGUAACUCAACAUUCAACAUGAGGUCAUAUCGUCUUAGUAUCUGUUUCUGGGAUCAUUUUAAAGCAUAGACUGUUCAAAGAAAUUAUUAAAGAAAUCGUACGUGAAUGAAGCAUAAUUGGAGAUGUCAAGUGAAUUACUGGCGGAGUCAUGAUGUUAUACGAAAGAAAAUUAAUAUUUACUUAAAUGCAUAUUAGUGUAGAAAUAUAUGUGCAUUAAAUUAAUAAUCUAUCAUUUUGAAUUUUUAUAAUCCUCUUUACUCCUUCCAUCCCAUUGUUAUUGUCAUAUUUUCACUUUAUUGAUGUCUCAAAAUAAGAGUCAGCAUUUCAAAUUUAACACAUGCUUUACAAUCUUGUUAUUUGAAAAAGCAACUUUUAAAAUCCUAAUACACAACUAUUAAGAGAAUAUUUUGAAUUCAAAGGAUGCUUUUGUCAAUUUAUUGAUGCACCUCAUCUAGACAUAUGAUUAACACGUCUCCAUAAAAAAUUGGAUUUCCAUAAGACGACUCUAAUAUUGGGAUGGAGGGAGUAUGUGUAGUGUGGGGAGUAAUGCUUAUAAUAGUCUUCACAUUUUUCAGGAAAAUGGCCAUUUUGAUCCUUCAUCUUUUGCAUUUUGGCCAAUAUAGUCCCUUGUCUAUCUUCAUGACCAUUUUAGUCUCUUAUCUUUACAAAAGAAUGCCAAUUUAAGACCUCUAAUGGAAAAUUAGAAAUUUUUAACAGAAUUAGUCACAGAAUUUUCUAGUUUCUCAUUAAAAGUCCUACAUUGAUUCUAUUUUGUGAAAAUGAGAGUUUAAAUUACUGAAAAGAUAAAAUUAGACAUGCCUUGACUGUAAUAGACCAAAAUAGUCAUUUUUAGCACUUCACAUGGCUUGCACUUAACUAAUUCCGUUAGAGAUUUUCAUUUUUUCUGUUUGAUAUCCUAGAUUAUCUUCUUUUUUUUUUGUAAAGAUAACAAACUAAAAUGGCUACAGUGGUAAAUAAGGGACUAAAUUGAUCAAAACUCCGAAGAUAAUGUACCAAAAUAACCAUUUUCCUUUUUCUAAAAUGGAGCAUCAAAGUUGACUAACCAAGCUUUAAAGACAAAACAGUUCACGAAUUUUUUCUUUCCCUAACUUACCAAAACAAGAGCUUUAAAGUUCAACUAGUUGUUAUGUUAUAGUACAAAUAAUUAAUUUAUGCAGAAGAUACUUUGGAAUGUGGCCAUGCCAACUAUCUCAUUACUAACUAAUUGUCACCUAGUGCAUUGCACGGCAUCUGUUUUGCUUUUAUGUUUUCUUUAGUUUAAGUGAAACUAUGUUUUUUUUCCCUCUAUUAAUUUGGAGAAUGAAUCAGAAAGAACGUAGCAAAGACUAUUAUAAAUAAAAUGAAGAAAUUUCAUCAAUACCUUUUAUUACUUUCAUCAUAUUCAUCCUCCUUAAUAUACAAGGUGAAAUUAUUAAGAUAAAAAAUUCGAUACCUAUUAAGAAAAAAAAUAUGAAGACAAAAAGAAGAGCCAUUACUAAACCCAAAGAAUUUCGAGCAAAAAAUAUGAAGAAAAUAAAAGUUGAAACCUUCCUAACGUACCUGCAAGUGCAAAAGAUAAGAGAUAAAAGAUUUACAUAGUUGUUUAACAUGAAAAAAGCGUCCACGGAGGGCUGAGAGAGAAAUUUGUUGACAAAAAUUUAUCCAGUACUGAAAAAGAUAAAAAUAACAAAAAAAAAAGACUAGAGAGAGAAUAAUGAUGAGGUCUUCUAAGAGCGCCUAUGAAAAAACUCGCUUUGUCAAAAUUGUUGAUAUGUAUCAAAUGAACUCAGGAGUUCCCCCAAACACUUCACCAGGCUGAAUUCUUUAGCCUAAUUGAGGCAGAAAAUAAUUGUCCCCAUUGAAGUGUUUCGAGAGAACUCUAGAGAACAUCUAAUGCUCUAUUAACUAAUCUAUGCUUUUGCCCCUUGUUAGGUCACUUUAUUUAUAGGGCUCUCCUGUCUCCACACAUGCAGUUUCUGCAUGUAAUUACUAUUCACAAGCGACAUGCUGUUUUCUGGAGAAUUGAUGAACCUAGUCAUGAUAUAGGGUCAGAUGAAAGAUAGAUAACCAACAAAACUUGAGAGGUCUUCUUUCUUCAACCUUUUCACUCAGUAGGUAUCCCCUUUGAUCUCUCUUUUUCAACUUUUUGUUCACGAAUAUAACGAUAUUGUUUGUCCAUAGAAAAAAAGAAUGGCGAAUCUGUCAAUCUCAUGCAUGUUAAUUUGGCAGAAGCAUACAACUGCUAAACCUAGUCAGCUAGAUACAAAAAUCUAGUAAUUAUCCAUCUUAAACAUACUAAAAACUGUGGGAUUGUUUGUCCAAGCAAUUCGCAUCACUUUCUAGUUGCAUUAAAAACCAUAAUUUUGCUGAUAAACCUGGGAGUUAAGGAUAUGAGAGUUGGGAUACAAGUGGUUGAGCUCUAGAGGGUACAAGGGUAGUAGGUUUAUUCUUAUCUUUUCACUUGCUACAUAAUUCUGACUAGGUUCAACCUAGAAAAUCCAUCUGGAGACUUGAUUUUUAAGAGAUCAUUUUAGAGGGCCAGUUGUCCUAAUCAGGAAGGCCACAAAUGCAUGCGUACAAAUCUUAUCCACUCAAACAGAAGAUAAUUAUGGAAUCAGCUACACCACUACAAAUUCUCUGCUUUGCAUAUCUGCACUUCACUGGUUAAUUGCCAUGUGAAUUCAGCAAAAUAUGCAUCUAAAAUCUAUCUUUCAAAAAGACUGUCUUUGAGUGGUUGCGUUCUUUAGCCUAAAUUAAACGACAUGACAAUCAAAGACAAAUUUUGUAUUACAAGAGGUGUAUGGUUGAUUAAUCAAAGAAAAAUUUUGUAUUUUGUAAGACAAAUAGGUUUGUAGGAAUCUACCAUUUUCAUUGAGUAAUGAUUAAUGAACUAUUGGCCUUAGAACCACCAUGAAUCUUUUUGUUGCACAAUCAUUGAUUAUGUCUCGUUUUUUUAAGAUCAUCCUAGUUUAAGUCCUUGAGUAAAAACUCACCCAUCUGACCUCCAAAGUGUUUUGAGAACCUUGAAACUACACUCUCUUUACCAGCCAAACUCUCCAAAUCAACCUUCUUUUCUAGUCAAUUAGAUUAUUUUCUACAUAUAAUGACUGACAACCAAAUGGCUUCUGAUCAUUUCUACAUUUCAAAGCAUGACCUCUUGGCGUACUUCUAGCGUAUAAAAUUAACCAUUUGAAUACUAACUGACUUGUUAGAUAAGGAUCCAUUUGAAUGGAAUAAUGAAGUAAAUGCUGGUUUUCAAACUAGAACUGUACUGCACCAGUUUUAGCCUUGCUACAUUUUUUUGAAACAUUAAUUAUAUACCUGUGAUUAAUACUUAUAGUGCAAUAGAAUUGAUGAGUACUAAUUGACUAGCGAUACUGCUAAAGCCAUAAUCUUCUUGUCAGAGUAAUAUUUAUCCAAACACGGACAUUACUCUCAAUUAGUUAAUGCCAUAUAUUCUAAUUGUUGUUUUUGAACUCAUUAUCCAUGAAUUACUCAUUUUCUUUGUCUUUCUCAUUGACAGAACAAGGUUUAGUCUACUUCUCUCAUUGCCUCUCCAAUUCUUGCCUUCCAAUCUCUCUCCCUAUUUCCUAUUUCACAAUUUGUUUUCAUUUUGUUGAGACUUUUGUAGUAUAUGGUUCAAGAUCUUUUGCAUAAUACUAUUCUCUGCUUUGCUCUUGCUAUUUUCCAUCACUAUUAGUAAGUGUUUCUUUUUUUCUUCCUUUUUUGCUUUUAUUCCAUUAUGUUUUCUAUUAAAUAAUUUCUGCUUACAAUUUUUUUCUUUUAUUCCAUUAUGUUUCCAUCACUAUCAGCACAUUAUUACAAAUUUCAUCAAUUUGUUUAUAACUCCUCCAUGUUCCAGGUGCUUCUUAUUAUGAGUGGUUUACCUACUCUUGAACGGCUUCAUCAGUUUUAAUUGAACUUUAAAUCUUUACGGUGCAAUGGUUGCUUUAGUGAACAAGCUUAUAUUUGUUAGCAAGAGAAAAGGGAGGCCAUUAGGCCACAUUUAGUCAUCCAUAUUAAAGUCAUUUUUUUCAUAUUAUAAAAUUAGAACCUUGAGGGUUUACUAUUUUUUUAUUCAUAUUUUUUUUAUUAAAGAUCAUGUAAAAACUAUGUGAUUGCUUUUAUAAUGUCAUUCAAACUCAAUCCUAUGAUAUAUGCAACAUGCUUUAUUUCUUUGAAUUUUGCUUGUUUAAUGUAUUAGUGUGCAAUUGAUCUUCUUAUAAACUUUAUUAUCUUUUCCGUUUUUCUAAUUAUUAUAUGAAUCUUGAUUUCAACAUGUGUCCAUAUUUUCUAAUAACUAGAUUAAAUUUAUUUUUAAUUGUGUUAUGUUCUAUACCUCAUGCAUAUAGAAGGAAAAGUGUGUGUACAUGUUUUCGGACUAUUUUCAUUUUAGAUUGUUACUUGUUUGAGUUAAAUCAUAUUGUAUUUGUAAAAAAAAAAAAAAGCUUUUAAAUACGACUUUGAAAAUUAAAAAUAAGAGUGCUUUAAAGUAAAAGAAUUACAAUCUAAGAAAAAAUAUGGUAAAAAACUCACAACCAAAUCAAUGAGUUAUUAAAACAAUAGAUAAAUAAAUUAAAGAGAUGGAAGAAGUGGGCAAGCUAUUCAAUUUACUAGAGAAAGGCGACAAGAAAUAAUUGGUGGAUAAUGGGUCCAAGAGAAUCAAUGAGAAUAUAUGGUGUUGAAUAGUUGAAGGUAAUGUUGGUAUUUGGAUAAAUAUUGUUCUGGCAAGAAUAUUAUUGCCAGCCGUACUAAUUACAUGUGGUAUAAAAUGCGAAAAUGGAAAUGUUUUAGUUGGAAAUCAAAAAGUAUGGCCCUUGAAGUAUUUCUCAAAUUAAGGGUGACAACAUAUGUGUUUGGUUGGGAUCUAAAUUUUUACCAUCUAAACCCAACCCAAACUCAGCCUAUAAUGCAUAGAUAAUAACACAAAAUAGUAUUAAGAUAAUAGCACAUAUAUAAAUUUUCACCCAUUUAUAUGUAUUUAGGUAAUACCACAUAGAAUCUUGUAUACAUAAUAGUGCAUACAUACAUAUAUGUAUAUGCGUAUAGGCAUGUUUUGUAUUAUAGUUACUACAUAUAUUCAUGUUAACAUGUUUAUUUUUGGAAGAAUCUUUGUCGUUCUUUCACCAUAUAUUUUGUUAAUCAGAAUAUACUUUUCCCCAAAUAAGUUUCAAAACUAUUAAAAUUUGAAUUUUUUCCCCGGACGACGUUUUGUAGAACACUAAUCAUGGUAAAUAAAAUUGGUCAAUGACCCCGCGCUUGAAGACGAUCAGUUUCCAAGGAAAAUUGCUCAGAUGAGUAACUUAAAGUUGUUGGACUUGAGGGUUUGAAUCUAAACAAAUUAAUUUUGGUGUGGAUCUAAGAUGGUCUAAUGACGAAUAGAUCCCCAAGCCCAAAUCCAUUUAGGCUCCGGUAUGGGUUUUACCUCUAGCCCUAUUAGAGUUUGUAUCCAAACAAACUAUAUCUUAUGAAGUUGAGCCCGAAAAUAUCAACCCAAACCAAGCACUAACAUCCUUAACAAAAAUCACGAUACACGUGUGUAAAACCUUUAUCAGGAUUAUAUUGGUUGAUGAUAUGUAAAAACAUGCUAAGCAACUUAUAAAUUAUGAUUCGAAGGAUAUAGUCUGACCGCGGUAGCGAUUGGUGUCGAAUUCACCUAAACUCUAUCCCCAAAAAAAAAAAAAUUGUGUCAGCUGGCUUAAUAUUUAUUGAAAAUCAGACAUAAGCAGUAUAUGGCACGCUCUUUUUGGCUUGGCCUAUGCAUAGGUUCUAUAUAAGAUUUUAAAUCAAGCUAACAAAAUCAUCACAAUCGAUGUCAUCCCAGUAAAGAAUGUGCAUACAAGUUUGUAUAAAAUUCAAUUCCGAAUUUUGUUUGUUGAAUACAAUUAUUGGAUAUUAUAUAUGAGAUUCUUCGUAUUUGCAGAUUAUAAAAUUUUUUCCUUUAAGAGGAAUUUUCACAAGAGCUAUACCUCUUCUUGGUAGACUGCUAUGUAACUGGUUUCUUGGUUUUCUUUUUAAAUGUUGCGUGAUCAUUUGCAUUUGGUAUGUUCAUCUAUCAAAAUGUUAACUGUCAAUCAAAUUUGAAUGCAGAACUCUAAGAUGCCGUAGUGGACCGAGAAGGAUUUUGGCACUGGGGCUAGAGGGCAAAUAUUAGUUUACCAAAUCGAUAAAGGGGCUUACCUCUACUUUUACAAAAAUCUUUCUGGGACCGGGGUGGGAGAGCAGGGAAGCGAAGGAAAUAUAAUGUAAUUUUUUCUUUUAGUGUAAGUAAAAGGAUUUAAAUUCGGAACCUCUCACUUAUAUUUCCUACUUCCGUACCAUUCAAUCCAUCUCACCUCUGGGAGUAUAAUGUAAUUUUCUUAAAGACUUGUCUAGGAACUUUUCACUUUUAGAAUGCAGGAAAUAUAGUUUUUAAAGUCUUGGAAGGGUUAAUACUUAAUACCCCUACCUGGCACUUGACAGGAAUUACCCCUUUUGCUUUUAAAAUCAUAAACUCAACUGGUAUGUUGCAAGUCCAACUACAAAAAUUGCAACAAAGGUUUCCUUGUUUUACUUUUAGCAUUGCAACAAAGCUUAAACUCAAGAAAAUUUAUUUGUCUUUAUUAAUGAAAAAUGUAGAGUUUCAAGAUGUGUUAGCAUUGGCUUCUUCUAACAUUCAUAAUCACAAAGACACAUCGUAACCUAUAAUAUACCUGCGGCACGAUGAUCAAAGGUCAUCAAGAACAGAAAAAAGAUCAAUGCCUUUGCCAUCUUCUUGUUUUUGGUUUUUUUUUUUUUUUGUCUUUCUCGCUCUUGGUUAAGCUAGAAUACUACAUCCUACAAGUGUUCCAGAAGGUCUUCUUUAUAUUGAAACUUUACCCACCAUAAAGAUUUGAUUAUUAAUGCCAAAUCUUGUAUUUAUGGUAUUAAUCAAAUAGCAUAUGUUACUUUAGUAAGUGAAUCACUAAAACUGAGAUGUGAUUUUAUAAAAAUUAUAUCAUGUCUAAUAAGAAUAGUAAAAUAAUUGCAUCAUUAAUUGUGUAUUUAUCAAAUUAAUGCUGCUAGAAUUGGUUACCAAAUUUUCUCUCCACAGAUGUUUUAGAAACUGUGAAUGGAAAAGUUACAUCAGGCAACAUGCUGAUACUUCAAUACACAAGCAUCUAUACCAGUAUUUGGAUAACAGAUCCAGUACAUGAGCAUUUCAGUUCAUGAAAAUAUUUUACCUCAUUUUUUGAAAAUUAUGAUAACGAGUCUAUGAACUUAAAAAAAAUCGAUGCUUGAAGGAUUAUCUAGUUAGUAGUGGGAAGGGUACACCCUUCAUUGGGUUUAAAUUAAGAAAAAUUAACAGAAAGUUAUUAUAUGAAUUUAGGACCUGUUUAAUGGAUUCAAAUCUUAAUAUAUUCAAAUGUGUCUGAUAACUAAAAAUUGAACAUCUCAUUCAGCACUUAAACCUAAUGAAUUCAGAUUUUAAUAUAUUUAGAUGCAUUUGAUAACUAAAAAUUAAAUAUCUAAAUUAAUUAAAUGGCACUAAAGUUUUUAGGCACAAUUGGCUCCCAAUAACAAGUGAUAAACUAUUCACUUAUUAUUAAUGUGAUUUACAAUCAAAUGUAUCAAAUUUAGUAGUUAAAAAUUCAAUUAAUUUAAUAGAUUCAAAUUUCAGACUUCAAUUUUAUUAAACGCACCCUUAGAGAAUAAAAAAUAAAUUGAGGAUAGGAAGUUAAGGAAAAUUAAAAGGUAUUAGGACACUUGUUUAGCGAGGGCAUUGUUAGGAAGCACAAAAAUGUUACAUCAACGUAUCUGUUCUCACUAUGUUAAAGUUGAAACAAUGGUGUUGCUCUUGCUUUUAUGGUGCCAUAAAAGGAAGGUCAAGUCAACAGAAGAAAUAUAUCCAAGAAACUAUUGUGCAUUAUGUUGAAAUUAAAAUUGAAAUUUGAAAUGACUCAUUUCAAAUGAAAUGCUGCAAUAAUAUAGCAAUCCAUGACUAAGUUCUUAACAGAUUAUGACUUGGGUGCCAGCAAGCCUAGGAUGUGUAAUCCGUUGAUUAUAAAUGCUAGAUGACAUUUCCUCUGAUAUUUCUUGAAUAUACCGUAACAAUAACAUUUUCUUUAAUGAUAUCAACACUAAUGCACUGGAUUCCAUCAGAACUUCAAAAUUAAACGUGCUUAGACUAGAAUAGUAUAAGAAAGGAUAACAAUAACAUUAUACUAGGCCACCUAGCUGAUUGGGCAAUUAGGCGGCAGGAUAGGAAGCAUUCUGCAUGGUAACACGCAUAGUGGCAAAGCCAGGAUUACUUUUAAGUGGAGACACAAAUAAACUGCAAAUUCCUUUUGAUUCUUGAACAUUUACAAUUUUUCGGUUUGAACUAUUGAUAAGUGCAUAUUCUAUGUGUUUUUAGUAUGUUUUAUUAAUUAGUUUUGGCAUGCUUUAACCACUUUUAUAGUUAAUUAACUAGGAUUUUAGUGAAAAUAUGCAUUUUGUGAUUUAAGUGGUAAAAAUUGCAUUUCUAUGGAUUUUAAUGAUGAAAACUUCAUGUUGGCAUGAAUUGAGAAGAUAAUUGGAUGAUUGAUGAUAAUUUGAAGUUAUUUAAAGAAGACAUGAAGUGCAAAACGUUUAAAGGAAGAAAUGCAAGUUAAGAUAGCUUUGACACCUUAUGGUAUUUCAGCCAUAUCUUGAGCUACAAGCAUCAGAUUAAAGUGAUUCUUAUACCAUUUUGAAGCUAAGAGAAAUAUCUACAUUUAGUAUGAAGAAUCAAGUCCAUUGAGAUCGUUUUCCUAGCUGAAAAGUCGAAAUACAGAAGUGCAAUUUCAUAAUCGAAAGCUGAAACAAGGUUCUGACUAGUUGCCUGUAUUUUGGUCAUUUAUCAGUCCACAGAGCUCCAAAUUAGAUUAUUCUUGAUGCAUUGGAAAGCUAACUCAAAGGACUACAACUUUUAUGUUUUACAAAAGAGCUAGUCCAGCCUCUAACAUUAAGAAAAUAUUAGUUGAAAUUGGACCAAAAAUAGAGUAAAGAGGAAUUUUGCCUAGAAAGUGCAAACCUGCAAAGGAGAAAAUGUGGGGUUCGGUCGCGUUUUCAAGUUGCAUAUUCUUCAUUUUCUGCUGCAACUUGCUUUGCAACUUAUUUUGCAUUCACACAACCUUUUCAACUCAUCUACAACUCUAAAUUUCGGCUGUAUUUGACCAAGAAGAGUAUGAAAAUUUGGAGAACAACUCUUGGUGAGUUCAAAAGCCAACUUUGCUAACCAAGAAACAGCUCAUCUUGAGCUUUAAUCCUCUAUAAAUAGCAGCCUUUGGAGAAUAUUUUCACAACUUUGGAAGGCCAGAGAAACUCUACAAAGAUAAAGUCUUCACUAGAAUUUCUUUUAUUCAUUAAUUAGAGUAGUAUAGUAUAGUUAGUCUAGUUUUUCCUUCUUGUAUUUGUAGUUAGAUUUGGAUGAAAAUUUGAAGAGCAAAGAUGGAGAAUUAGAGUUCAUGUGACAAGGGUAACUUCUGUCCUAUCACUUUUUUUUUGUAUUUGAUUUCAUGUUUAACUAUAAUAUAAGUUUUGUGUUUGUUUUCAUGUUUAGUUAAAGUUUAUGCCUAAAGUAUGGAUAAACUUUCUAUAUCUUAUUUGUGAUAUUUACUUGGUCAAUUGGUGAUAUUAUUUUAAGCAAGUUAUUUAUCACUUUUGUUUUUCUAAUCAUGAUUAACUGGCCAUUAAUUGUGAUAAUCUUAAAGUGUUAAGUUUGCAAUGAGAAUUGAAAUUUAACACUAGUUCAAGGAAGUAAUAAACCUAGGGAGUACACUUGUGAAAGUAAAGAUGCACCUUUCUGGUUUAAGUGACUUGUUUCAUGUAAUUUCAUAGAAGAAAUAAGUUUGUAGUUAAUUUCAUAACCACGAGAGUAGGUAUGGUUCAACUGUAAGUAUAGUUGAUUCACUAUGAGAGUAAGUUUCACAUACAUUAGAAAAUUACGCCAUAAUCAAUCAAGAUAAUAGCAUUCACUUAACUGGUAACUUCAUUUACAAGAAUAGUAAGGAAUUCCAUACCUCUAUGAGUUUUCUAUUGUAUUUUUUGUUAUUUUUACAGUGUAGAUUUAAUUUCUUGCACUUAUGAUAGUCUAAAUAAUAAAGGAAUUCGAAAAUCACUGAUAAUUGAAAAUCUUCCCUGUAAGUUCGAACCUUAAUACCCUAUACUGUGACGACUCCACUUCUCCUUAAGGCAAACCCUAGGGUUUCGGCGGGCCGCCUGCCUAACUCUCGCUAGGACUCGAUACAAGUCAAGAUUAUAACUUAGAACUAAACAACCAAUAAGAAACUAAUAUAAAGAAAAGUCACUUCCUUUGAUAGUCAUCCAAUUGUACAUCAUAAUAUUUUCAAAAGUUACACCAAAUUUUCCCAAAAAUACGACCACCAAAAGUUGACUAUAUCAUUUACAUCCACAAUUGGACCAAAAGACAAUCAAAGCCAGAUUCUCCAAAAUCUUUCCACUUCAAGUUCCUGCUAAGGAAAACAAACUUAAAAGGGUGUGCUAACACUCAGUGAGGCCAAGAAAAGCAGGCAGCAAAUAGGUACAUCUAGCAAUAAUAACAUAUAAAUAAAAGGCAACCAAAAUAUUCAUGUAAAAUCACAAAAGGAAUUAAAAACACAACCAAUGAAAAUACGGGAGCUCUCAGGAGCUAAAUCCACACUGCUUCAUCGAUAAUCUUGAUCCAUAAUUUCCAAGUUGACACUCCGUCAACCGAGCAAGUAACAAGUCUGUAGAACCCCACUUUUCACCAAUUUCCGUCCACCGUUACACCCCCUAACCGGGCCCGAAAGUCAAAAGUUUUGAUAUUACUCGAGUAUAUCGAGGCAAGUAGUGUAUGAGCCCAAGGUUCACCAAACUCCUCAACCAAGCCCUUACUGGCUUGAGUUGAAUGGCUAGCCAUUGGGUUUGGGCGUCCCCACGAGUAUGAGUGAUCGAUGAGAUUGCUCUCAAAUCGACGCCAAGUCAAAUACAUGUAUAAUUAUCAAGUACGAGCAGAUCAAUUAUCAAGUCAAGUAAAAGAGAACGAGUGCGAUAAAGUACACACUCGUCUCGACAAGUCCAAUUUUCAUAUUCAACAAGAAGUAGUUCAAGUAUUAUGCAACAAGUCAUGGUAUUAUACAACAAGUCAUGCACUUGACACUCACCAGUUUAAAAAACAAGUGAGCAAGAAAUUCCUUUAAAGUUCGUCGCCGGAAUUCCUUUCGAAUCCCUCUUGAGUACCUGAAGAAAUAUUAACCAACCAUCACUCACGGAUACCAUAGGUUAUCGAGCAUACAAAAAAGAAAGUUCGUUUGCCUAGAAUUAGGAUAAUGCAUCAAAAAGGGUUUAUUUCAUUGAAAACAGAGAUUCACAAAUGAAGGUUUAAGGUCACAAGUUCAAGUCAAGUUAAAGGCGCUUUUCUCGCUAAAUGAUUGAAAUAAUGCUCAAAGAGAACUCAAAAGUCAUUUUUGAUUCAUGUCAUAGUAAGUAAAUCUCAAUUCCAAAAGAAAGUACCAUAUUUACUUUCGGAAUGAAAAUUGAGAAAAAGAUAGAUGGUUUUCAUUCCUCAAAACUUCUAAUCUCAUGUCCGAACUUUAAAAUAUAAAGAGCGUUCACAUUUUCAAACUAAUGGAGUCAAAACUCGUCCAAAACUCCACUCAUUUCAUCGUAAAUGUCAAAGCCAAAGGUUCCAAGUUUUGAGUAGAAAACUAGUUAAAAUUCUCCAAGAUUUUCUCUAGUUAAAACGCUCCACUUUUAAAGUUAAAUGUCAUGGAAAUGAAGGGUAUAAGCCUAGGGACUGAAAUCCAUAACUCAAGUAUAAAAUGAAGUGCUAUUAACCAAGGAAGUUAAACAACCAAGUAAACACAUUAAGAGAGGUUUAAUUCUUUAGAAACUAAGAUUUAAAAUGAAAGUUUAAAGCUCAAAAAAACCUUGUAUCCGACCAUGAAAUUAACUUAAAACAAGCCAACAAUCACAAAGGAAGGUUGGAAGUGCUUAAAAGAGUACUUUGUAUGAAACCAGAAAUUUCCAGUUUAGUGCGACACUAAUUGGAAAAAUCAUAUCUCAAGCUACGUAAGUCCAAAAGUUGGGAACUUUAUACCGUUGGAAACUAGACUCAAGGAACUAAAACUCUCUAGAAGAUACUUUUCUUAGACUCCAAUCCGAAUUCACUCAAAUUUUAGCUCAAAAUCACUGUUCCAGACAGGACAGGGCAAAACAGGCUUGCAAUUUUAGUAAAGUUUGGAAAUUCGGUAAAAUUCGUAGGAAUGGAAUCAACCCUUGAAAUUUAUACUGCUAAUAGAGUUUGAAAUUUAGUUUCAAAUGCAACAAACAGAACCCAAUUCGGACCUUUCUACAUCAAGAUACAAUGGUUUUAAGAAAGCUGAAUUUUGGAACCUGUUACACUAAAUUUCCAGUUUUGAAGGCUUAAGAGUUUCAAAAUCUGAUCAUAACUAGAGCUACACAACUCAAAAUUUAGUGUUUUUUGUGGCAUUGAAAACUAGAUUCAAAAUUCUACAAAUUACUAGAAGGAACUGUCUUAAAAUUCGUUUCGCAAGAUAGGUAAAAUUGAGCUACAAACUGCAGCUAGGACUGUUUCUCGGAUGAAAGCAGUGAAGAAAUUCAGUCAUAUUUGCUGGUUCACUAUGGCUCAUAGGAAAUGAAUUUGGAGGUGCAUUUUAUACUGACAGAAAGCUCUCGAGUCUAGUUUUGGCUGCCACAAACGGCACUCAAUUUCAACUCCCAGACAAAAAGUUAUGACCCAAAACGUGAACACUGGUCGGUGCUCCUGGUCAGAAAAUUUCCAUAUUUCUUCCUCACCUAAACCCUACUUUAACUCAACCAAUUGUAAAGCUUUUUGGGAGAUUUUUAACACACAUAAACACAUCAUAUAACAAACAUUAUAGCACCAAAAUAACAUCAAAUUUUGAAAUUAAUAUGAGGGUUUCAUCAAGCCAAAUUUCGGACAGCAAGCAUCCUUCAUCUUCUAGUUUUCUUUUCCAACUUUCCAACUAAAACUAAGCCAUAUCUUCUAAAAAUAAGCAUCAAACAAGCAAGUAAAUAUACAAAAUCCUCAAGGCCUCUACCUAUAAAGUCACCUCAAGUCUUCUAUCUAAUGUCAAGGUUCUUGUGAACCCAUCAACAACCCAACAACUAACUAGCUAGACUAACUAAUCUAUCCAUAAGUUGAAGGAAAAGAUGAGAGCUUUAGGAGUUUUACCUUUCUUCCAAGAAUGAAGAACAACCACUGGUAUAAGCUCUUGAAUCACCAAAGUUUCUACCUUGUUCAAGUCACCUUCCUAGCUUGUAUGAAGAACCAAGGAAAGAAGCAAGUGUGGAGAGUUUUCUUGGAGCAACAAUGGAAGAAGCUAGCUGAAUUUUUUGGGGAGGAAAUGGGGGAGGGGAGUCUGCCAAGGUGAGGAGAAGAAGAGAAGGGUUUUGGGUGGUAGUUGGUGAUUUGAUUGAGUGACAAGAAUAAUGACAUAAAGGUGUUCUUGACCCCAAAAGUCAACAAUUGUUUAGUGAGCAAUUAGUGUUCCUAAUUGAGUUUAAUUUAACUUACUCACCUCUAAUCCCUCAGUUAAUUUUUUUUAGUCUACUAUUGAUCAUUCUUAAUUCUCCAAGAUUAAUGUACUCUCGGUCCGAAUUUGCCUCAAAAAACGUGCAUUGGCUAUUUCUCGCUAAACAAGCCGCAGAAAAAUUAAAUUCGCUAACGAAACGUUUUAAAAAUAUAAAUGAGACAUUGUUCCAUACAAAUGGAUUUAAAAUGGAUGAAAUAAAUUAUUCGGAGUAAACGGGUAAAUAAAUAAUUAAAUAAGCCAGUAAAAUAAAAAUAAAAGUAAGUAAAAUAAAAAAUUCGGGUCCUCACAUAUACUCAAUCGCGACUCGUAUACUUGGAAAAAAUCGCGUGUGGGGUAUUUAGAAUUUAUAAAUGUAAAAUUUGACUGUGAAAUGAGUUUAUUGUUAUAUGUGUAUCCCGCGUUGGUCAACUAUGAAUCAACCAAUAAUUCUUUUAGAGCAACGGAAUAACUGUAAUAAGCAUGUUCACCCUAGAGCUUUUAUUAUCUUUUUUUCCCUAAAGAUUGCAAAUGGCAAAGAUUUUUUUCUUCGAAAGUACUUGAUUUAAAUGAAUAUCUUACUUGAAGCAAUGGGCUAAUAAAGAGACGUGUACAUUAUUUGACAUGAAAUUAUAUAGUUACAGGACAUUUUACUACAUCGUGCUCCCACAAACAAAUUGAUUAUGGUGUGGAAGAAAGAAUUUAUCAUACAUAUACUUCAUUGCUAGAAAUCUGAAAAUUUUAUUAGAUGGAAGAUGGUGCAUCUCCAACAAUUGUCGAAGAAGAAAAGAUGGUAGAGAAGAUUUCCAUAUACGUCUGAUGUAGAACAAGCAUUCCCGGCGAAUAAUUGAGCAGCCACUUUUGGAUCCCUAGGAUGUCCAAUUGGCCUCACAAGUCCCAAGUAAUAAAAUUCUAUAGAUUAACAAAGAUACCAUAUAGCAGAAGUCCAAUUGGCUGAUAUUUUUAAGCAUAUGUUGAUGAUGUAUGUGUGUUAAUUAUACAGAUACUGCACGAUUUUAUUUUAUUUUUUUGCUUUUUUAGCAGGGAAUUUUUUUUAAUUUUUUUUAAUUUUUUUUUCUAACAGGGGAGGGGUAGGAUUCAAAAAGCAGAAAGGAGGAAGGGAGGUUAGAAUCCAGGACCUCUAAUUUCUAAGCACCUCAAUUUUAGUCACUAAACCUUGGUGGAUUUAUGUAACGCAUUAGUAGGAAUUUGUUUCAGAACUUUUUUCCUUGAAAUCAAGUUGCUUCUGCCGUGCAUUAUGUGCUAGUGUGUUAGCAAAGAUAACUUAAUAUAUUAUUAUAUAAAAAAAAAAAGAUAACUUAAUAUAUAUUUUUUAAUCUUUCUAUCCCUCCUUACACUCUUUCCAUCUCUAAUCGUCAGGUAUCAAAUUCAAAUCAUUUUACCCUCACAUCCCUCCCCACACUCUUUUCACCACAACUAUCAAGUAUAAACUUCGAACCUCGAACCUCACAGAGAGAACUCUAAAAAUUUAGCUUUUUUAUUUUUGUACCUCUUUUUUUUUCCUGUUUUCACAAGAUUGUUCUAUGAUUGAGGGUAUUUAUGGUAACAAACAGGUACUGUAUUUUGGCGGAUGGCUGAUUGCCCUACUUGUAAUAAAACAACUUAAAAGAAGAACAGAAAUCAAGAUUCUAAUUUUUCCCCACUGGACAACAUUGAGAUUUCCAUUUUGCAAAAUUAAAAGAAUUAGCAUUUUUUAGUAUCCGUUAGCACAUUUAAGGUAGACCUAACAUAUGACGUCAAUACACACAAUUACAAUUAGGGUUAAUUUCAUAUACCUCCCCUAAAGUUUUUGACAAUUGCAGAAAGCUCCCCUCAAGUUCUAAAAAUUACACCUACCUCCCCUAUUUUCACUACUUAAGUAACAUUUUAACCCCAAAAGGCUAUACUUUUUCUCAAAAUUCCUAUAAUGCCCUUGAGUUACAAUUCACAAUAAAAAUGUAAAGGAAAAAAUGGUUCACAGUCUCUAUUUCGUUUAUCUUUACUUGCUAUCACUAUUACCUACUCAUCAAUAUCCAAAUCACUAUUAAAUAAAUACUUAUCUUUGUUUUAAUGUUUCUCUUUUACCUAAAAAUUUAUAAUGUAGACUAUUCUAUCAACUAUAAACGCUAUAUCAGAUACACAAAAACUUAUCUACCAUCUCAUAUCAAUAUCAGAUUUUACUUAAUACACAACAAUAUUCAUCAAUAUCCCUAAAUUUUAAUUCUAUGGCUGUCACCUUUUUAAUACAAAAUAAUUUAACUUAUCACUACUAAUGUCAAUAUCCAAUAUAUUCCAUUAGCACGGAGCUCAAAAUCAAUCAAAUUCUCUUUAUAGGAAUAACAUCAAUAAUUGUAAAUAAAAAAUAGAAAUACAAUGUAGUUAUAAAUAUAUACCAAGAACAUUUUUUUUUCAUGACAACCAUAACAGCAUAACCUAUAUUUAGUUUCUAUCCCACUUCCUAUCCUUAAUUUUUAUGUUUUUUUAUUAUUGUAACUAUCUUCAUCUCCAUCUAGUUUGAUAAUGAAAUUAGCACUCAAUUUGUCAUUUGACAAUUGCAAUUUGCUAAUGCCUAUAAAAAAUUGGAAACAAAAAUGGGCCCAAGGAAACUAUUUAAUAAUAAUGAAAAAUUGAGAAUUGGGAAUAGAUACCAAAAUAUGUAAGUAUUGGUGGUUUGUGUGUACGGUGAUUUUAUUAGUAACGAUAGUACAUAUUUGGUUAAUAAUAAUAAAUAAAUAAGUUUGAAAUGAAAAUAGAUGUAGGAGGAAGAGCAUAGAUAGUUAAAUAUGAAAGACUGUAGUUUGAAUUAUUGGUUGAUAAUAGAUGAGAGAACUUUAAUAUUUGAUAGAGUUUUUCAAUGAUUUGACAAUUAAUGAAAGGCAUUUUUGUCUUUUUAUUACACUAAGGGAGGUCUCCGUAAUUAUGUAAAUCUCAAGAGAGCCAAAUGAAAUUGUUAAAAAUCUCAGGGGAGGUUUCUGAAAUUAUCCCUUACAAUUAUUGCACUCCUAUAUUUAUAUGCUUUCUUAAAUUAGCUACACUUUUUUAACAAAACUAAUAUCUCCGCUCUUAUUCAGUGCCUUGUGCUCAUAUUUGAAAUCGUGGAACCUGCUUGUAUGAAUUUUUACAAUGUCAAUGUAUAAUAAAUUAAUCAUAAUUAAAAUGCUAUAGUUCAAGGAACAAAGUAGCUUUUUUUCCCUUUUUUCGUAAGUGGGAGGUUUUGAAUUCAAAAUCUUCUACUUUACAAUUUUUCCUACCUCACUGCUCGACCCAGACACCUCCCCCCCCCCACCCACCAACACCACCACCAAAACCCCAACAAGGAACAAAGUAGUUUAUUCUGAAUAACAAGAACUAUAAAGGGUUUUUGGUCAAAUUUAAUACUAGAACAAGUUUAAAAGCCAAUGGCUUGGAGUAAUUUUAAAUUCAAUCUUGUAAACGGUUGCCCAAAACACAUGGGAUAAAACCCGUAUAAUAAGAUACUUGAUCACUAAUCCUGGAAUCUACCAACAUUUAAUUCAAGCAAAACUUCUACAACUUAUAUUUAAAUGCCAAUAAAAUCUGAUAUAGAAUACUUCAAAUCAAUUGCAAUAUCCAAUGCAUGAAAUCAAUGAAUUAAGCCUAAUUUGCUGGAUCCCCCAAUGGCAGCCGGUGGCGAAUCAGGAUGACGGUAGCAGCAUCGAUGGGUAUUGGGCUGCAAAGCGGGGGCACAUGAGAUAUUACGUCGACCGUGAUUUUCAUUGUUGCAUUGGUUGAUGCAGUCGAGUCCGUUAUUGCUUCCCUUAAAAAAAAAAUAACUGUUAUUGCAUGUUCCCACGUAUGUGGGAUUGCUGCUCUCUUCUGCUUUGCUGUCUGCAUCAACCACAAUACGAGCUUUUUAAUAGGGUUGAUUAUAGAAGCCGCCCUGCUGGGCUUGCCCCUGUGGGGGUUCUUUCCCACAUCGGUAUUAGGGGGUUUGUGGGUUGGGUUAUAAGUCCCUCGGGUGCCUUCAAAAGUUGCCGGCUUUUGAAGGUUGCUCGAGGAAGUAGAUUUAUUGCCGAAUUCUUAAGUUUCCUUAAGAAAAUGUCAGAGAAAAAAUAGGGUUGAUUAUACGUUAUACAAAUAAUAAUGUCAACUUUUCAUAUGAAUAAACAGGUACAAAAAGAAAUACUGGCCUUGUUUCGAUCACAGUUUUCAAAAAUUUUUUUUACAUUUUUUAUAAACAUAUAUCCUAAUCACUUUUUUACUUCACAUAUAUUAAAUCAUUACAUUAUAUUUUUUUUAAUAAAAGCUUUAAUAACUAGCCAAUCCAAACAGGAGCUAAGGAUCUUGAUUCUUUUGGAGCUGGUAUUAGGUUUAUGCUCCGGUGCAAAUCUAACCAAACUUGAGAUUUCUGCUUAACUAUUUUCUUUCUUUCUUUCUUCAUUAUUUUCUACUUAACUAUUUGAUAAAAAUCCAAUAAUUUCAUUUUCUCAUUAUUUUCUUAUUAUUUUCUUUCUUUCUUCAUUAUUUUCUACUUAACUAUUCGACAAAAAUCCAAUAAUUUCAUUUUCGUAGUUCUAGGCCUUGUUUCAUUUGAUAUCAUUUGCUGUCGACAAAGCUAUUAGAAUUAUGAAGCUCAUAAUAAUCUUUCCAGUCUCCACAUUCAUUGUUAAGUUACUAUUUAUCUUGCUUCCACUAGCUAGGUAAUUUAAUCAUGAAAUUGUAACCUUGCACACUUCAAAUGUUUUUGCAGGCUUGAAUGAAUGAAUUCACAUCGUUCACCACAUGGUUCAGUCGAACAUUUAUCAGCAACUAGUCAUGUUGACACAUGCCUGGCCCUCCUGAAUAAAGAAAUUGGAAGCCUAUGCAUAGACACCAAAGAUGACUUCCAGCUACAAAUGUCUGACGACAAGAAUCGAAAAUUGCUUGUAUUUUGCUUAUUAGACAUUGUUUUCUUUGUGAUUAUUUUCCAUAAAGUGAAAUUUUCCAAAAGUUGGUUUUAAUAAGCAUAUUGAUAUUAUAUUAAUAAGCAUAUAGAUAUUUCAUGCAAGAAAUCAUGGGUAUAGUUAUCAUUCACCUUCUACUGAUUAUCUUACCAAGAAUUUAUAUUAAGCAUAUUACUAAAAUUUCUGCAUCACAUAGUGAAAUUUGUCCUUUAUUAUUCAAGUAUUACAUGAGGAGGUCUAAUAUCCAGCGUAUUUUCAUCAUACUGAUUUUAGUGUUAUCUAAAUUACUUUCUGGGGUUUCAAAAACUUUGGCUUAUAUCUGAUUCAUGUUGAUUUUCAUUGUAUGGACGAUAGAAGAAUUUGAGCUUUGGAGAGGUAAUAUGUAAAUGGCUACUGCCCAUGGGACGUCAUUGGGAUCAAUCAUCCCAAGAGGUGAGAAGUCAAAUUGAUUUGAAUUAUGAACACAAUAUUGUCAUUCUUUUUUUUCUUUUUUUUUUUUACAAAAAAACAGAUAGCUGAGCCUUUCCAUUAUCAAGUAAUACAUGCUUAACUAUUUGAAGGAGGGAAAGUUAUUUGAAGGGAAGUCCAGUGGCACAGCUAGAUUUUAUGCUUAAUACUAAGGAGUGCAGUUUUGCUAUAAAAGUUUGAACAGUUUCACCUAUCAUGUGCAAAGGGUGUGCAAUUUUGCAUUAGGAUUUUGAAUAUUUUCGCUUUUUCAUUAUUUAUUGUCACUCGAACACUUUCACUUGUUAUCCUCAAAAGGCAUGCUUGAUUUUUAUUUUUUUUUGUAUAAAUGGACGAGCAUUGGCAAGAAAAUAAAAGGAGAGAGAAAAAAGGAACAAAGAAAAUUGGGAUUUUGAAUAGUUCUUCCGAAAUUUUUUGUAUCCUUUAAUUAAGGAGUAAACUUUAUCAGCUACUUAUGAAUUUAGACUAAGAGGGAUAUGGACACGUAUUUUUUACUGUGCAUAUUUCUCUUGUCUGCGUAGGCACACUAGUAUAUAUGAUGUAUUAGAUUAAAGAGAAAUAUCGUUGUUAAAGUUGAGAUUUUAUAAUUUAAGAGUCCGUUUGGUUCACGGACUAGAUGACAUGGAAUGACUCAUCCUCGGAUUAUUAAUCUUGGGUUGAGUCAUCCUCGGACAAAUAAUCCAAGUUACCUAGUGUUUGGUUGGUUCUCAAUUGGAUAGGAUAUGUUGGAAAAUAAUCCUAUCACGUGUUUGGUUGGAGAUUAGAUGAGGAAGGAUUACUAUUUUAAUGACCAAAGCAUCCCUUAAUUUAUAGAUUCUUUUUAAUAAAAUAAUUUACUAUUUUAUGAAAUAUUAAUAAAAUAAUUUAAUAUUAUUUAAUAAAAUAAUUUAAUUUUUAUAAAUUUUAUUAAAAUAGAGUAGUUUAAAACUUUAUAAUUAUAAAGUAAAUCAAGGGUUUUGAUAUAUAAAAAUUUGCAUUCAUUCAAAUUUAGCCCAUUCGGGCCUUUAAAAAUAGAUUUUGUCCAAGCUUUUGAACCUAAAUUUGAAAUUCAAUUAAAUAAUGGGCCAAGUUUUGGCUAAAUUAAGGUUAAAUCGAUUAAAACCUAACUCAUUUAAGAGCUUUCAAUGAGUCGAACUCAGGCUAAUAUAGAAGAUUUUUCUUUGGAUCGAGUUUGAGUUUAUUGAAGUCCUCAUUCACCAAAUCCAAUUAAUAAGAUUAUAUAUUUAUAUAAAUUUCAUUUAGAAAAUAAGGUUAGUAAGGGUAACUUAGUCCAAGGGCAAUAUAGUCCUUCUAUUAUGAUGUUAGUAUGGCAAAUUAGUCAAAAAUUUUAAAUCAAUUAAUAAGGGUAAGCCAAAAUUUUUAAAAUAAUGAAUAGGGGCAAAUUAGUCAAAAAAUUUAAUAAAAUUAGUGGGGGCUAAUUGGUCUGUUUAUUAUGAUAUUAUUAUGAGAGUAUGGUUAUAUAAUAGCUAAUUUGAAUUUGAAUCAUUCAUAAGGAUAAAUUAGUCCAAAUAUUGUUAUAUUGGUAGUAGGGGCAAAUUAGUAAAAAAAAUUUAAAAUUAAAUAGUAGGGGCAAAUUAGUCUAUUCAUAUUAUAUUAUCAUGUGAGAGUAGGAUUAUAUAAUUAUAAGAGCAUAAAUUUGUAUUUUUUGUAAGGAUAAAUUAAUCUAAAAUUUUAUCAUCCUAUCUGUUAGUCAUCUAGAGAUGACUAAUCCCAUCUCCUCCAUGGGAUUAUUUUAUCCCAUGAAUAGAGGAUUAAUUCGGUUAGGUAGAAUGUAUCAUCUCAUGUAUAAAAUACAACCAAAUAUGGGAUGACACAAGAUAAUUAAUCCAAUUCUGUGUCAUCUCAUGAACCAAAUGGGCCCUAAAGGUUUGGGAAUCUAAUCCUCCCCGCCUCUGCAUCUUUUAAAUUCCAUUCCUCCCCUGUUCGAAAUAAUUUUUUUUUACAAAAAAAAGAAAGGCAUAACAAAAAUGCGUUCAAACUGUUCAUUUCACCCUUUUCCAUUCCGUAUUUCCAGCAUUUUAAGGAAUUAGCGGUAGAUCAUAUCUUCAAAUUUAUUUUGUUUAUAUUAUUAACAAAGAAAAUUUUGUCUCUCUACUUAAAAGCUUGUUAUUUUCUUACAUGAACAGUGAACAAAAAUUGUACUUCGGCAACCACAAAAAAUAAGACAGGGAGACAAUUUGAAGAUCCAAAUGAAGUUGGAGAGAGUUUGACAAAAAAAAAAAAAAAGAAGUUGGAGAGAGCUCAUUUCAGAAUGAGAUGAUUGAUUUUCAUCAGUGAGAGAAGUCGACUUUACUUGAAAGAGUGACGUAAAGAAUCAUGUGGCCAAUAUUUCAUUGGAUUUGCAGGCUAAUACAGCAGCUUUAACAGUGAAAUUACAUGUAUGCAUCUCAUAUUUUUGUGAUUAUUUAUUUAAGUGAAAUGUCUAUAUCAUUUAUUUUAAGAAUAUAUAAUAAUUAGAUUUUAUUUAUCUGAGUUCAAUUAGGCUCAAACUUAAGGUUGAAUUUCAGCGCAAGUUUUACAGAGUUUUACAUUGAGAGCUCAUCAAGUUCGCCCUCGAGUUUAAAUUUGAUAAAAUUGAGUCGAAAUCAAAACUGAAUUCAGCUGUCCCACUUGCUGCCAUAAUAAUCGUUAAAGAGCUUGUGACGCCCCCACUUCUCCCUAGGGCGAAUCCAAGGGUAUCGGCGGGAUGCCUGCCUAACUCUCGUCAGAACUCACUACAAGACGAAUUCAACUUAUGGAUAAACAAUCAAUAAUGAAAGUCGAAUGUACAAAGAAAAGGGUCGCUUCCUUAAUAAUUAUUCAAAUCUUACAUUACAAGUUACCAAAAGUACAUCAACUUCUCCAAAAUGUGCAACCUCCAAAAGUCAUCUAAUGAAUUACAUGCAAAAUUCUAAUCAAAAGGUCAACAGGUCGGCUUCUCCAUAAUUCUUUCCAUUUCGGCUCUUGUUAAGGAAAACAAAACUAAUGGGAUGAGCUAACUCUCAGUGAGGCUAAGAAAAGCAUGCAAACACAUAGUUCAAGUAACAAUAGUACUUAUACGAGAAAUAAAGUUAUAACGUUCAAGUAAUUCACAAUUAAAGUAAAACACACUCAAUAAGGAUACAGGAGCUCUCAGAAGUUAGAUUCCACUUGCUUUGCCGAACCUCGAUCAUAUACCUCCGCCUGUGACAUUCCGUCAACCGGGUAGGUAUAUUUAGUCCGUAGAACUCCACUUACUUCACGAAUCCUGUUCACCGUUACAACUCCCUGUUCUGGGCCCGCUCAUCAUUUAGAAAGGCGAUACUACUCGAGUAUGCCAAGCGAAAUCUCUCAAAUAGAUCAAGCUUUACGAAUUUUCUCAUGGCUCACCAAGCUUCUCGACCAAAUCCAUGCCGGCUCGAGUCGCAAGGUUAGCCUAUGAGUUUGGGCGUCCACCGAAUAUAAAUAUAAGUCGAUGAGACAACGCUCCAAUCGACGAUUUCAAAUACAAAUCACAAUAGCAACACUUCACAUUAGUGGAAUAUCGAUUCACAUAGCCAAAUUCGAAUAUAAUUUCAUGUGAAAGAGAAUGAGUGUGAUAAAGUACACACUCGUCUCGACAAUUCCAAUCUCACAUAGCGGAUGAGAAACAAUUCGAGUACUUAGCAACAAAUUCAUGCACUUGGACUCACCAAGUCAAAAAGUGAGUAAGUAAGCAAAUAACCUUUUAAGCGUCCGCUCCGAGAUUCUCUUGAAGAUCCUCUUGAGCGCCUGAAGAAAUAACGAGUAAUUAUCACUCACAACCAUGCAUCAACCAAGGAGAGUAUACUUGUUUAGAACCAAAACAAUGUCUUAAAAGAGAACUUAAUCUCUCGAAAAUUGGAAUUCAAAAGUGAGGAUUUAAAGUCUCAAGAGAGACUUGCCUCUUACAUGAAAUCGAGUUUAAAACAGUUUAUCAAUAUCAAGAGAGAGUGAAAAGUUCUCAAAACUCAUUCCCUAAGAAAUCGAAAAAUUUCAGCUUUACGCGACAAAGUUGAAAAAAUCAGAUCUUGAGUUUAGCACAUCCAAAAAUGGAAAAAUUUAUACCGUUGGAAUCUAGGUUCGAGUACUAAAAGUUCUCAGAAGACACCUUUCCAAGAUUCCAACUAGAAAGCAUUCACAAUUCAGCUCAAAGUCGCUGACUCAUUAUGACAAGACAGAACCAACCUUGGUUGUUAGCAAUGUUUGGAAAUUCGACAAAAUUCACAGGAAGUGAAUCGGCCUCUGAAAUUUGUAACACAAAAAGAGUCCCAUACAAAGUUUCAAACACGACAAGUGGAGCUAAAUUCGGAGUUUCGAGCAUCAAGAUAUAACAGUGGAAAGUCGGCUGGAUUUUUGCAAACUGUUCAGUGGAUUUCCAGAUUUGAAGAGCAAUCUUUGGAGCAUUAUUUGGGUAUUGAAUUGGCAUUGAAAUUACACCAAAUUUGGUACACUUAAACUUCCAUAUGUGGACUACUUCUCUAUCAAAUUUUAGGCAAAAACUCACACGGGGAGGCAGUUAACAAACUAUCAAAGUUUGGGGAAUUCUCAAGGCUAAUCUGCCAACUCGCCCCUUUCUUUCCUUUCAAAAGUUUGGUACAAUGAAAUCAGCCCCAAAUCAAUCCAUUUUUUAAACCAAGGUUCUAGAAACAUUUAAUAAGCAAUUGAUGGGUAAUUGACAUCAAAAUUUUUGAAACAAAACAUCCCAAAACAAACUUGACCAUUCGGCCAGCAAGAAGGGAAAAACUUUCCAGUUUCCAGCUUUGUUGCACUUUCGAAAUCAGACCACAUCUCACUCAAUACAAGUUCAAUUUAAGAAUGGUUUAUGGCGUUGUAAACUAGGUUCAAAAUGAUACAUUUCAUAAGAAAGAUUAAUUUCCAAAAUCAGUUCACAAGUGAGAGAAAAUCGAGCCACAAGAUGCAGCUUCUCCAUUCCUCUUGGACAAACAGUCACAACAGGACAGACGACUUUGCUGAAUCACUACGGUUCACUCAGUUCGAACUAGUAGGUGAUUUUUACACCGUUAAAAAGCUAUGAAUGUCUAGUUUCAAAUUCCGCAAACGCAAAUUCCGCAAACGACACUCGAUUUCGAAUUUUGUACAAAGAGAUAUGUUCAGACAAAUAACUACUAUUCGGCUACACUGAUCACCUAUUCCAGAUUUCUUUCUUUUUUCGAAAACCCUAGUUUUGAGCAACCAAAUGAAACGAUUUUUGCAAGGUACAUUCUACACACAAUAUACAACAUAUUAACAUCAAUUUCACAGCCAAACAAGCAUCAAAAUUUCGAAUUAAAAUAGAGCAACAUGGACAGAAUUUUCGGCCAGCUCUAAUCUCACACAUUUCUCAACUUUCUCUCCACUUUCUAACCGUAAUCCUCUCAUAUAACACAUAAACAACAAUAACCAAGCAACAAAUCCUCAAGGCAGCUACCUACAAGCCUCCUCAAGACCGCUAGCCUAGAGAUUAAAGCAAGAAAUGAAACUCCUCAAGUCCACUAAUCUAUUUUUUGCUUAGGGUUUCAAACCCAUGCAAAACUAACCAUGAUUCUUGAAGAAAAUGGAAAGACUAAAAGAGUUAAAGGGGUUACCUCUAAUCCUAGAUGAAAAAUCAGAUUUUUCCACCACAAUCCUCCAAGAAUCUCCACAAGAUGUUGUCUUUCUCCAAGCUAGAACUAAUCUCCAAAUAUUUUGUGAGUUGGGUGAAGAUUUUCAAGUGAAAUGGAAGCAAAAUUGGAGCAAGAUGAAAAGAGCUUUCUUCCCUUCUUUUCUUUCUUUGGGUGCCGAACAAGGAGUGAGAGAGAGAGUGUUUUGAGUGAUCAAUCUUGGUUUGGAAGCUUGAAGAAAAUGUGACCAAGAAACUUUACAAAAGUCAACCUUGAAUAGUGUUCAAAUAGUGAGAUGCACUACCACUUUUUUCUCUUGUUUGUUGCACUAGUGCACUAAUCCUCCAAUGAAAUUCCUUUAACACUCUAAUUACUCACUCUUACUAGUCUAAUAUAAAUUUCUCAAAUCUCCACUUAGUCGUUUCGACGUGGAAUGCGCGAACUUUCAACUCGCACGCGACAAAGCGAAAUUUAAAAGAAAUUCAUGCAACGACGAUAUAAUUAACUAACUCUAGGGUAAAUAAUUAUAAAAAUGACUAUUUUAAGAAUAAAAACAUGAGUCCUCACAAGGGGUGUCAACGGUCCGGGUCUGGAUAUCAGAGGUCCAAAAAGUCCAUCUCCGGCGAUGCUCUCUCCAUCUCCAUUCUCCAGCUCCAAAGAAGCCAAACCCGGUCCAGUCUCAGUCUCUUCUCUCUUGCUGUCUUGCACUCUCCAUCUCUGACGCCGGCGAGCUCUCUCCAUCUCUGACUUUGAAUAACUUUGUAAUCAGGUUUAAAACAUGUGAAACAUUUGUAAUUUUCGUGUAGCAGAGUAACUUUGCUACGUGGUUUUAUUGGUUAGGUGUUUUUCUUUUAGUUGGAUUGUGCAAUACUAUGCUUACCAGGUUGAAGAUCUGUGAACACGACCAAGUUUUCCUGUUGAAAGAAUUCCUUUUUCAACUGCUAAGUGUGGUAGGAUAAGGUUUUACAUGGGCCAUUUGAUGGUUUUAUAUGGUUGGUGUUUUUCUUUUAGUUGAAUUGAGAAAAGAGAAAUUGAAGCACAUGGAUUUUGCUCUCCUCUCUCUGAUGAAAGGUCUAAAUUUGUGGCUAUUUAUGAAGGGAAUUUGAUCAGAAUUCAAUCACUUGACUCAUAGAUACAGAUCAAUUGUGUUGUUUGCUUGUGUGAUAUACGGUUUUCCCAUAUGGAUUAGGAUGCAUUUAUCUGUCAAAGUUCCAUUCUGAUGAUGUAGCAAAAUCAGGAUUCUUUGACUGGUCUUAUCCAAGUAGGCCCGACCCGGACCCGGGACUAGUCGAAUGCGGUUCCGGGAUAAAGAAUAAGAGACCCGUCGGGUAUUCAGUCCGGGUCCGGAAUUAAUACAGUGCUACGGGUCCGGGUCCGGAUUUAUUAAUUCUGACCCGGACCCGACCCGUUGACAGGCCUAGUGAGCUUUUGUUACCGCGCAUUCUCGGCUUAUGCCUCCUAGUUUGAAGAAACGGUUAAAAACCACUGAUGAAAAGUUACAACAUAGGAGAACUUGCACAAAUACAGCAGGGAAUAAAUUCAAAGGAUGACAAAAUUCUAGCGCUGGGACAGUGAGAGAGUUUGUAUUGAUGGAAACUUGGUAGCGAUCGUUAAUAUUCCUGCUAAACUACCAUUCACACUAGAGGCCAAUUCCUCUUAUUAUUGUCCAAAAAUAAAAAGAAAAAAUUACAAAAAUAAUACUAUGCCUGCUGGGCUGACUAAACACUUUAAAUACCGGGCUAUCGAGCUGACAAAGCCCAGUAGUGAAUGGGAUCUUUUUUUUUAAAAAAAAGAUGAUCCUGGCAGCCAUCAAGAAAAAGCAAAAAAAAAGUGAAAAAGACUGGCCGUGUGAGGCCGGCAAAGAACAUUUUGUGACGGAUAAGUACAAAAUGCUUUAGUAUGCAAUCAUGUUCUCUCCCAGAAUGGAUAAAGUUUUUAUGUGCACCCAAGUGGGUUUUUAUCAACUUUCCCUUCUUUUGGUACAAAUUUCUAUCAACUUUCCAAUGUGCCUUCUAAUGUUUGGUCCAUUCCGUGGCUUAUGUUCUGUUAAAAUCAAUUAAAAGCCAAUAUCACAAGAAUGCCAUGAUACACUGGAUAGAACCCUAGCUAAGAUAUGUAAAGCGCUCGGGAUAAGUGUGUACUCUCCGUUCUUUAAAUGUUCUUUAGCAAAACCUAACUUUUUAAAAGGAUUUUAUGCUAAAAGUUUUCCAUGAAAAUAAAAGAAAAAUAUAUGCAAAUGGGCUUUUCAAAAUGAAAAAAUCGUUUAAAACGUACCUCACAUUUUGUCAAAUAAGUUUUUCACUUUCAAAAUGUUAAUUUUACGUUCCUUAUAAAUUCAAGUUAGUAAAUAUUGGUCCCAACCUAAAUUUCUGGUCACGUUUCAGCUUGAAUCAGUAUUUGACCACAUGCAAUCAUUCUUCAUGUACAAAAAUGUCAUAUUCCACUUUUUCAGAGGCAAAAAUAAAUACAAGUUAGGUCAGAUCCUACUUUUUUAGUGAAAAUAUAAAUAUGGUUAAAAUAAGAUCCUACUUUUUUGAAAGCAAAAAUGAAUAUAGAUCUGGUCAUUUGUCUAAAUAUAAUUGAGAUCUAACCAUUUUGUCCUUAAAAGAAAUGACCACACAUAGGUCACAUGAUAGAUUCAAGAUAAAAAGUCAUCGAAAAUCUAGGAAGAGAGCAAAUUUUAUCGACUUAAUUUUGUAUAGAAUGUAAAGUUACAAUUUAAAAAAUGAAGAACAAAAGAAUUUCAUUUAAUGAAAUUUGAGAGACAUUUUGAACAAUUUUCAGUUUUAAAAUUAAAUUUGCUUAGGUCUCAAAUUAUCUGAAAUUGUGUAAAUAAAAAGGGAGAACAGCUUAAAGUGUUUGUAUCUUUGACAUAUCUAGCUUUGAGAGCCAGUCUUUUUUUUUUGGCCUUUUCAUUCUUAUUUUUUUUUAAAAAAACCACAUUAGCUGCCGGGCUUUGUAAGUCCAGCAGCCCAAUAUUUUUUUUUAAAAAAAAUUUUGCCUGCACUAUCAUCAUAUCAGAGUAUUAUUUUUGUGAUUUUUUUUUUACAAUAAUCAGAGGAAUUGGCUCACACUGGAGGAGAAUUGUCGUAGUAAGUAGCAGCCAUGCCAUUGGGUAGUUAAACUUAAACAGGCUCUUGCUCUUAUUGGAUGAUUUCUCCAUCUUUGAUGUCCCUUGCCUCCUUGGACUUAAAUUACUUUUUCUGAAACCACUAUCGGUCCAUCCUUUAGAUAAUGAGUGUAUGGUUGGGAAUGUUUGGAUUGAGCCUUCCUUUCUAUUGUAAACAACACUUUUUUAAAAAAAAAAUUUUAAAAAAGUGUUGUUUCAUGAAGUAAUUAAACUUUUUUAAAAAAGUGUUACGAAAUUUUCAAAGGUGUUACAUUCCCAAAUUUUCAAAGGUGUUACGAAAAGCAGUUCCAAAAGUUUUUCAUUUCUAAGGGAAAAAAAAUUAAUGUAGAGCAAUAAUUUUGAAGAAACAAUGGCAUGCAUGACCAAAUUGGGAAAAAAAAAGUGAUGGAUCAGCCAUGCAUGUUACGUGGGGCACUUUCUUCUGCACCUUUGUGAUAAGGAUCCCAACAUUUACUUCAAGCUACAUUCAAUCAAUUUCCAAGCAUUUGGGGAAUUGCAUCCCUGAUUUGUAACACUAACAUUUCAAUAGCAUUAAAAUAGGUCAAGAAGCCCCCUUCUUUAUGAACACUAAAAAAAAUCCAAUAACAAAAGAAAAUAUUAAAAUCAACUGAAAAGAAAAAGAAAAGGAACAUUGCACUGGAUAUAAUGAAUGCUACCAACAUUGCACUGGAUAUAAGACCCUCGACUGUUAUUUAGUUUAAAUGUUUCCUUAAUAAUACGGCACAGCAACACAAUUUUACAUAUUCUACGGGCACAUUUUCAACCAUCAAGGAUUUAUUUGAUACUGAACCGGCUGUUUCCAAAACUAAACUUUGACUAUGAGUUAUAGUAGCGCUUGCAUCAAUCAAAACCACACUAUACUAUACAUUUGCUACAAGAAAAAAAAAAAGGACAGAGAGAGAAAGAAGAACGACACAGCAUGCCAGACUCUUGUGUCCUCUGAAAUGAAUAUUUUAGGUUCAAGCCUCAAGGUUGGUUUGUUGAUUAAAAAACCUUACCGUCCAGUGGGAUUCAGAAUCUCAGAGAAAACACUGUCACACCUUGAAGUUGUCACUGCUUGCCGUGGAUGUCCAAGUUGUAAUGCCACCAUCUCAAUCUUGCCAGCAGAAUCUUGAUCGCCUUCUGAUUCAGACAUCACAUCUGUAUCAUCAUCGGUCAUAUUUUGCACAUCUCCUCCAUGCAUAUGCAAGGGAAAUGGAUCAGGACGACCACCCUCAUUUUCAGCUGCCUCCUGGACUUGCAAUGCAAAUUCAAGGCCACCAACUACAUCAUCCAUUCCCGGUCGUUGAAUCCCUUGAUCUUUCAAACAAUUAAUGGCCGUUUCAGCAAAAAUCCUCAAACAUUGGGGUGCAAUCUCGCCCUUUACAUCUGGGUCCACAAGUCGAUGGAUAAUCCCUUUUUUGUAACACUUCUUGGCCCAUUCAGCCAAGUUCACCUGCUCCUGGGGUAAGUCUAGAAUAAUAGGUGCCCGACCACACAAAACUUCAAACAAAACCACCCCGAAUGAGUACACAUCAGACUUGUCCGUCAAUUGCUGUCUCGUGUAGUACUCCGGAUCUAUGUAGCCAAAACUCCCCUUGACCUGCGUGCUGAUAUGGCUGUAAAUCCCACUCGGACCGAGUUUGGAUAAUCCGAAAUCUGAAACUUUGGCCACCCAUGCCUCGUCCAAUAAUAUGUUGGUUGACUUGACAUCGCGGUGAAUGAUAGUGUGCUUGGUGCCCGUGUGGAGAUAAUCCAACCCUUUGGCGGCGCCAAUGCAGAUUUGAAGGCGUUUUUUCCAUGGGAGCGGUCGAUUGUCUGUUCUGUAGAGAUGAUCGCGGAGGGUGCCAUUAGCCAUAUAAUCGUAAACCAAGAUCAUCUCACCCUUUUCAUCACAGUAGCCUAUCAAGGAAACCAAAUGAAGAUGUCUUAAAUUUGAUAGCAUCUCGAUCUCGGUUUGGAAUUCACGGGCACCCUGUCUUGAUGAAGGAUUUAAUCGCUUUAUCGCAACCGUGGUUAGAUUGUUGUCUAUGUACCCUUUGUACACGUUUCCAAAUCCUCCCGUCCCAAUCAAUAACUUGGAAUCAAAGUUGGCCGUAACGGAUCCAAUCUCCUCCAACAAAAAUCUUCUAAGCGACGAUGAACCUGAUGCUCCAGUCUUUGUUGAACUUGCCGGGGUUGAAAGUGGGGUCCAAGAUGGCUUUGGAGCACUUUUCUUGUCCACGUCUUUUACCCCUCUCUUCCAUCGCCACCGGAAAAACAAGAAACCAAUGAUUAAAACCAUAGCAGCCCCUCCUGCUGCCCCUCCUCCGACGGCAGCAAAACGUACUCGAGAUUUUCCACGAUUCCCCUUGGGAUCAUGAUUGGUCCCGUCAAGACUGCCGUCGGUGUUAUUCAAUUUGAACAAUUCUAAGCCAUUCAAGAUUGCAUCAGCAUACUUUGGUUUGACAUCAAGAUUCGGGUGCAGAGCAAGAAACAAGUCUUGCUUGGUCUGGCGAUCGUCUGGUGGGUUUGGAACGAACACGAGGUAGUCUCUGAAUACCGGGACUUCUGGGCCGCCUGCCCAAUGUAUAACAUCAGCUUCUGGCUCAGCUAAUCUAUCACCGAUAAAUAUUAUGAACACCCGUUCGUUCUCCGCUGUUAUCAAAUCGGGAUUAAUCUCACAAAAAUGCAACCUCAGGAGAUAAUAAAACCCAGAAUCAACAGGAAACAUCCAGCUCAAGUUGAACGAGGUGCUAAACUGUCCCAUCACCCUUGCGGUACUAUAAACUAUCGGGGGUGCGGUGAAAUUUGGGGUUUCUUUAGUGUACUUGAUGGCCCGAUCAUAAUCACUCAACUGAUUUCCUUCAUCUGCGCCCCAGAGGAAUUUGAAAUCGGAAGUCCAUCUGCGGAACAUCCCACUAUCGUCCACCUCAGAAACAGCAUUACCUCCUACGUUGAGCCUGUAAAGAGCUUCAAAGGCAGUCUUGUUCUGAUCAAACUCAAACUGAACAUUUGGAUAAUCCACGAAUUUAAGGGGAUUGCUGAGCAUAACAUGUUUACCCAUGUAGAGAUCUUCCGGGGUUGAAACAACUUCAAUUCCAUUAACGAAAGCGUAGGAAUUCGAAGAGGGCAAAAAGGUAACGUUGAGGAACUGAUUCAUAUCCUGAAUAUUGAUGAUAUAUUCUUUAACAACCGAAUUGAUUAUAUGUUCUUCAAAAACAAAGGGUGGCGAGAAUCCCUUGCUAGAAACUGUGAGAUAUGCGCUAAAGUUACUGAGAAGAGUGAAGUUAUUAGCCUUGACAUUGAAGAAAGACUCCGUUGUGUUGAGACCGCCGGAGUACGAGGUAGGGUAGAAGUAAAGGCGGAGGAACUUUUUGCCUAGGCUGACAGGGAAGGUAUAAGAGAAUUGAGAACGGAUGAUUCGGGCACUUGAAAAAGGGACUCCGCUGACUGAGGAGUCUAGCUCAUCAGUGGCUGUGACUGCUGAUGAAAUAUUUGCCAUGUCGUUCGGUGAGAAUUUUGAGCCCACGUCGCCGUCCCAUUUCCGGCCAUCAACUGAGGUUGAAUUCGAGGAUGAGCCGCAGUUGAUCAGGAUAUAAUCUGUGGGGGUGUAAGGUUGAGCACUGCCAGUGGAAGCGAUGACAAACAACAAAUUGAAGAGAAAGCAGAGGUAUACAAGAAAAAGGAACAUUGGAGCAAAGACUUGCAGGGAAAAAUAAACAAUACUCCCUCCGUCCCACUUUGAUAGUUCUGGUUCUUUUUUCACACAGUUUAAUAAAAAAUAGUUAACUUUGUUGGAACAAUCAAUUUAGGUAGCUAUUUUCCUAAAAUACCCUCACAUUAAUUAGAGUACAACUUUAUGGGAACUUGAAUUGAUGGUAAAAAAAGAAUCAACUCUCAUUAAAUGGGGUAGGUUUAUAGUAACAACAACUUACAUUGAAUAAGGGUAUUUUAGGAAAAUUAAAAUACAACUACAUUCUUCAAUUGGAAAGUGGACUACAAUUUGGGACAGACGAAAAAGGAAAAUAGGACUAUCAAAGUGGGACGGAGGGAGUAUAUUUUUUCGGCUCAAAUGGUAACUCACUUUUCUGAUGGAAAAAUUGGUCGUUAUUCCAUUGAAGCGUAGGAUUGGGAUUUCGCCAUUUGCCUUUAAGAAAUGUCGUGGAAUUUAAAGUCCCCAAUUCAGAUGAAUAAGGAAACGGUAGUAGAAUUAACAUCAUGAAGUGAGGAUGGCAGUUUUAGUGUGGACUUGUUAAGUUGGAAAAGUCAAUUCAUUGGUUCCAUAACCCAACUCCGACCAAGUUUCUGGCUUAGAGUCAUAUACCCCACCACAUGCAAUUAUAGCAGGGGCAAAAUGGAAAAACAAAUUCUUCCCAAUCAAAACUAAAAGAGAAAAUGAUGAAUUUCAUCCCUUAUAUUUUUGCAAAAUAUUUUUUAUGUCUCACAUAUUUAAAGCUUGUAAAAUCUAUACCCUUACAAGUUAGAGAUGUACUACUAAUUUCAUCCAAAAAUCGAGUUUUUAUCAACUUCUAGGCAAAGGGUUGCACACCCUAGCUACAUUACAAUAUUUCAAGGCUAUUAAUCAACUAAAUGACCAAAACAAAAGCAAACGGCGAAUUAAACCUCGUUACUUCGCUGACUGAUACAUGUUUCAUUAUUUGAAGGAAAUAGUAAUGCAUAGCCACCAAGCCAGAAAAAUUCGACUGCAAAUUGUUGAUGUAGUAAUUUGUAAAAGCAAGAUAAAAUUCUUCUAUGUUUCAAUGAUGUUUACUUUUUUUUUUCGCUUGCUCUACUUUUACACUGCUCUCAUCUGUUGUUUUAUCAACAGAUUCAUAGACGAAUUUUUCCUGUUCAUAUUUUCUUCAAAUAAUCAACAUGCAUUAACUAGUGAAGCAACGAGAUUCUAGUGCGACAUCUACUUUUGUCUUCGUCAUUUGGUUGACUAAUAGGCCUUGAGAUGAUUUACAUUUAGUUGGAUAUGAAAAUAUAUAGAGACAUGCUCAGGCUGAAUGUUCUCGGGUGGAAAGUUGAUUUAGAUUUCGUUGUGGGAUGAAAUUGGUACAUGUUCAAAAUGACAGGAUGGUUUUUUUUUUUUUUGACAAACGAUAACAUUUUUAUAGAUAUUAACACUUGAUAGUCCAAGGGCUAAUUACAAAAAGGGGUAACUACCCCCAUAUCUUUCCUAGCUAAUAUUGAAAACCAAACUGGGAAUGAAUCUUCCCAUUCAAAAUUUCUAGUUGCCUUGACUGCAAAUUGCGCCAAUUCAUGGCUACAACUAUUAGCAGUUCUGGGGACAAAAGAGAAAUUGCAACUUUCAAAUCUUUUCUUCAGGACAUCAAUGUCUUCCAGGAGAGUUUGGAGUCUACCUUCCUGGACAUUGUCCGUAUUGAUGAGGCUCACAAUGUACUUGCAGUCAGAUUGGACUUCUAUAUUUGUCCAUCCUGCACCUUGAGCCAUUUCCAGCGCAUUUCUGAUUGCUAGAGUUUCCUCUCUGGCUGCAUCCCCUUUCCUCCUGUCAGUAAUUCCCUUCGCUUUCACUAUCACCCCUUGCCAGUUCCUUGCAAUGAUCCCCAAACCUGAUCUGACCAUUUUAGCUGAAAUUGUUGCGUCUGUGUUGAUCAUCAUUGUUCCUUCCUUGGGAGGCUCCCACCACUGCUGGACCUGUCGUUCCAUUUCAAGAGCUGAAGUUGUUCUCGUGUCUGAUUCAUUUGCUGCAUCGUACUCUAUCCAUUCCUGCUAUGCCUUGUCAAUUAUUUCUUUUGCAUCCACUACCUCACACUAGAAUGUUAACUUGUUUCUCGCUUUCCAGAUCUGCCAUAAAAGGUUCACCGUAAGCCUGAUCCUAUCUGCUCCUUGUGUCUCCUUUGCUACUUGCAUCACGGCUUCCCACCAUCUCCACAAGUUACCUUGUAGUGCAACUAAGACUUCCCACCUUACUGGAGCUAACUUCCAUACCACUUUAGCUUUUGGGCAGAAGAAGAAAAUGUGCUCGAUUGUUUCCGUUUCCUCUCCACAGUAGUAUCAUAUCUUGUUGUUGGUUCCAAAUCUCUUGUAUAGAGCUUCAUUUGUGGCCAUUCCAUUUUGCAAACAUCUCCAUAAGAAAUGUUUCAGUUUCAUCUUCACAUUUAAGCUCCACAAUCUUUUCCAUACUGUAUGCUUUCUAACUUCCCAGCUGGUUUCCGGAUCAGGUGCAAGUCUUCGAUUCCCUUUUUCACUUUGCUCCUUCGCCACAGCAUAACCAGAUUUCACAGUGUAAAUCCCAGACUUGCUAUAAUUCCAAAACAACCAGUCUUUUCUAUCAUAUAAGCUAAGGGGGAUAUUAGUAAUGAGAUUUACAUCACAUAUUCUAUUAUGAAGUCCUAAUUUUGAAUUAUCUUGUUUAAAAAAAAAAAAAAUAGUAAUGAGAUUUACAUCAGUUACAUUAAACCAGUAUUGCAAGAGAUCAUUCUUCCACUUUCCCCCCUCUAUUAGCUCAUGAACAAACUCGAGCUGACAUCCUAUUGGCUUAACCGUAGUUACUCUUCCAUCAGCCAAUCCAGGUAUCCAUCUGUCAUGCCAAAUCUUCACUGACCUUCCAUCUCCCACUCUCUUCUAUAGCCCCUGUUGAAGUAGUUCUCCCCCCUUAUGCAUACUUUUCCAGCACCAAGAAGCAUUAUUAGGUGGCUGUUGUCCUAACCAGCCCUCCUCUUUCAUGUACUUAGCCUUCAGGACUUUGCUUACUAACAAAUUUGGAUUGGUAACAAUUCUCCAAAUUUGUUUUGCAAGCAGAGCCAUAUUGGAGGCUUCCAGGUCUCUAAAACCCAUCCCCCCUUUCCCUUUGACCCCAGAAAGUUUGCUCCAUCUCACCCAAUGUAUCUUCUUUUCAGAUUCCCCCCCACCCCACCAGUACCUUGCAAUUCUAGCACUUAUGGCCUUACACAAUCCUUUGGGUAAUUUAAAGUAGGACAUAAUGUAAGAAGGCAUGGCCAUGAUGACUGAUUUGAUCAACACCUCUUUACCCCCUUGGCUAAGCAACUUUUGUUUCCAGCCUUGAAGCUUACUACAAAUGUUACUUAUCAAAUACCCAAAGACCUGGUUUUUAGCUCUCCCAAUGGUCAUCGGAAGGCCUAGGUAUUUACCACUAUGAGCCUCCCUCAUGUUAUCCAACACUUCACUAAUUUCCCCUCUAAGCAUCAUGGGAGUAUUUCUAGAAAAGAACAUGGCAGAUUUGUCAAAAUUUACUACCUGUCCCGUGGCUUUGCCAUACAGCUGGAUUAUCUCCUUGACCUUCUGAGCUUCUUGUUUGCUAGCUUUACAACACAAAAGGGAGUCAUCUGCAAAAAAUAAAUGUGAAACCAUGGGUCUGUCUUUGCAGAUUUUUAUACCAGUUAUGUCUUUAUUAUCCACAGCUUUCUUGAUUAGAUUUGAGAGCCCUUCCGUGCAUAUGAUAAACAAAUAAGGAGAUAGAGGAUCUCCUUGUCUAAUACCUCUGGAAGGUUUGACACAUCCUACCUUUUGUCCAUUUAAAUUAAAGGAGUAAGAAACAGUGGAAAUACAAGUCAUGAUCCAGUGAACAAAAGUAGGACAAAAACCCAUGUGUAUCAUAAUUCUACCAACAAAAUUUCCACUCCACCCUAUCAUAGGUUUUAGACAUAUCAAGCUUAAUGGUCAUGAAGCCUACUUUGCCAGAUCUCUUGCUUUUCAGGAAAUGUUGAAGUUCAUGAGCGAUGAUAACAUUGUCUAGAAUUUGUCUACCUGGAACAAAAGCAGAUUGGGAUGGGCUAAUGCUGUGCUUAAGAACUUUUUUCAGUCUAUUAGCCAAAAGCUUUGAAAUGGUUUUGUACAAAACAUUGCAUAGACUAAUAGGUCUGAAAUUAGUUAACAUCACGGGGUUAUCAACCUUGGGAAUUAGGGAAAUGAUGGUCUCAUUUAUAGACUUAAGGAGAUUACCCGUAUGAAAAAAACUAGUAAUGGCAUUGACCAUGUCACCUUUUAUAAUACUCCAGUAUGUUUGAAAAAAGCACGGGGACAUACCGUCAACUCCAGGAGCUUUGUUAGGAAACAUAGAAAAAAUGGCUUGUUUGAUUUCCAACUCGUCCACAGGUUUAAUCAACUGAGCGUUCAUGAGAUUGGAAAUAGUGCGCGGUAUGCCUUGUAGCACUUCAUCAAAUUCUGUUGGAUUAUUGGAUGUGAAGAGCUUCUUGUAGUGCUUACACAAUUCUUCCUCAAUUUCCUGAUCGCUCCUACACCACUCCCCAUCAUUCUUUUGGAGGAUGCUGAUCCUGUUUCGUUUCCUUUUGGCCAUGACACUUUGGUGAAAAUACGCAGUAUUUUUGUCCCCCUCCUUGAGCCAUCUACUUCUUGAUUUCUGGCUCCAGUAUAGCUCCUCCUCCUUAUAGGCUUUGCUUAACUGAAGCUUCAAAGCUGUAAUGACUCCCUUAUUGCACAUCUCAUCCGCCUCUCUAGCUGCCUUCAAUUGCUCCUUUGUCUCCUGAAUUUUUGCCUUUGCAUUACUUUUGCUGUCCCGUUCCAAUCAAUCAAUGCAAGUCUGCACUCCUUAAUUUUCCUCACUACUUUAAACAUUCUGGACCCUUGUUGUUCUCUCCCCCAAGCCGUUUUAAUUACCACUUCAGAUGCUUUGUCUUUUGCCCAUCUUUGAUCAAAGAAAAACCUUCUUUUUCCUCUCCUUUGUUAUGGGUUCGUAUCCACCAGAAGAAGGCAGUGAUCGGAUGCCUCUUUUUCAAUAUGCUCACAAGUUACAUUUUCAUAUAGCUGCAUCCAUCCAACACUCCCUAAACAUCUAUCCAACCUCUCCUUUACCUCACCCUUCCCGUCCCAUGUAUUACUCCAGGUCCAAGGAACCCCUACAAAUCCUAUAUCCACCAGCUCAUUCCCAGAAAUGAAGUUAUUGAAGUCCCUAAAGCUACCCUCUGAUCUUUCUCUCCCUCCCCAUUUCUCUCCAUUAGAGCAAAUAUCAUUAAAAUCUCCCAUUACAGCCCAUUUAUCACCCCAAUCCCUCUUUUUUUUCCUCUAUUGUUUUCCAUUGGUGUUUCCUAACUCUAUCCUCCAUACUAGCAUACACGCCUAUCAGCCACCAGUCAUCAUUUGUUUGCUUAUCUACUACCUUCGCAGCGAUGUACCAAUCCGCACCUUGUACCUCCAGCCAAACCACAUGACAGGGAUGGUUUUGCUUUCCUUUGAAUGUGAUGCAUGAAAGAAAAUAUUUUCAAAUAUGUGAGGGACAAAGUUGGUCAUUUCCUCAUUUAAUUUUAAAGGGGAAGAGUUUUACCUUUCGAUUUUGCCCCUAAUAUAUUAAGCGCGUGAUUGGGGUAUGUAAUUCUUAGCUGGAGAGUUGAUCGAAUUUGAUUUAUGGGAUUAAAGUGGUAUAUUUCCAAAAUAUAAGGCAUUAUUUUAUGAAUUAAUUUUCUAUACACCAACAACAUAUACACUUUCACCAUUAGAUGCAUGACAUGUAAUCCGAAUUUAAAUUUGAAACUCAAAUUUUGCAUAUGUGUCGUAUAUCCGAUCGUGAUAGUGAAUACAUCGUCAGUGUAUAAAAGAUUUACUCUUAUUUUAUACCAUUGUAAGUAUGGGGCACGAAAAAAUCUUUUCUAAAAAAUAAGGGACUAAUUGGGUCUUUUUUUUUUAUUUUUGGGCGAAGGUGCUUGGUACAAAAAUCUAUUUACCAUAGCUGUGAGAAUGAAAUAGGAGGAUUUACAUUAAUUGAUCAGAACUUGAUUUUGGGGUGCAGAGAUGCUGAGAACAUCCAUGAUAAUUUAGCAAGAAAGAAGGAAUAAGGACAUAGAAGUUUUCUCCUUUCUAGUGGUGGGGUUAAAUUCUUAUCAUUUCUUGUCAUCCUCGAGCAAGUCUUUUGAUCAACGUUACUUUUUUUUAAAUUCAAAUGAUCGUCAUUUUUAGAGGACAAUUGUAAGUUAUCUUGGAAAUUAUAAUGAAUAAAAUUAUCUUUUUCAAUUGAAAAAAUAUCAAAUUAUACUGUAAACAUUAAAUUAUUAUGUAUAUCUUGGUUCAGGUGCUCAUUUCCCUUUAUCAUACAAUAUAAAGGAAUGGUCUGUCCUUUGGAACAUCCAAUAAAAUUGGAACGAUAUAGAGAAGAUUUGCAAAGACUAUGCAAGUGUGACACACAAAAAUGAGAAAAAAAGGAUGGUCUAAUUUUUUAUUGGUGUUCGUUGUAGGGUUAGGUAUUAAAAUACAACUCAAAAAAAGAUUGAUGGAUAAAAUCAAAAGAUGCGUGAAUAGUAUAGCACACUUAGCAAUUUCCUUUGUCCUGGGCAUUGGUCUCCAAAAGAAUCCUUUAAUGGCAGAAGAAAUACCAACACGAGUUGAUUUACAAGUUACAACUCAUCGGAUCUACAAGUUACAACUCAUGGAAUUAUGUACUUUUGAUUUUAAAACUUCAAUCUUAAUUACAUGACUACUUCACAAAAGACUCAUUUGCUAGGAAAAAAAAAACUUGGCAAGCUAGAGUGGUGGCCUGUGGGUACUAGCAGUGAUAUACUGAUAUUACACAAAAUAAAGUAGUGGAUGCUGCCGCGCCGGGGGAGAACAUCUUUUGUUUUCUUUUGUUUUCUCUUUUCGACGUGUUUGCAGGAAAGUUAAUGAGCUAGGAAAAGGGCCAAAAAAAAAAAAAAGUUAUGAAGUGAGAUAAAAGCGGACGAAUAAAGUGGGCUUCUAUUAUUAGUGUUUUGAAAAGGGAAAGUGUCUCAACAUAAGAAAGCAAUAGACAUGAGUGUCUGUAGUAAAAUGAUAAAUCGUAAGAAAAAAUAUUAAAAAAUGGAUUAUUCAAUUUAUUUUCUAUAUUUAAUAAUCAACUUAGCUAACGGUUGGUCAAUGAGCACUCGUCACAAACAUUCAAAUGUUAGUUUUUUUUUUUUUUUUUGAAAAAAUACAGUGAAUUUAGGAAGUGUUUAAAUAAAUGGGGCUCAAUAAUUAUGAUUGAAUUUAUUCAUAGGGUAAUUUAAGUGUAAUUUAGUUGUACUAACAAGUUCUACAUUAAAAAAAUCUUUUAAUAAUUAUAAUUUUUUUUAAUGAGAAUGGGUAUUAGCUAAUGCACUUGAUUUAUACCAAAGAUUACACUGUGAAAGCACGUACUUACGCUCCUUGUCCUUCUUGAAUUCAAACACACUUUCCUUAUUUAAUUUUAAUUUACUAAAUAGCUUGCGGAUGAGACCUCUCUUGAUGGGUCCAAGUGAUGAAUCCAUACUUAGGUUCAUACCUUAGAUUUUCAUAUAGGAGAUUUCUAACGAGUGCCUAUACACCUAAAUCAUACCUUAUUAGCUACAUAAAUUCACAAUAUAUUUUUUCUAAUUAAUAUUACUUUUUUCAAAAUAUGAACACUUGAAAUCCAUUAUUGGACAUUCCUUUGACAGACUCUUUCAUAUAUAACCAUUCUACUCUGAAUAACUAACCUGUGAUCAUUAAAAAUUGAACCGAAAUUCAAAUUAAAUAAAAUAUUUUUAUUGAUUAAAUGCUAGUCAAAUUGAUUGCAAAUUCAAGCAUCGCAAUAGGCAGACCUUUCUGGGAUCUACAGCUUCUUUUAUCUUGGAUCAUGCACAAUGCAGCAGCAUUGAAGACCACUAAAUCCAGGAACGCAUAAAAAUCAUUCACAUGAGAAGAAUUAUUCGUAUAUGACAGGAGACAACAAAGCAACCAAUUAGUUUGAAAAUUUUAGGAUUAGCUUCCCCUCCCCGUGAACGGGGUUUGCUUUUAAAAAAAAUGUUUGGAAGCCAAGACAUCAACAUGCCAAGGGCUUAGAAUCUGUAGAAUAAACAAAUAAAUUGAACUCCAUUUGAAAUUCCAACUUGAUAAACUUGAGACUUAAAUCAAACACCCAAUUUCAUUUGCCAAAAUCUUUGAUCAAAGGCUCGAUUGAUUUGUGAACUCCACUUUCGAGUUUCUAUCAAUGUAUGAUACAGCUUAGGUAGAAGCAUUACCAUUAGAAUAUCCAGAAAGAACAAGAGUCACGAGGAUGAGUGAAACCAAUUGAACGCUCCUUGAUGCCAUUGUGCUGUUUGUUGAUGCCAAACCAAUAUGAACAGCACAUACAACAGAACUAGCCUUGCCUAUUUAUAACGAAAUGAUAUUGAUAAUUAGAAACGUGUCAUCACUUAUGUGGUUCAGAUUUAGGUUCAGGUUGACCUGUAUACACACUUUGACAAAUGGCUUAUCCGUAUAUUAAAGCUUUUGAAAAUCCGAUUCAUCAUCUUCGAGUGAGACAAUUGACAGAUUAAUUGGCUAUUGUCGUUUUUUGCUUUUUUUUUUUUCUCUUGAGUGGUUUUUUAUGUGGAACCGUUUCUAAAUGAAACUGAUAGAAGACCAACUUUCAAAAAAGAUUUACCAACCGUUUGGUUGGUGGGUUUUCUACUCUUCAAUGGGUAGAGAAAGUGCCUUAUACCCAUAUAUAGAUGAUGUUUGAUAUACUUCUAUGGGUAUUGUUCAAUCACAAUCAAAAACCCAAAAGUAGGUAAUGGUCAUUACUGACCAAUUUGUGGGGGGAAAUGAACCCCAUUGACGAAUUUAAUACUAAAUGACAUAAGAAAAAUACAAAAAGAAUGAAGAUACGGCUAUCUGUCCAUAGCGACACCAGUCUUUCUUUCUUCUUGUACUCUUUUUUUUUCUCCUUUUUCCUUUUCUUUUUGUGUUUUUGUAAGCAUACUGAUGUUCCUUCCUUUCCUUUAUUCUCUCCUCCAAUCUUUUUCUUCUUCUUUUCUCUUGAUGGCCAGUAGGUGGCGGUGGUCAGGGACGGAGCCAGAAAUUUAUUUUUGGGGGGGCUGAAGUGUAUUAAAAAUUUUUUUUUGUGACGAAAUAAAUAUAUUUAUUAGUAAAAUUUAGAAUCAAUAAUUAUAAAAAUAAUAAAAACAUAUAAUUAUACAUACCCAAAAAUUUGUUAUUGAUUAACACUUGAAGUAUUGGUAGUUGUUGCACUCGAAUAACGAAGAGGAGGCAAUUGCAUUCUGCGAGUCUUCAUCCGUUGAAAACGUUGCAAUAUUUGCUCAUUUUCAAUUGUUGCAAAAAUAUCCUUCUCGAUGUAUACAACCAGACAGUCAUUCAUCCACUCGUCUCCCAUUUUGUUGCGCAAAUCAGUCUUGACAAUAUUCAUUGCAGAAAAUACUCUUUCAACAGAAGCAGUCGCAACUGGUAGAACUAAUGCCAACUGGAUCAGACGAUAAACAAAUGGAAAAACUGUAUUUUUACCAGUUUUAACCAUUUGUUGAGCAAGACUUCCCAAAUCUCCAACUUCUGAAAAUUGAGGAUCGCGUUGCACAUUAUAAAUAUAAUUUCGAAGUUGAGACUCAAGAUAUAAAUAAUCGUUACUUGAGAAGUCUUCAGGAUAUAAAUCAGCAAGACGGAGUAGUUUCUGCACAUUGAAUUGAGAGAAAGAACUUUUUGGAUCAAGACAUGCUAUGCAACUAAGCAAUUCCGUGCUAACUUCCGAGAAACGAUUAUUCAUCUCUUGUAUAAUUAAAUCAACAACCUGACAUCACAACAAUAAUAAAAUUAAUAACUAAGAAAAUCUGCUAACAAGUAACAAAUGUAAUGAAAUAAUAAUUUCAAAAAUAAUACCUCACAAAAAAUUUCCACGCGAUAAUGAUGAAAAUUAGUGAUGGUUUGACCUCUGCGACUGCGCCUGGCAUUGCCACGGAUUGCUAUACUGUCUUCCAUAUCAAUCACGGGAAUCAUAUUCAACUCACAAAAAUUGUUGACUUCAUCUAAAAUUAUUUGCCAUCCCUCUUCCCUAAAGUCUUGCAAUUGAGAUUUCAUAGUAUCAAUCAAACUCAUGGCUUGGACAAUAUUUUGAUCCCUUUGUUGCAAAACAAGUGACAAGUCAUUUGUGAUUCCCAAUAAAUACUUCAUCAGGUGCAAUGCAAAAACAAACUCAUAAUCAUUCAUUCUAUCAAUCAAACCCCUGGCCAUACCUCUAUUGUCAGAAGUGGAGGCAUCAUCUUGUAUAUUUCCCAAUAUUCCAAUCACCGAAGCCCACAUAGAGGAUAGACGAAGUAAUGUUAGAUAGUGUGAUCCCCAACGAGUAUCCCCUGGUCUUGCUAAACUAGUUUCUUGAUUUUUGCCUUUUCCACUAAUAAUAUCUCCACUGUCUAAAAGUGUAACAAUCUUAUCAUGUUCUAUUUGUCUUAAUUGAUCUCUCCUUUUACAUGAUACUCCAGUUAAAUUGACAAUCAUAGAGACAUAGACAAAGAAUUCACUGACAAUGAUAUUUCCCUUAGCAACAGCAACAAUAACUAACUGGAGUUGGUGAGCAAAACAGUGAAUAUACAUCGCAUAGGGAUUUUCUUGUAAUAUAAGGGCCUUCAAACCAUUGAACUCACCUCGCAUAUUUGAAGCUCCAUCAUAUCCUUGACCUCUCAAUUUGGAUAAUGAUAAUCCGUGUUGCGCGAAUAAAGAAUCAAUUGCAUCUUUCAAACAAAGAGAUGUGGUGUCAGACACAUGUACAAUUGCAAGGAAACGUUCAAUCACACGCCCUUCUUUGUUCACAUAUCUCAAAAUAACUCCCAUUUGCUCUUUCACUGAACUGUCUCGAGACUCAUCAACUAUUAGGGAAAAAUAAUUGUCUCCAAUAUCAUUGAUUAUAACACUUGUGAUCUCUGAGGCACAAGCAUGUGCCAGCUCUUUUUGAAUCAUUGGAGAAGUUAGUUGAUUAUUUGCAGGAGCAUUUUGAUUUACAACCUCAAAAAUCUCAGUAUUUCGCUGGCUAUACCACUCAAACAAUUCAAGAAAAUUGCCUCUAUUUGAAGAACUAGUUGACUCAUCAUUUCCACGAAAAGCCAAUCCUUGCUUCAAAAGAAAGCGGGUCACAUCCAGAGCAGCAGUUAAACGGGUGCGAUAUGCAAUAUCUAUUUCGCGCCCACAAGAUCGUAGCACAUUUGACACACUAUGCCUUUGAUCUUGAAAACUUUCAAACUGUAUUCUAGCAUCAUUAUGGCAACUAUUCACAGCUCCAAUAUGUUCAUUAAAUCUUUCCAUUGCCUUUUUCCAAUUAUUGAAUCCCGUUUUUGUAAAGGCAUCCUCUGCAUAUCGACCUCCCUUAUUUUGUGUUUUGAAAAGAAAGCACCAAAAGCAAAACGCCGCAUCUUUCGAUAUGCUAUACUCUAACCAUACAAACUUUUGAUACCAACUAUCUUGGAAACUUCUAUGUUGUUUACCAAAUGAUGUUUUUGGAUACAUAUGGCCAAUCGGUUGGCAAGGUCCCCUAGUCAAAUACUCUCUUCGGACAUGGUCUCGAAGAGAAAUAUCAAAUUUCUCAACUGAUUUUCGUAAUCCCGGAUCACUAACAAUAUCAUUUAAAUUCAAUUCCACACAAGAUUGAUUUUGAACUGGUUCACUAAUAUUAGGCUCAUUUGAAGAUUCACCACUACGGACUCGUUUAGGUUUAAAGAAUCUCUCCAUUUUCUGUCACAAUUAAAUAAUUGUGGUUAAAUUCAAUAAAAUUAUGCAAUUCAAUAAUCAAUUAAUUUAAAAUUCAUAUAAAUAAUUCUUUAAUUUAAUAAUAAAUUCAUAUUACUUAUAUUUCUCAAUUUAUAAAAUUCAUUAUAUAAAAUUAUCAAAAAGUUAAAAUAAGGUACAACUAAAUACCCAUAUAAUUUCUAAUUCAAUCUCAUAAAAUUUUGAAUUUAUAUUUACAUUCAAAAUUUCUAAUUCACAUAAUUAAUUCUUAAAAUUUCAAAUAUAAAACUAACAAAAUUUUAAAAACUAAAUACAACCUAAAAUCUAUACAAUUUCUAAACUAAUUUCUAAUUUAAAUUUAAUAUCAUUAAAUUUUUUAAUGUAAUCUUUCAAAUUCUUAAAUUACAUUAACAUAAACUAAAUAAAAAUUAAUCUUAAUCAAAUUAAUAUCAAGAUACUCAAAAUUCAAAAAUAAUUUAAACAUAUAAUUAACAAAAAUAUAAAGAUGAAUAUUGUAAUUUAAACCAAAAAACUAACCUAAAAGAUUUAUGUGAAUGGAAUGGUGGAGAGUUGGAGUCUUGGAGCCUUGAAUUGAAGGCUUGAAGCAGGAUGGUAGAAUCUCAACUGAAGCUUCUUGGAGUUCUUGGAGCCUGGCGUGAGUGGCGUCUUCUUCUUGGAGUUGGAGACUUGGAGUCUUCGUGAGUGGCUUCGGUGUUUGGCCUUUGGCCUUUGGCAUUGGCGGCGUGCUUUUGCAUCAGAUGAAGCCUUAGGGCUUCAUCUGAUGUAUUUUUUUUCCCUCAUUAUACAAAACGACGUCGUUCCACUAAAAGUGAAACGACGUCGUUUUGUAUUUAGAGGGCAAAAAAAAAAUUCAACAUAAAUUGGGUCAUCUUCUUCCUCGGACCUCAGCAGUCAGCAGACUCAGCAGUCAGCACGGCAGGCUGGCAGCGGCUUUCCAGGCCCAGCUCUUCUUCACUUCCUCUGCAGCAUUCAUGGAGGCAUGGAGCCAUGGAGGAUGGUAGAUCUGGAUCACCGUGGGGGGACUGGGCUGGGCUGGGCUGGCCGCCGGAAUCCCCUAUAUGGCUAUAUAUAGGGGAUUUUCCGGCGGCUUGGGGGGGGCUUAAGCCCCCACCAGCCCCCCCUUAAAUCCGUGCCUGGCGGUGGUGUUGGUGGCCAUUGUGAAUUGCUUGGGUGAAGCUUUUGGUUUUUUGGCAAUUAUUGUGACUUUGACAAAUUUUUCUUUAUGAAACCUUAACACCCGUAAUUUUGUGAUUUGCAGGCAAAACAUAGCAUCACCUUGUGUCUGUCUGUGUGUUUUUUUUUUUUUUUUGGUCUUCAAGAUUUUAAGUUUGACUCCAUGUGUUAUUGGACAAUUCGAUGUCAAAUUAAUUUAAAUUUUAACUUCUCCAAAGUGAGAUGAUUUUUUUGAUAGUCAUUUGGUAUAUAAAUUUUUUGAACUAGUUGAAGUGGCUUGCCACUUUAGUGGUGAUGGUGGUUGAAAGUGGUUAAGGUUUAGUAUUGGAACUUAGGAAGAAGAAGGGAAAAUAAAAAAAAAAUUGAAAACCCAUUCCUUUUGAUUACAAUACCAAACAAUCAAUAAGUUUUUGGCAAUACUCAUUGCCAUCGAAGAAUUUUUAUAGCCAUUGCUACUGCUAUUCCGUAGGGUAUGCCAAACGGGUGGUUGGAUAUGGCAACCAACACGCCUGAGGAUGGAGAAAUAAGGCAGGGGUGGGAGUGGGGGAUUUUUUAACCCCACCUCAAGUGGGGCAAGGGAUGGGGGAACAUAUCACGCUCCAUCCCCCGCCUAAAUUUUGACGUAGUAUAACAUCUAUGUAUGUUUAUAUAUAUAUAUAUAGAGAGAGAGAGAGAGAGAGAAAACUAGAAGGAAUUAGGCUGUGCAAGCACAGCUUAGCCCUACCUAUAAAAUUCUGGUUAAAUGCAUCACAUUAUAAUUGCUUUCAAAUAAAGAGCAAUUACAAUUGCUAAAAAAUAAGGUUUAUUUUUAGUAGAAUGUUCCAAAAGUUUGCUCCAACUUGCUUAUUGUAAUGUAGUAGAGAUAUAUUGUUGUAUUGUAUGGACAAAUAGCGAUAAAGAAUUUAAAAACCAAACACAUGAAAAAUGCAAAACCAGUUCAAAAUGACAGGAUGGUUUUUUUCGGCUCAAAUGUUCUGAUGGAAAAAUUGGUCGUUAUUGCAUUGAAGCGUAGGAUUGGGAUUUCGCCAUUUGUCUUUAAGAAAUGUUGUGGAAUUUAAAGUCCCCAAUUCAGAUGAAGGGUCUGUUUGGUUGGAAGUAAAAUGUUUUCCUUGGGAAAAUAUUUUCCGUGGAAGUAAUUUUCCAUGAAAAUCAUUUCCCUUUCAUCAUUUUCAGGUGUUGGAAAAUCAUUAACUCUCUAAGCGUGGACUUGUUAAGUUGGAAAAGUCAAGUCAUUGGGCAGAUUUAAUGCAUCAAGUCAUUAGGCCAAUGGCCACUUGCCAUUUGGUCCAGUGGUCAUCACCAUAUUUGGUGAUGCUGGAGGUCAGGGGUUCAACCCCUGCCUCCCACAAAUUUGCCACAAUAUGUGGCUGUAGGGAUGGCAACGGGGCAGGGUUGGGGCGGGGGACCCCUCCCCCGUCCCCCGCCCCGUUGCCUAUUAGUUCCCCCCAUCCCCCGCCCCGUCCCCCGCCUCCCGCUCCCCCCGCCCCGCCUUGCCCCGCUUCCCCCGCGGGGGCACCCGCGGGGUUAAUAAAAUUUUAUUAUAUAAUUUUAUUAUAAUUAAAUUUUAAUAAAUAAUCAAGUACUAAAAUAUUAACACAUCACAAAAUUAUUAUUCAUUGUAAUUUUACAAUUGAAACUCAUAAAAACAAUCAAACAGAAGUUAUUUGAAUACAAUCCAAUAUGAUGAAAUAAAUAUAACUAAAAUAGUCAAAUUUUCACUUUUAGUACAAAUGCAAUCACUAAUUCAUCAUUGUGUUUGUGCUUUUUUUUGAGAAAAAAUGUUAUUCUAUUAAGUGUAAUUAGAAAUUUAGUAUAAAUGUAUUAGUAAAUUUAGUAUAACUAAUUAAUAAAUUCUAUUAGUAGACAUGUAUAAUUAUUAAUAUAAUUGAUAAUAUCAAUUAUAUUACAUAAACUAAUAUACAUUAUAUAAUACAUCUAACUAAUAAUAUCAUUAUCAUAAGUUUACAACUAAUUAACUUACAUAUAAUAUAUAGUCAUUUAUAUAUAUAUAUAUAUAUUUUGCGGGUGGCGGGGCGGGGGAUGGGGCGGGGGUAUACCCCCCGCCCCCCGCCCCGUUUCUAAGCGGGGGGAAAAAAUUCCCCCCCGCCCCCGCCCCACCCCCCGCCCCAACCCCCGCCCCGUGAGCCCCCCGCGGGCACCCGAGCUACAUAAAUUCACAAUAUAUUUUUUCUAAUUAAUAUUACUUUUUUCAAAUAUGAACACUUGAAUCCAUUAUUGGACAUUCCUUUGACAGACUCUUUCAUAUAUAACCAUUCUACUCUGAAUAACUAACCUGUGAUCAUUAAAAUUGAACCGAAAUUCAAAUUAAAUAAAAUAUUUUUAUUGAUUAAAUGCUAGUCAAAUUGAUUGCAAAUUCAAGCAUCGCAAUAGGCAGACCUUUCUGGGAUCUACAGCUUCUUUUAUCUUGGAUCAUGCACAAUGCAGCAGCAUUGAAGACCACUAAAUCCAGGAACGCAUAAAAAUCAUUCACAUGAGAAGAAUUAUUCGUAUAUGACAGGAGACAACAAAGCAACCAAUUAGUUUGAAAAUUUUAGGAUUAGCUUCCCCUCCCCGUGAACGGGGUUUGCUUUUAAAAAAAAUGUUUGGAAGCAAGACAUCAACAUGCCAAGGGCUUAGAAUCUGUAGAAUAAACAAAUAAAUUGAACUCCAUUUGAAAUUCCAACUUGAUAAACUUGAGACUUAAAUCAAACACCCAAUUUCAUUUGCCAAAAUCUUUGAUCAAAGGCUCGAUUGAUUUGUGAACUCCACUUUCGAGUUCUAUCAAUGUAUGAUACAGCUUAGGUAGAAGCAUUACCAUUAGAAUAUCCAGAAAGAACAAGAGUCACGAGGAUGAGUGAAACCAAUUGAACGCUCCUUGAUGCCAUUGUGCUGUUUGUUGAUGCCAAACCAAUAUGAACAGCACAUACAACAGAACUAGCCUUGCCUAUUUAUAACGAAAUGAUAUUGAUAAUUAGAACGUGUCAUCACUUAUGUGGUUCAGAUUUAGGUUCAGGUUGACCUGUAUACACACUUUGACAAAUGGCUUAUCCGUAUAUUAAAGCUUUUGAAAAUCCGAUUCAUCAUCUUCGAGUGAGACAAUUGACAGAUUAAUUGGCUAUUGUCGUUUUUUGCUUUUUUUUUUUUCUCUUGAGUGGUUUUUUAUGUGGAACCGUUUCUAAAUGAAACUGAUAGAAGACCAACUUUCAAAAAAGAUUUACCAACCGUUUGGUUGGUGGGUUUUCUACUCUUCAAUGGGUAGAGAAAGUGCCUUAUACCCAUAUAUAGAUGAUGUUUGAUAUACUUCUAUGGGUAUUGUUCAAUCACAAUCAAAAACCCAAAAGUAGGUAAUGGUCAUUACUGACCAAUUUGUGGGGGGAAAUGAACCCAUUGACGAAUUUAAUACUAAAUGACAUAAGAAAAAUACAAAAGAAUGAAGAUACGGCUAUCUGUCCAUAGCGACACCAGUCUUUCUUUCUUCUUGUACUCUUUUUUUUUUCUUUUUUCCUUUUCUUUUUGUGUUUUUGUAAGCAUACUGAUGUUCCUUCCUUUCCUUUAUUCUCUCCUCCAAUCUUUUUCUUCUUCUUUUCUCUUGAUGGCCAGUAGGUGGCGGUGGUCAGGGACGGAGCCAGAAAUUUAUUUUUGGGGGGCUGAAGUGUAUUAAAAAUUUUUUUUUGUGACGAAAUAAAUAUAUUUAAUAAGUAAAAUUUAGAAUCAAUAAUUAUAAAAUAAUAAAAACAUAUAAUUAUACAUACCCAAAAAUUUGUUAUUGAUUAACACUUGAAGUAUUGGUAGUUGUUGCACUCGAAUAACGAAGAGGAGGCAAUUGCAUUCUGCGAGUCUUCAUCCGUUGAAAACGCUGCAAUAUUUGCUCAUUUUCAAUUGUUGCAAAAAUAUCCUUCUCGAUGUAUACAACCAGACAGUCAUUCAUCCACUCGUCUCCCAUUUUGUUGCGCAAAUCAGUCUUGACAAUAUUCAUUGCAGAAAAUACUCUUUCAACAGAAGCAGUCGCAACUGGUAGAACUAAUGCCAACUGGAUCAGACGAUAAACCAAUGGAAAAACUGUAUUUUUACCAGUUUUAACCAUUUGUUGAGCAAGACUUCCCAAAUCUCCAACUUCUGAAAAUUGAGGAUCGCGUUGCACAUUAUAAAUAUAAUUUCGAAGUUGAGACUCAAGAUAUAAAUAAUCGUUACUUGAGAAGUCUUCAGGAUAUAAAUCAGCAAGACGGAGUAGUUUCUGCACAUUGAAUUGAGAGAAAGAACUUUUUGGAUCAAGACAUGCUAUGCAACUAAGCAAUUCCGUGCUAACUUCCGAGAAACGAUUAUUCAUCUCUUGUAUAAUUAAAUCAACAACCUGACAUCACAACAAUAAUAAAAUUAAUAACUAAGAAAAUCUGCUAACAAGUAACAAAUGUAAUGAAAUAAUAAUUUCAAAAAUAAUACCUCACAAAAAAUUUCCACGCGAUAAUGAUGAAAAUUAGUGAUGGUUUGACCUCUGCGACUGCGCCUGGCAUUGCCACGGAUUGCUAUACUGUCUUCCAUAUCAAUCACGGGAAUCAUAUUCAACUCACAAAAAUUGUUGACUUCAUCUAAAAUUAUUUGCCAUCCCUCUUCCCUAAAGUCUUGCAAUUGAGAUUUCAUAGUAUCAAUCAAACUCAUGGCUUGGACAAUAUUUUGAUCCCUUUGUUGCAAAACAAGUGACAAGUCAUUUGUGAUUCCCAAUAAAUACUUCAUCAGGUGCAAUGCAAAAACAAACUCAUAAUCAUUCAUUCUAUCAAUCAAACCCCUGGCCAUACCUCUAUUGUCAGAAGUGGGCAUCAUCUUGUAUAUUUCCCAAUAUUCCAAUCACCGAAGCCCACAUAGAGGAUAGACGAAGUAAUGUUAGAUAGUGUGAUCCCCAACGAGUAUCCCCUGGUCUUGCUAAACUAGUUUCUUGAUUUUUGCCUUUUCCACUAAUAAUAUCUCCACUGUCUAAAAGUGUAACAAUCUUAUCAUGUUCUAUUUGUCUUAAUUGAUCUCUCCUUUUACAUACUCCAGUUAAAUUGACAAUCAUAGAGACAUAGACAAAGAAUUCACUGACAAUGAUAUUUCCCUUAGCAACAGCAACAAUAACUAACUGGAGUUGGUGAGCAAAACAGUGAAUAUACAUCGCAUAGGGAUUUUCUUGUAAUAUAAGGGCCUUCAAACCAUUGAACUCACCUCGCAUAUUUGAAGCUCCAUCAUAUCCUUGACCUCUCAAUUUGGAUAAUGAUAAUCCGUGUUGCGCGAAUAAAGAAUCAAUUGCAUCUUUCAAACAAAGAGAUGUGGUGUCAGACACAUGUACAAUUGCAAGGAAACGUUCAAUCACACGCCCUUCUUUGUUCACAUAUCUCAAAACAACUCCCAUUUGCUCUUUCACUGAACUGUCUCGAGACUCAUCAACUAUUAGGGAAAAAUAAUUGUCUCCAAUAUCAUUGAUUAUAACACUUGUGAUCUCUGAGGCACAAGCAUGUGCCAGAUCUUUUUGAAUCAUUGGAGAAGUUAGUUGAUUAUUUGCAGGAGCAUUUUGAUUUACAACCUCAAAAAUCUCAGUAUUUCGCUGGCUAUACCACUCAAACAAUUCAAGAAAAUUGCCUCUAUUUGAAGAACUAGUUGACUCAUCAUUUCCACGAAAAGCCAAUCCUUGCUUCAAAAGAAAGCGGGUCACAUCCAGAGCAGCAGUUAAACGGGUGCGAUAUGCAAUAUCUAUUUCGCGCCCACAAGAUCGUAGCACAUUUGACACACUAUGCCUUUGAUCUUGAAAACUUUCAAACUGUAUUCUAGCAUCAUUAUGGCAACUAUUCACAGCUCCAAUAUGUUCAUUAAAUCUUUCCAUUGCCUUUUUCCAAUUAUUGAAUCCCGUUUUUGUAAAGGCAUCCUCUGCAUAUCGACCUCCCUUAUUUUGUGUUUUGAAAAGAAAGCACCAAAAGCAAAACGCCGCAUCUUUCGAUAUGCUAUACUCUAACCAUACAAACUUUUGAUACCAACUAUCUUGGAAACUUCUAUGUUGUUUACCAAAUGAUGUUUUUGGAUACAUAUGGCCAAUCGGUUGGCAAGGUCCCCUAGUCAAAUACUCUCUUCGGACAUGGUCUCGAAGAGAAAUAUCAAAUUUCUCAACUGAUUUUCGUAAUCCCGGAUCACUAACAAUAUCAUUUAAAUUCAAUUCCACACAAGAUUGAUUUUGAACUGGUUCACUAAUAUUAGGCUCAUUUGAAGAUUCACCACUACGGACUCGUUUAGGUUUAAAGAAUCUCUCCAUUUUCUGUCACAAUUAAAUAAUUGUGGUUAAAUUCAAUAAAAUUAUGCAAUUCAAUAAUCAAUUAAUUUAAAAUUCAUAUAAAUAAUUCUUUAAUUUAAUAAUAAAUUCAUAUUACUUAUAUUUCUCAAUUUAUAAAAUUCAUUAUAUAAAAUUAUCAAAAAGUUAAAAUAAGGUACAACUAAAUACCCAUAUAAUUUCUAAUUCAAUCUCAUAAAAUUUUGAAUUUAUAUUUACAUUCAAAAUUUCUAAUUCACAUAAUUAAUUCUUAAAAUUUCAAAUAUAAAACUAACAAAAUUUUAAAAACUAAAUACAACCUAAAAUCUAUACAAUUUCUAAACUAAUUUCUAAUUUAAAUUUAAUAUCAUUAAAUUUUUUAAUGUAAUCUUUCAAAUUCUUAAAUUACAUUAACAUAAACUAAAUAAAAAUUAAUCUUAAUCAAAUUAAUAUCAAGAUACUCAAAAUUCAAAAAUAAUUUAAACAUAUAAUUAACAAAAAUAUAAAGAUGAAUAUUGUAAUUUAAACCAAAAAACUAACCUAAAAGAUUUAUGUGAAUGGAAUGGUGGAGAGUUGGAGUCUUGGAGCCUUGAAUUGAAGGCUUGAAGCAGGAUGGUAGAAUCUCAACUGAAGCUUCUUGGAGUUCUUGGAGCCUGGCGUGAGUCUUCUUGGAGUUGGAGACUUGGAGUCUUGUUGCUUCGGUGUUUGGCCUUUGGCCUUUGGCAUUGGCGCGUGCUUUUGCAUCAGAUGAAGCCUUAGGGCUUCAUCUGAUGUAUUUUUUUUUUCCCUCAUUAUACAAAACGACGUCGUUCCACUAAAAGUGAAACGACGUCGUUUUGUAUUUAGAGGGCAAAAAAAAAAUUCAACAUAAAUUGGGUCAUCUUCUUCCUCGGACCUCAGCAGUCACAGCAGUCAGCACAGGCUGGCAGCGGCUUUCCAGGCCCAGCUCUUCUUCACUUCCUCUGCAGCAUUCAUGGAGGCAUGGAGCCAUGGAGGAUGGUAGAUCUGGAUCACCGUGGGGGACUGGGCUGGGCUGGGCUGGCCGCCGGAAUCCCUAUAUGGCUAUAUAUAGGGGAUUUUCCGGCGGCUUGGGGGGGGCUUAAGCCCCCACCAGCCCCCCUUAAAUCCGUGCCUGGCGGUGGUGUUGGUGGCCAUUGUGAAUUGCUUGGGUGAAGCUUUUGGUUUUUUGGCAAUUAUUGUGACUUUGACAAAUUUUUCUUUAUGAAACCUUAACACCCGUAAUUUUGUGAUUUGCAGGCAAAACAUAGCAUCACCUUGUGUCUGUCUGUGUGUUUUUUUUUUUUUUUGGUCUUCAAGAUUUUAAGUUUGACUCCAUGUGUUAUUGGACAAUUCGAUGUCAAAUUAAUUUAAAUUUUAACUUCUCCAAAGUGAGAUGAUUUUUUUGAUAGUCAUUUGGUAUAUAAAUUUUUUGAACUAGUUGAAGUGGCUUGCCACUUUAGUGGUGAUGGUGGUUGAAAGUGGUUAAGGUUUAGUAUUGGAACUUAGGAAGAAGAAGGGAAAAUAAAAAAAAAAUUGAAAACCCAUUCCUUUUGAUUACAAUACCAAACAAUCAAUAAGUUUUUGGCAAUACUCAUUGCCAUCGAAGAAUUUUUAUAGCCAUUGCUACUGCUAUUCCGUAGGGUAUGCCAAACGGGUGGUUGGAUAUGGCAACCAACACGCCUGAGGAUGGAGAAAUAAGGCAGGGGUGGGAGUGGGGGAUUUUUUAACCCCACCUCAAGUGGGGCAAGGGAUGGGGGAACAUAUCACGCUCCAUCCCCCGCCUAAAUUUUGACGUAGUAUAACAUCUAUGUAUGUUUAUAUAUAUAUAUAUAGAGAGAGAGAGAGAGAGAGAAAACUAGAAGGAAUUAGGCUGUGCAAGCACAGCUUAGCCCUACCUAUAAAAUUCUGGUUAAAUGCAUCACAUUAUAAUUGCUUUCAAAUAAAGAGCAAUUACAAUUGCUAAAAAAUAAGGUUUAUUUUUAGUAGAAUGUUCCAAAAGUUUGCUCCAACUUGCUUAUUGUAAUGUAGUAGAGAUAUAUUGUUGUAUUGUAUGGACAAAUAGCGAUAAAGAAUUUAAAAACCAAACACAUGAAAAAUGCAAAACCAGUUCAAAAUGACAGGAUGGUUUUUUUCGGCUCAAAUGUUCUGAUGGAAAAAUUGGUCGUUAUUGCAUUGAAGCGUAGGAUUGGGAUUUCGCCAUUUGUCUUUAAGAAAUGUUGUGGAAUUUAAAGUCCCCAAUUCAGAUGAAGGGUCUGUUUGGUUGGAAGUAAAAUGUUUUCCUUGGGAAAAUAUUUUCCGUGGAAGUAAUUUUCCAUGAAAAUCAUUUCCCUUUCAUCAUUUUCAGGUGUUGGAAAAUCAUUAACUCUCUAAGCGUGGACUUGUUAAGUUGGAAAAGUCAAGUCAUUGGGCAGAUUUAAUGCAUCAAGUCAUUAGGCCAAUGGCCACUUGCCAUUUGUCGGUCAGUGGUCAUCACCAUAUUUGGUGAUGCUGGAGGUCAGGGGUUCAACCCCUGCCUCCCACAAAUUUGCCACAAUAUGUGGCUGUAGGGAUGGCAACGGGGCAGGGUUGGGGCGGGGGACCCCUCCCCCGUCCCCCGCCCCGUUGCCUAUUAGUUCCCCCCAUCCCCCGCCCCGUCCCCGCCUCCCGCCCCCCGCCCCGCCUUGCCCCGCUUCCCCGCGGGGGCACCCGCGGGUUAAUAAAAUUUUAUUAUAUAAUUUAUUAUAAUUAAAUUUUAAUAAAUAAUCAAGUACUAAAAUAUUAACACAUCACAAAAUUAUUAUUCAUUGUAAUUUUACAAUUGAAACUCAUAAAAACAAUCAAACAGAAGUUAUUUGAAUACAAUCCAAUAUGAUGAAAUAAAUAUAACUAAAAUAGUCAAAUUUUCACUUUUAGUACAAAUGCAAUCACUAAUUCAUCAUUGUGUUUGUGCUUUUUUUGAGAAAAAAAUGUUAUUCUAUUAAGUGUAAUUAGAAAUUUAGUAUAAAUGUAUUAGUAAAUUUAGUAUAACUAAUUAAUAAAUUCUAUUAGUAGACAUGUAUAAUUAUUAAUAUAAUUGAUAAUAUCAAUUAUAUUACAUAAACUAAUAUACAUUAUAUAAUACAUCUAACUAAUAAUAUCAUUAUCAUAAGUUUACAACUAAUUAACUUACAUAUAAUAUAUAGUCAUUUAUAUAUAUAUAUAUAUAUUUUUUUGCGGGUGGCGGGGCGGGGGAUGGGGGGGGGAGUAUACCCCCGCCCCCCGCCCCGUUUCUAAGCGGGGGGAAAAAAUUCCCCCCGCCCCCGCCCCACCCCCCGCCCAACCCCCGCCCGUGAGCCCCGCGGGCACCCGNNNNNNNNNNNNNNNNNNNNNNNNNNNNNNNNNNNNNNNNNNNNNNNNNNNNNNNNNNNNNNNNNNNNNNNNNNNNNNNNNNNNNNNNNNNNNNNNNNNNNNNNNNNNNNNNNNNNNNNNNNNNNNNNNNNNNNNNNNNNNNNNNNNNNNNNNNNNNNNNNNNNNNNNNNNNNNNNNNNNNNNNNNNNNNNNNNNNNNNNNNNNNNNNNNNNNNNNNNNNNNNNNNNNNNNNNNNNNNNNNNNNNNNNNNNNNNNNNNNNNNNNNNNNNNNNNNNNNNNNNNNNNNNNNNNNNNNNNNNNNNNNNNNNNNNNNNNNNNNNNNNNNNNNNNNNNNNNNNNNNNNNNNNNNNNNNNNNNNNNNNNNNNNNNNNNNNNNNNNNNNNNNNNNNNNNNNNNNNNNNNNNNNNNNNNNNNNNNNNNNNNNNNNNNNNNNNNNNNNNNNNNNNNNNNNNNNNNNNNNNNNNNNNNNNNNNNNNNNNNNNNNNNNNNNNNNNNNNNNNNNNNNNNNNNNNNNNNNNNNNNNNNNNNNNNNNNNNNNNNNNNNNNNNNNNNNNNNNNNNNNNNNNNNNNNNNNNNNNNNNNNNNNNNNNNNNNNNNNNNNNNNNNNNNNNNNNNNNNNNNNNNNNNNNNNNNNNNNNNNNNNNNNNNNNNNNNNNNNNNNNNNNNNNNNNNNNNNNNNNNNNNNNNNNNNNNNNNNNNNNNNNNNNNNNNNNNNNNNNNNNNNNNNNNNNNNNNNNNNNNNNNNNNNNNNNNNNNNNNNNNNNNNNNNNNNNNNNNNNNNNNNNNNNNNNNNNNNNNNNNNNNNNNNNNNNNNNNNNNNNNNNNNNNNNNNNNNNNNNNNNNNNNNNNNNNNNNNNNNNNNNNNNNNNNNNNNNNNNNNNNNNNNNNNNNNNNNNNNNNNNNNNNNNNNNNNNNNNNNNNNNNNNNNNNNNNNNNNNNNNNNNNNNNNNNNNNNNNNNNNNNNNNNNNNNNNNNNNNNNNNNNNNNNNNNNNNNNNNNNUUGCGAGCUGUUUGUUUGGGCCUAAAAUGCCCUCCACAUGCAAACGAAUGACAAAAAUUUAAAAUGGAGUGGAAUUCACCUGCACUCACACACCUUCUUAGUACCUGGUCCGAACAUUGCCUCCAUAGGUAGGGGUCGUCCCAAAUGUAGUAUUUGGCAUCACUUUUCAUCUUGUCUCUCCUAGUCUUGGGCCAACUUACAGGCAAUUGAUUAGUUACUAAGAAAUUUACUAUAUCAGCAUACCAGGGUGCGGACGAAUCAACGGCAAAUAGUUGCUCCUCUGGAAAUGUCUCUCUCAAUGGUUGCUCUUCCUUGUGUGCAAGCAAGCGGAUCAAGUGAUCAACCACCAAGUUUCCGCCCCACUUUUAUCUUUGAUCUCCAAGUUGAACUCUUGAAAGAGCAGGAUCCAUCUAAUGAGCUUGGGUUUCGCGUCCUCUUUGUCAUCAAAUACUUUAGGCGGCAUGAUCAGCGAAAACUGUUAUUUUUGCACCUAACAAUAAGGUCUAAAUUUUUCUAAUGCAAAAACACAGCUAGUAUUCUUUUCUCAUUGUAGAAUAAUUGAGCUGAGCUACAUCAACGCCUUCGAUGCAUAGUAGAUUGCAUGUGCCGCCUGUCAAUUCUUUGCCCCAACACCGCACUUGCGUCACACAUUAUUUCAAAUGGGAGGCUCCAGUCCGGCGGUUGAUGACUGGCGGUGAGAUUAACGAUCCCUUCAAUUUGUCAAAUGCCAUCCUGCACUCCUCGGUAAAGUCAAAUGCUACAUCCUUUUGCAACAGUUUGAACAUGGGCGCUCCAUUUUGAAAGAAAUCUUUGAUAAAUCUCCUGUAGAACCCUGCAUGACCCAAAAAGAACGCACUUCCCGUACACUUACGGGUAAGAUAAAGCAGAAAUAAUAUCGACCUUUGCUUUAUCUAUUUCUAUGCCCUAGCCGACACUACAUGUCCUAAAACAAUAUCAUGUUCCACCAUAAAAUGGCAUUGCUCCCAAUUAAUGACCAAAUUCGCUUCUAUAGAUCUUUUCAAAAUUAAAACUAAAUUAUCAAGACAUUCAUCAAAACUAUCCUAUACACACUAAAAUCAUCCAUGAACACCUCAAUAAUCUUUUCUACAUAUUCGAAAAAGAUACUCACCAUGCACCUUUGAAAAGUCGCUGGAGCAUUGCAGAGGCCAAAAGACAUCCUCCGGCAGGCAAACGUACCAAAGGACAGUGAAUGUAGUUUUCUCCUGAUCCUCCGGUGCUAUCGCAAUCUGGAAAUAACCUGAAAAUCAUCAAGAAAAUAGUAAUAGACAUGACCAGCUAACCUCUCUAUCAUCUGAUCAAUGAAAGGGAGAGGGAAGUGGUCCUUUUUCGUCACUGCGUUUAGUCGCGGUAGUCGAUACACUGGCCCAUCCUGUGGGUUUCCUUACCAGACCAUCUCACCUUCCUGGUUCUCUUCUACCGUUACUCCCGUCUUUUUCGGGACUACUUGGACCGGACUCACCCAUGGACUGUCUGAGAUGGCGAAGAUGAUUCUCACUUCCAGGAGUUUUAGUAUCUCCUUUUUUACUACCUCCAUCAUUAGUGGGUUCAAUUUUCGCUGCGCCUGUCUUACCGGCUUUGCAUCAUCCUCAAGCCGUAUCCGGUGCAUGCAUAAGGACGGGCUAAUUCCCUUAAUGUCUGCGAUGCUCCACCCAAUCGCCUCCUUAUGAUCUCGAAGAAGACGAAUCAGGUUGUCUUCUUGCCUUGGUGACAAGGUGCAGAUAUGGUGACCGGCAGUGUCUCUUUGUCCCAGAGAAAAGCAUACUUCAUAUGCUUUGGGAGAGGCUUGAGCUCCGACUCAGGUGCCUGCACAACAGAAGGCAACAAUUUCGCCUGAGUUUCUGGUACAAAGAGAGAAGUAAGCUCAUACCUUGGAGAAAUUGGUGGGAGCGAAUGCAGUGCUUCAACUGCACGGUAUAAGUCAUCACUUAAUUCUACAUCUGGAGUUGCUCCCAACUCAAGAUGUUUGGCUAAUGCCACUGCCAGUGCAUCGUCCCCAUCCAAUUCGAAAGUUUCCUGCACAAGAGGCUCAAUAACACUUAAAGCAAAAACAGAGUUAGCCUCAUCCGGGUAUUUCAUCGCAUCAAAGAUAUUAAAAUUUACAAUUUUACCAUCAACUCCAUCGACAAGGUACCCUCAUUUACAUCUAUUUUUGUCCUAAUAGUGCUUAAAAAUGACCUACCUAACAAAAUAGGUGACGGAUUUAGUGCCCUUUCAUCCCUAUGUGUAGGACAUUGAAAUCUGCAGGAAAGACUAACUCAUUGACCUGUACCAAAAUCUUCAACUAACCCUUAGGGAUAAGCAUUGGUAAGGUCUGCAAGUUGGAUUAUAAUGCCUGUGCCUUUUAAUGGGCCAAAUUAAGGGACGCAUAGAUAGUCUUAGGCAUUACAUUAAUUGACGCCCCCAAAUCCAACAUCGCUUUCCUAAUUGGGGUAUCCCUAUUUUACAUGGAAUUGUGAACAUACUUGGAUCUCUACACUUGGGAGAGAGUUUUCUUUGGAGUAUUGCCGACACAUUUUCUCCCACCGCCACUCGUUCAUCUCCUCUUAGCUUCCUCUUGUGAGUGCACAAGUCUUUCAAAAAUUUGGCAUACUUUGGUAUCUGCUUGAUUGCAUCCAACAAGGGGAUGUUGAUAUCCACUUUCCGGAACACAUCCAAAAGCUCUUUUUCCUUCUUUACUUCUUUGUCUUCUGUAACCUGCAAGGAAAAUGAGAUAAGUUAGAUUUGAUGGGAGGUGAAGGAUUGAAUGUUACCUUAGGGUCUUCGCAGAUGCGCCCUUCCUCUUCGAUCUCCUUUUCUAUCUCCUCCUCACUUUUUCUUUUUGAAUUUUUCACUUUAGGCCCUUCCAGUUCCUUGCCACUCCUCAGUGUCAUGGCACUUAUAUUCUUGGGAUUUACCUCGGGUUGCAAUGGUAAUUUCCCAUAAACGUGGGACUCCAGGCGAUUGAUGGCAGUUGCCAUUUGGCUCAUUUGAGCCUUCAUAUCUUUCAUGCCUGCUCUGGUGUCCUGCGGGAACUGAGUAGUGCUCAUGGUUAAGGCUCUAGUUUCUUGCUGGAGUUGAGCCAUAUUUGUAGUCAAUGAUCUGGUCUCCUGCUGGAGUUGUUUAGUCUCUUGCUGGAUCUGAGUAGUAGUCGUGGCCAGACUCUUGACAAAAUUCUCCAAAGAACUUCCUGAGUUGGAAGAUGAAGGUUGAGGCUUAGGUUGCCAUGGUUGCUGGAACCCUGGUGACGAUUUGGGAGUGAAUUCUGCGGCCUGUUCCCAUAACUGAAAUUGGAAUGGUCUCUCCAACUGGGGUUGUACGUGUUAGAGUACGGGUCAUACUGCCUACGGGACGCGGGCACGCCUCCGGUCAUGUUCACUUGUUCCGCCCCAUCCUCUUGCAAAAGGGGACAUGUGUCCGUAUAGUGGUCCAUACUUGUACAGAUUCCACAGACCUUCGCUCGCUACACGUUCCCCAUGGCUAAUUGCCUAACAAGCGACGUCAACUCUGACAGCUGCUGCUGAAGAGAUGACGUCUCUACCUCGUUGACCCUACGGGUGGGGUUGUUCUCGCGGAAGCCAAAUUGCUGGGAGUUCUCUGCCAUGGCUUCGAUAAGCUCCCACGCUUCCUUCGGUGUCUUGUUUGCCAGUGCUCCUCCACUCGCAGCGUCAAUGAUACUCUAUCAGUUGAUUGGAGCCCUUUAUAGAAGUACUGGAUCAACAGUUAUUCAAUAAUUUGAUGCUGCGGGCAUCUAGUGCACAACAUGUUAAACCUCUCUCAGUAUUCAUACAAGGACUCCCGGGAUACUGUUUAAUGCUGCAUAUCUCCUUCUUCAAACUCGCAGCCCGGGAUGCAGGGAACAAUUUUUUCAAAAAUUUCUUUUUCAACUGUACUUCAUGUGGUAAUACUACCUGCUGGUAGGUAGUAUAGCCAAUCUUUAGCUGCAUCAUUGAGAGAGAAAGGGAAAGCUCUCAGUCUAAUUUGCUCUUCAGUGACCCUAGGAGGUUUCAUGCUAGAGCAAAUCAUCUCGAAUUCCUUGACGUGUUUGUGGGAUUUUUCACCAGAGAGACCAUGCAAAGAGGGUAAGAGGUGAAUCAACCCCGACUUCAGCUCGAAGGUGGUAUUCUCUGCCAAAGUGGGGAAUGUGAUGCACAAGGGCUUGUGAGUCAACUCCGGAGCAGCCAGCUCCCUUAAUGUUUAGGUGUUGGUCAUCCUAAAUUCAUCUUCUACUGACUCGUUUGUAGUAGAUAAGUGCCCUUCUUUCUGUCUCUUGAUCUCUUGCCUUCGCCUACGCGCUGCCUUCUCAACCUCAGGGUCGUAUAUCAAUUCACCUGUGCGAGAAGAACGGGGCAUAAACUAGCAAAAAUACAAGAAAAAAAAUUGAACCAAAAAGAAAUAAAUAUUUCAAAUGCCAGUCCCCGACAACGGCACCAAAAAUUGACAGGUGCGAAUCUGUGCAAUAAUAAUAAAUAAAACCUAACUACCACCUGAAACAGUCAAUAAUCAAUUCUAGUACUGGAGUAGGGACUCUAGGUGUGCAAUAGAUUACUUGAUUCACACUGUUCCCAAAAGUUUGCUUAAUCCGAUAUACCUGAAUUAAUUAUUUAACUGAUUUCACUAACUAGUAGACAGUGGCAGUAGGGUCGUCUCCUUAGGGACUAGCGAGAAAUUUAUUUCUCUUCAAGUCAAAACAAAUAGGGGGUUUUAGAAUAAAAUGCUAACUAAAUAAUUUAACUGCUAAAAAAUAAUUGAUUAAAGGAAAUAAUUAGGAGAGUUCUAGCCAAGGGUACACUUCAGAAAUGGUUCAUGCACUGAUCAUCGAUUCACAGAUAAUUCUGACAUUUAUUAAUAGAUUAGUUAUAACUGUCAUGCACGCGAUAAACAACCAACCCUUCCUUAAUUUAUCGAUUGCUAAGGUACGACCGUUAACUAUUUUUCUAACCAAAAAACAACCCUAGGUACGACCGUAGGAUUUAAUUUCUAGCUUGCAUUAACACUUAGAAAGGCCCAAUCCUAACUAACAAACACGCUACGAGAGUUUGUUUAAAUUAGAUCAUAUGUUCCCCUGACAUAAACCCGAUUACGCCAGUUGCUACUAAGAUAGAGAUAACGAAUAAUUACGGAUUCAAUUACCCUAUUUAACGAAUAGCCUAUAUGAAUAAUUAAUUAUUGCGCACUAACCAAUCAUACACAAGGCUAUAACAAUUAAAAUCAAGGAACAUAUAAAUAUCAAUAAAUGAAGAAAAUAAUUAAAAAUGGUUUAGAUCUCACAGUAAUCGUUGAACCAAUUCGUCAGUUGCCCCCUUGACUAGAAUUAUGGAAUUAGUCCUCCAUCAAUGGAGGACAAAUCGCGUGUGUUGAUUUGGGAAAGAUUCGCGCACUGUCUCCUCCAACUUCGGUCAACAACAGGAGGAAAAAAGACAAAGGAUUUUAUUACGUCCAAUUAUCUCCAAAAAUCCAACGUAAAGAGAGUCUGAUGCCCUCUUUCACUUUCGGUCAAAGCCAAUUGAAAAGCAAAGCCCAAGGGUCAAUAAUGGCGGCUCAAUUGUUUUCUUCUCCUAAUUGCUCACAAACGUACGAGAAAGGCUUUGCUUCUUUUGUUCUUUCAAUUUCAAUCAACCCACAAUAGAAUUGGGAUUGCCAAAGUCAACCAAAGAUGGAAAUAAAAAACAACACAAAGUCAAUAACGGAGGUUGCGAGCUGUUCGCUUGGGCCUAAAAUGCCCUCCACAUGUAAACGAAUGACAAAAAUUUAAAAUGGAGUGGAAUUCACCUGCACUCACACACCUUCUUAGUACCUGGUCCGAACAUUGCCUCCAUAGGUAGGGGUCGUCCCAAAUGUAGUAUUUGGCAUCACUUUUCAUCUUGUCUCUCCUAGUCUUGGGUCAACUUGCAGGCAAUUGAUUAGUCACUAAGAAAUUUACUAUAUCAGCAUACCAGGGUACGGACGAAUCAACGGCAAAUAGUUGCUCUUCUGGAAAUGUCUCUCUCAAUGGUUGCUCUUCCUUGUGUGCAAGCAAGCGGAUCAAGUGAUCAACCACCAAGUUCUCCGCCCCACUUUUAUCUUUGAUCUCCAAGUUGAACUCUUGAAAGAGCAGGAUCCAUCUAAUGAGCCUUGGUUUCGCGUCCUUCUUUGUCAUCAAAUACUUUAAGGCGGCAUGAUCAGCGAAAACUGUUAUUUUUGCACCUAACAAAUAAGGUCUAAAUUUUUCUAAUGCAAAAAACACAGCUAGUAAUUCUUUCUCCAUUGUAGAAUAAUUGAGCUGAGCUACAUUCAACGCCUUCGAUGCAUAGUAGAUUGCAUGUGCCGCCCUGUCAAUUCUUUGCCCCAACACCGCACUUGCGUCACACAUUAUUUCAAAUGGGAGGCUCCAGUCCGGCGGUUAGAUGACUGGCGGUGAGAUUAACGAUCCCUUCAAUUUGUCAAAUGCCAUCCUGCACUCCUCGGUAAAGUCAAAUGCUACAUCCUUUUGCAACAGUUUGAACAGGGGCGCUCCAAUUUUAAAGAAAUCUUUGAUAAAUCUCCUGUAGAACCCUGCAUGACCCAAAAAGGAACGCACUUCCCGUACACUUACGGGGUAAGAUAAAGCAGAAAUAAUAUCGACCUUUGCUUUAUCUAUUUCUAUGCCCCUAGCCGACACUACAUGUCCUAAAACAAUAUCAUGUUCCACCAUAAAAUGGCAUUGCUCCCAAUUAAUGACCAAAUUCGCUUCUAUAGAUCUUUUCAAAAUUAAAACUAAAUUAUCAAGACAUUCAUCAAAACUAUCCUAUACACACUAAAAUCAUCCAUGAACACCUCAAUAAUCUUUUCUACAUAUUCGAAAAAGAUACUCACCAUGCACCUUUGAAAAGUCGCUGGAGCAUUGCAGAGGCCAAAAGACAUCCUCCGGCAGGCAAACGUACCAAAGAGACAGGUGAAUGUAGUUUUCUCCUGAUCCUCCGGUGCUAUCGCAAUCUGGAAAUAACCUGAAAAAUCAUCAAGAAAAUAGUAAUAGACAUGACCAGCUAACCUCUCUAUCAUCUGAUCAAUGAAAGGGAGAGGGAAGUGGUCCUUUUUCGUCACUGCGUUUAGUCGCCGGUAGUCGAUACACUGGCGCCAUCCUGUGGGUUUCCUUACCAGGACCAUCUCGCCUUCCUGGUUCUCUUCUACCGUUACUCCCGUCUUUUUCGGGACUACUUGGACCGGACUCACCCAUGGACUGUCUGAGAUGGCGAAGAUGAUUCUCACUUCCAGGAGUUUUAGUAUCUCCUUUUUUACUACCUCCAUCAUUAGUGGGUUCAAUUUUCGCUGCGCCUGUCUUACCGGCUUUGCAUCAUCCUCAAGCCGUAUCCGGUGCAUGCAUAAGGACGGGCUAAUUCCCUUAAUGUCUGCGAUGCUCCACCCAAUCGCCUCCUUAUGAUCUCGAAGAAGACGAAUCAGGUUGUCUUCUUGCCUUGGUGACAAGUGUGCAGAUAUGGUGACCGGCAGUGUCUCUUUGUCCCAGAGAAAAGCAUACUUCAUAUGCUUUGGGAGAGGCUUGAGCUCCGACUCAGGUGCCUGCACAACAGAAGGCAACAAUUUCGCCUGAGUUUCUGGUACAAAGAGAGAAGUAAGCUCAUACCUUGGAGAAAUUGGUGGGAGCGAAUGCAGUGCUUCAACUGCACGGUAUAAGUCAUCACUUAAUUCUACAUCUGGAGUUGCUCCCAACUCAAGAUGUUUGGCUAAUGCCACUGCCAGUGCAUCGUCCCCAUCCAAUUCGAAAGUUUCCUGCACAAGAGGCUCAAUAACACUUAAAGCAAAAACAGAGUUAGCCUCAUCCGGGUAUUUCAUCGCAUCAAAGAUAUUAAAAUUUACAAUUUUACCAUCAAACUCCAUCGACAAGGUACCCUCAUUUACAUCUAUUUUUGUCCUAAUAGUGCUUAAAAAUGACCUACCUAACAAAAUAGGUGACGGAUUUAGUGCCCUUUCAUCCCCUAUGUGUAGGACAUUGAAAUCUGCAGGAAAGACUAACUCAUUGACCUGUACCAAAACAUCUUCAACUAACCCUUAGGGAUAAGCAUUGGUAAGGUCUGCAAGUUGGAUUAUAAUGCCUGUGCCUUUUAAUGGGCCAAAAUUAAGGGACGCAUAGAUAGUCUUAGGCAUUACAUUAAUUGACGCCCCCAAAUCCAACAUCGCUUUCCUAAUUGGGGUAUCUCCUAUUUUACAUGGAAUUGUGAACAUACUUGGAUCUCUACACUUGGGAGAGAGUUUUCUUUGGAGUAUUGCCGACACAUUUUCUCCCACCGCCACUCGUUCAUCUCCUCUUAGCUUCCUCUUGUGAGUGCACAAGUCUUUCAAAAAUUUGGCAUACUUUGGUAUCUGCUUGAUUGCAUCCAACAAGGGGAUGUUGAUAUCCACUUUCCGGAACACAUCCAAAAGCUCUUUUUCCUUCUUUACCUUCUUUGUCUUCUGUAACCUGCAAGGAAAAUGAGAUAAGUUAGAUUUGAUGGGAGGUGAAGGAUUGAAUGUUACCUUAGGGUCUUCGCAGAUGCGCCCUUCCUCUUCGAUCUCCUUUUCUAUCUCCUCCUCACUUUUUCUUUUUGAAUUUUUCACUUUAGGCCCUUCCAGUUCCUUGCCACUCCUCAGUGUCAUGGCACUUAUAUUCUUGGGAUUUACCUCGGGUUGCAAUGGUAAUUUCCCAUAAACGUGGGACUCCAGGCGAUUGAUGGCAGUUGCCAUUUGGCUCAUUUGAGCCUUCAUAUCUUUCAUGCCUGCUCUGGUGUCCUGCGGGAACUGAGUAGUGCUCAUGGUUAAGGCUCUAGUUUCUUGCUGGAGUUGAGCCAUAUUUGUAGUCAAUGAUCUGGUCUCCUGCUGGAGUUGUUUAGUCUCUUGCUGGAUCUGAGUAGUAGUCGUGGCCAGACUCUUGACAAAAUUCUCCAAAGAACUUCCUGAGUUGGAAGAUGAAGGUUGAGGCUUAGGUUGCCAUGGUUGCUGGAACCCUGGUGAACGAUUUGGGAGUGAAUUCUGCGGCCUGUUCCCAUAACUGAAAUUGGAAUGGUCUCUCCAACUGGGGUUGUACGUGUUAGAGUACGGGUCAUACUGCCUACGGGACGCGGGCACGCCUCCGGUCAUGUUCACUUGUUCCGCCCCAUCCUCUUGCAAAAGGGGACAUGUGUCCGUAUAGUGGUCCAUACUUGUACAGAUUCCACAGACCUUCGCUCGCUACACGUUCCCCAUGGCUAAUUGCCUAACAAGCGACGUCAACUCUGACAGCUGCUGCUGAAGAGAUGACGUCUCUACCUCGUUGACCCUACGGGUGGGGUUGUUCUCGCGGAAGCCAAAUUGCUGGGAGUUCUCUGCCAUGGCUUCGAUAAGCUCCCACGCUUCCUUCGGUGUCUUGUUUGCCAGUGCUCCUCCACUCGCAGCGUCAAUGAUACUCCUAUCAGUUGAUUGGAGCCCUUUAUAGAAGUACUGGAUCAACAGUUAUUCAAUAAUUUGAUGCUGCGGGCAUCUAGUGCACAACAUGUUAAACCUCUCUCAGUAUUCAUACAAGGACUCCCCGGGAUACUGUUUAAUGCUGCAUAUCUCCUUCUUCAAACUCGCAGCCCGGGAUGCAGGGAACAAUUUUUUCAAAAAUUUCUUUUUCAACUGUACUUCAUGUGGUAAUACUACCUGCUGGUAGGUAGUAUAGCCAAUCUUUAGCUGCAUCAUUGAGAGAGAAAGGGAAAGCUCUCAGUCUAAUUUGCUCUUCAGUGACCCUAGGAGGUUUCAUGCUAGAGCAAAUCAUCUCGAAUUCCUUGACGUGUUUGUGGGAUUUUUCACCAGAGAGACCAUGCAAAGAGGGUAAGAGGUGAAUCAACCCCGACUUCAGCUCGAAGGUGGUAUUCUCUGCCAAAGUGGGGAAUGUGAUGCACAAGGGCUUGUGAGUCAACUCCGGAGCAGCCAGCUCCCUUAAUGUUUAGGUGUUGGUCAUCCUAAAUUCAUCUUCUACUGACUCGUUUGUAGUAGAUAAGUGCCCUUCUUUCUGUCUCUUGAUCUCUUGCCUUCGCCUACGCGCUGCCUUCUCAACCUCAGGGUCGUAUAUCAAUUCACCUGUGCGAGAAGAACGGGGCAUAAACUAGCAAAAAUACCAAGAAAAAAAAUUGAACCAAAAAAGAAAUAAAUAUUUCAAAUGCCAGUCCCCGACAACGGCACCAAAAAUUGACAGGUGCCGAAUCUGUGCAAUAAUAAUAAAUAAAACCUAACUACCACCUGAAACAGUCAAUAAUCAAUUCUAGUACUGGAGUAGGGACUCUAGGUGUGCAAUAGAUUACUUGAUUCACACUGUUCCCAAAAAGUUUGCUUAAUCCGAUAUACCUGAAUUAAUUAUUUAACUGAUUUCACUAACUAGUAGACAGUGGCAGGUAGGGUCGUCUCCUUAGGGACUAGCGAGAAAUUUAUUUCUCUUCAAGUCAAAACAAAUAGGGGGUUUUAGAAUAAAAUGCUAACUAAAUAAUUUAACUGCUAAAAAAUAAUUGAUUAAAGGAAAUAAUUAGGAGAGUUCUAGCCAAGGGUACACUUCAGAAAUGGUUCAUGCACUGAUCAUCGAUUCACAGAUAAUUCUGACAUUUAUUAAUAGAUUAGUUAUAACUGUCAUGCACGCGAUAAACAACCAACCCUUCCUUAAUUUAUCGAUUGCUAAGGUACGACCGUUAACUAUUUUUCUAACCAAAAAACAACCCUAGGUACGACCGUAGGAUUUAAUUUCUAGCUUGCAUUAACACUUAGAAAGGCCCAAUCCUAACUAACAAACACGCUACGAGAGUUUGUUUAAAUUAGAUCAUAUGUUCCCCUGACAUAAACCCGAUUACGCCAGUUGCUACUAAGAUAGAGAUAACGAAUAAUUACGGAUUCAAUUACCCCUAUUUAACGGAAUAGCCUAUAUGAAUAAUUAAUUAUUGCGCACUAACCAAUCAUACACAAGGCUAUAACAAUUAAAAUCAAGGAACAUAUAAAUAUCAAUAAAUGAAGAAAAUAAUUAAAAAUGGUUUAGAUCUCACAGUAAUCGUUGAACCAAUUCGUCAGUUGCCCCCUUGACUAGAAUUAUGGAAUUAGUCCUCCAUCAAUGGAGGACAAAUCGCGUGUGUUGAUUUGGGAAAGAUUCGCGCACUGUCUCCUCCAACUUCGGUCAACAACAGGAGGAAAAAAGACAAAGGAUUUUAUUACGUCCAAUUAUCUCCAAAAAUCCAACGUAAAAGAGAGUCUGAUGCCCUCUUUCACUUUCGGUCAAAGCCAAUUGAAAAGCAAAGCCCCAAGGGUCAAUAAUGGCGGCUCAAUUGUUUUCUUCUCCUAAUUGCUCACAAACGUACGAGAAAGGCUUUGCUUCUUUUGUUCUUUCAAUUUCAAUCAACCCACAAUAGAAUUGGGAUUGCCAAAGUCAACCAAAGAUGGAAAUAAAAAACAACACAAAGUCAAUAACGGAGGCUUUUGUCUCCUGCCUCUCUACAAAGCUCCAGGCCACCCCCACCCCCAAUUCCAAAAGCAACAACCCAAAGAAAACCUAAGCCAAGCGGAAAAUCAACUCUCCCAUCAAAAGCUGACCUCCCGGAGUCUAAUACUCCUCUCACUAGUAUUUGGUCCCACCGAAAUUCAAGGAGGAGAUUUUCCCUUAUCAGAAAUUGGUCUUCCAAAAAUUAAAACAAAACUCCCUAAAAAUAAAAUAAAAUAAAGUCUAUUACAAUUAGUUUCUUCAGUUUCUUAAGUGGACCCCACUGCUUGAAGUGGCCCACGUACGACGAAUCCUCCAAAUUUCGAUUUUAAGCACUUUUCAGCAUCAACUCCUGCAAUUGGCACCAAAACAACAUAUCAGUAGAAUCCACCCAAUUAAUGAGAUAUUUAGUCAAACAAUUGUGCAAUAAUGCCCAAAAUAUCCCACUAAAAUGCACCCUAUCAAUAUGUUUGUUACUGUUGUUGAUGGAUUAUCAUUUUGUCCUCCUAAGCUUCUUGUGGAUUUCAAUUGUUGGCAUUUGCUGGUGUUCUAGUGUUGUAUACUAGUUUGUUUAGAGCAAUGUCCUUUAAUGAUUUUUAUGAAGCUGCACAAUGGACAUGGGAGCUUGGACUGUUUCAUUAAGCUUACAUUCUUGUUUUUGUUGUAAUCAGUGGUUAUUGCUUGUAGUAUGAUCAGAUGAACAAGAUGUUGAUUGGGUCUAUUUAAAGACACUAAGCAAUUUUCUCUUGGUGGAAACUGACCCUUGGAGAGUGCUCUGUUUUUUUCUGUCUGGAACCAUAGUUGUCAAAAGAAGACAUAGUUGUUAGAAUCAAUGUUGCAGACCUAACUGCAUAAUGUUGACAAUAGCGGUGUUGGUGUUGCUGCAAGUUGUGUAUUGAUGUAAAUUCCUAGGAUAAAGGUUUCAGUUAUGAUUAUUUUCUGAUUCAAAAGGUAUGGGUAUUGGUAAUGGUUAUACUGAGGUAUUCUCCUUGGCUUGUUACUUAAGUUGAUCAUCUGCUUACGUCAAAGUCGAAUUAUUCUUUCUUCAAUUUUGUGUCUUAAAUGACUGCAUGUUUUGUGGUAUUCUGCUUGGCUUGUUGCUUAAGUUGGUCCUUAAAGAAGAUGAUAAUUAGUUUUCGUUACCAGAUACCAAAUAUCAAGUUGGUUGAUGACCUGGCUGCACAUUUUGUGGCAAAAAUUAUUUAUGGAUUCUAGUUUAUACAGCAUAAAUAAAGGUUGAUUUUGAGAGAAAAUUGCACAGCUUUCUAAGUUUCGGGUUUUGGAGAAGACGGUGCAGCACUUGAAGAACUUAAGUUUUGUAUACUUGGACCAUGAAAGUUGCCUUCUAAAUUUCUUGGAUUAGUCUUUACAUAUCCAGAAAUAAAGCUUUUUACAGUUGCAUCUUUUUGGUGUCUAGUUAACAAAAUUACUUUCCGAGAUAUAGCAACUGGCAAAAGCAAAAGCUUGACAGGCUAAAUUGCUUGUUAUGUUAUUUUGCAUUUGGGCAUUGACCUUUUUGUUUGAUAUGCUACUUGCAAUUAAGUAAUAUAGAGUCCUUCUUAUGCUUUUGACUUGUACAAGUUGGUUAUAGAUGUGUGCAUCAUUUAACAUUUGACUGACUGAGAGGUCUAAGCUUUGGAUUUGUGGACAUUCUUUCUUGGGUCAUGAUUGUCAGUCAACUCUUCAGUAUUCAGCUUUUAGUAGUUUAGGAAUCAUGCUUAACACCCCUCUUAAGUGCCAUUUCAAUAUAGUGGAAAAUCAUCUACUACCAUAUGUAUUAUAGACUUUAUGGUAAGACUUUGGAAAUAUCUUAUCAUGAUUUGCAGAUUGAAGAUGGUUGUUGGCAUGGUAUUCUAAUCCCUUGUACGUUGGAAUAGGCAAAACCUUUUUGAUUGCUACAUGCCCUCUGUGCGCUCUCUCCCUCCCUCCCAUUUUCUCUCUAUCAUGUAUAUUCAGUGGCUUUGCAUCAAAUAUUUUAGCAGAAAAGGGACACAAGCAGAUUGGGCAGAAACAGUUUGCUUUUGUAUUGUAGUUUUAUCAGUUCGGUCAACUUUGAUUAGUUUUGUACCUUUGUCAUGAGGUACUAACUACAUAGUGCCAACGACUUCUGGUAUCAUGUACCUUUAAUUUGCUACCUUUAGUUGCCAUAGUUCACUUAAUUAACGAUUAUAUGCAUGCAAUCAAUUAAUAGUUAUAUUAAAUUUUCAUAGAUGGAUCCCGGUAGUGAUGAUGAUGAGGAUGCUAUUGUAAUUGGUGCUGCCACUUCAGUCCUAGCAGCAGAAUUGCCUAUGUAUGUAUUGAAUUGUUCCAGAUUUUUGAUCCAACUGAGGCCAACAAUAUUUAAAGCAGGGAUUUGAGUCACUCUAGGCUUGAUUAGGGUGCUUGUGUGUACCAACGGUUCUAAUUCUGUACCAUGAAUAAGGUUUUUGAUUCUAGAGCUUGGUUUAUAUUCCAAUAUAGGAUUCUCUGCAUUUAGGUUCUUCUCCCUUUUAUCACUUUUUAUAUUCCAAUAUAGGAUUCUCUGCAUUUAGGUUCUUUUCCCUUUUCAAAAGAACAACAUAAUGAUAUGAUACUAUACCAAUAAAGAAUAGUGUUCAGCUAGGUUUUCGUUUGAUUUUUAACUCUUCUUUCCCAGCCAAUUCAUUAGUAUAAUUAAUAAUUCCAUUUAAGAAUUCAUGCUGUAAUAUGAAUAAAUAUUUUAUAGAAAUGAUAAUAUGAUUAUAAUGGAUAGAAACUAAAAUUAACUUGUAAUGAAAUGAAUGUUUUGAGAGUAGAAAAAUAUUUACAACAUAUCAACAAACAUAUCAGAAAAUAUUUUCAUUGACAAACCAAACAUCGGAAAAUUAUGAAAAAAGGAAUUUGGAAAAUAUUUUCACUUAAUAACCAAACGCUAGAAAAUUAUGGAGAAGGAAGUGAUUUUACAGGAAAAUGACUUCGAUGGAAAAUAUUUUCCUAGUCCAACCAAACGGACCCUUAGUUUGAAGAUUAAAGGCAACAACAAAAGUAUCAAUGAAAUUCCAAUCUCUCAUAAGCUAAUACAAAGCUUUACCAUCCCAAAAACCUAUAAAUUCAUCAUCAGAAGCUACCACACCCUCAAAUGUUGAAUCCAAAACCCUUAUCCAAGAAUUUGUUUUAAAGCUAUAAAAAUCAUUUCGAUAUAAGGAAUUUCACCUAAACUACUAAAAUAUAGUCACCACUGACUUUCAUUGUACAUAAAACCAUAGUCAUAAAUAGUCCCUCCAAGAUACCAUUUUGGAAACCACUUUUGAGUUAAAAGAUUUCGUAAUGGUAAGAGGUAAAAUUGCAAAUUUGGAAAGCAAACCUCGACAUAUUAGGCCAUAGCAUGACCCAUGAAUUUGACACCCAUAAUGUCCAGAACUUCAUAAAUAUCAUGUUUUAUAUUAUAAUAAUAAACCUUGUUUGUAUGUGUCUAUAAUUAAAAACUCAAACGAAAGUAUAAACUUAAUUUAUCCAUGUAUUAGUCCUUUGUUAUGCCAUAACCAUCUUGAUGAAAUAUGAGUUGUUUGUUUGAGCUUACCACGAUUUAGAUGUACCUUGAAAUCGUGUAACAGCUUUCAAGAUAACUUUAUUAGCCACAUCAGUCAACAACAAUUUUUCAAAAGUUAUACUACCCCACACACAAAGGGAUUAUAAAAAUUCAUAAUGGUAAAAUAUCAGUUUAAGACGCAUAUAUUUCUGCCCUAAUAUGAUUCUAAGUAUCUAUUAAUUUUCUUUUAUGUUACUCUUAAGCUAUUGGAUGACAAGAAGCUAGUUAUUCGAGGGAAAAUUUCUGAAAUUUAAGAUGCUUGAAUCACUGGUUGAACCUUGACUAAAUCUUUCCCAAAUUGGUUUUUCAAAUUUAAUUGAAUUGUUUUCAACUAGCUUUUUGGAAUUGAGAGCAUACAUCUAAAAUGUUUGACAUCCAUGUAGACUAACAAUACCAUUUUGUUGUGCCGUAGUGCUUCUCAAAGUGAAAAAAACACGUAAACACAUGAAGCUGCAAUUAUUAAUUUUGCCACCUAAGUGAUCAGAUAUUGCUCAUUUUCAUGACUAAACUCAACAGUUAACAACUGGGAAGGGGAAGCGUAACUCAACAUUCAGCAUGAGGUCAUAUCGUCUUCGUAUCUGUUUCUGAGAACAUUUUAAAGCAUAGAUUGUUCAUAGAAAUAAUUGGAGUUGUCAAGUGAAUUACUGGCGGAGUCAUGAUGUUAUACGAAAGAAAAUUAAUAUAUACUUAAACGCAUAUUAGUGUAGAAGUAUAUGUGUAUUAAAUUAAUAAUCUACCACUUUGAAUUUCUAUAAUUCUCGUUACUCCUUCCAUCCUAUUGUUAUUGUCAUAUUUUCACUUUAUUGAUGUCUCAAAAUAUGAGUCAUCAUUUCAAAUUUAACACAUACUUUUCAAUCCUGUCAUUUGAAAAGCAACUUUUAAAAUCUCAAUACACAUCUAUUAAGAGAAUAUUUUGAAUUCAAAGGACACUUUUGUCAAUUUAUUAAUGCCACCUCAUCUAGACAUAUGAUUACCAUGUCUCCGUAAAAAAUUAUUUCCAUAAAAUGACUCUAAUAUUGGGACAGAGGGAGUAUGUGUAGUGUGGGGAGUAAUGCUCAUAAUAGUCUUCACAUUUUUUUAGGAAAAUGGCCAUUUUGGUUCUUCAUAUUUUGGAUUUUUGCCAAUUUGGUCCCUUGUCUAUCUUCAUGACCAUUAGAGUCUCUUAUCUUUACAAAAAAUGCCAAUUUAGGACCUCUAAUGGAACAUUAGAAAUUUUUAACUUAAUUACUCGCACAUAAGGCAUGUGCAUUAUUAGAAAUGAUGGUUUUGGUCCAUCAUCUUUAAAAUUGUGUCCAAAUUUGUCCCUUAUAUGUCUAUUAUGGUUUUCUAGUUUCUCAUUAAAAGUCCUAUAUUGAUUUUAUUUUGUGAAAAUGCGAGUUUAAAUUACUGAAAAGAUAAAAUUAGACAAGAUCUUGAAGGUAAUAGACCAAAAUAGUCAUUUUUAGCACUUCACAUGGCUUGCCUUAACUAAUUCCAUUAGAGAUUUUCAUUUUUUCUGUUUGAUAUCCUAGAUUAUCUCUUUUUUUUUGUAAAGAUAAAAAACUAAAAUGGCUGCAGCGAUGAAUAAGGGACUAAAUUGAUCAAAACUCCGAAGAUAAUGGACCAAAAUGGCCAUUUUCCUUUUUUCUAAAAUGGAGCAUCAAAAUAUGAAGUUAACUAACCAAGCUUUAAAGACAAAAUAGUUCACGAAUUUUUCCUUUCCCUAACUUACCAAAACAAGAGCUUCAAAAUUCAACUAGUUGUUAUGUUAUCGUACAAAUAAUUAAUUUAUGCAAAAGAUGCUUUGGAAUGUGGCCAUGCCAACUAUCUCAUUACUAACUAAUUGUCACCUAGUGCUUUGCACGGGCAUCUGUUUUGCUUGUACGUUUUCUUUAGUUUAAGUGGAAAUAUGUUUUUUUUUCCUCUAUUAAUUUGGAGAAUGAAUCAGAAAGAACGUAGCAAAGACUAUUAUAAAUAAAAUGAAGAAAUUUCAUCAAUACCUUUUAUUACUUUCAUCAUAUUCAUCCUCCUUAAUAUACAAGGUUGAAACCUUCCUAACAUACCUGCAAGUGCAAAAGAUAAAAGGUAAGAGAUUUACAUAGUUGUUUAACAUGAAAAAGCAUCCACGGAGGGCUAAGAGAGAAAUUUGUUGAAAAAAAUUUAUCCAGUAUUGAAAAAGAUAAAAAUAACAAAAAAAAAACACUGGAGAGAGAAUAAUGAUGAGGUCUUCUAAGAGCGCCUAUAAAAAAAAUCACUUUGUCAAAAUUGUUGAUAUGUAUCAAAUGAACUCAGGAGUUCCCCCAAACACUUCACUAGGCUGAAUUCUUUGGCCUAACUGAGACAGAAAAUAAUUGUCCCCAUUGAAGUGUUUCGAGGGAACUCUAGAGAACAUCUAAUGCUCUAUUAUCUAAUCUAUGCUUUUGCCCCUUGUUAGGUCACUCCAUUUAUAGGGCUCUCCGGUCUCCACACAUGCAGUCUCUGCAUGUAAUUACUAUUCACAAGCCACAUGCUGUUUUCUGGAGAAUGGAUGAACCUAGUCACGAUAUAGGGUCAGAUGAAAGAUAGAUAACCAACAAAACUUGAGAGGUCAUCUUUCUUCAACCUUUUCACUCAGUAGGUAUCCUGUUUGAUCUCUCUUUUUCAACUUUUUGUUCACGAAUAUAAUGAUAUUAUUUGUCCAUAUAAAAAAAGAAUGGCGAAUCUGUCAAUCUCAUGCAUGUUAAUUUGGCAGAAGCAUACAACUGCUAAACCUAGUCAGCUAGAAACAUAAAUCUGGUAAUUAUCCAUGUUAAACAUACUAAAAACUGCGGGAUUGUUUGUCCAAGCAAUUCACAUCACUUUCUAGUUGCAUUAAAAACCAUAAUUUUGUUGAUAAACUUGGGAGUUAAGGAUUUGAGAGUUGGAUACAAGUGGUUGAGCUCUAGAGGGUACAAGGAUAGUAGGUUUAUUCUUAUCUUUUCACUUGCUACAUAAUUCUGACUAGGUUCAAGCUAGAAAAUCCAUCUGGAGACUUGAUUUUUAAGAGAUCCUUUUAGAGGGCUAGUUGUCCUAAUCAGGAAAGCCACAAAUGCACGCGUACAAAUCUUAUCCACUCAAACAGAAGAUAAUUAUGAAUCAGCUACACCACUACAAAUUCUCUACUUUGUAUACAUGCACUUCACUGGUUAAUUUCCAUGUGAAUUUAGCAAAAUAUGCAUCUAAAUUCUAUCUUUCAAAAAGACUAUCUUUGAGUGGUUGCGUUUUUUAGCCUAAAUUAAAUGACAUGACAAUCAAAGACAAAUUUUGUAUUACAAGAAGUGUAUGGUUGAUUAAUCAAAGACAAAUUUUGUAUUUUGUAACACAAAUAGGUUUGUAGGAAUCCAAAUUCUACCAUUUUCAUUGAGUAAUGAUUAAUGAACUAUUGGCCUUAGAAGCACCAUGAAUCUUUUUGUUGCACAAUCCUUGAUUAUGUCUGGUUUUUUUAAGAUCAUCCCAGUUUAAGUCCUUGAGUAAAAACUCACCCAUCUGACCUCCGAAGUGUUUUGAGAACCUUGAGACUACACUCCCUUUACCAGCCAAACUCUCCAAAUCCACCUUCGUUUCUAGUCAAUUAGAUUAUUUUCUACAUAUAAUGACUGACAACGAAAUGGCUUCUGAUCAUUUCUACAUUGCAAAGCAUGACCUCUUAGCAUACUUCUAGCAUAUAAAAUUAACCAUUUGAAUAUUAACUGACUUGUUAGAUAAGGAUCCAUUUGAAUGGAAAAAUGAAGUAAAUGCUGGUUUUCAAACUAGAACUGUACUGCACCAGUUUUAGCCUUGGUACAUUUUUUUGAAACAUUAAUUAUAUAAUUGUGAUUAAUACUCAUAGGGCAAUAGAAUUGAUGAGUACUAAUUGGCUAGCGAUACUGCUAAAGCCAUAAUCUUCUUGUCAGAGUAAUAUUUAUCCAAACACGAACAUUACUCUCAAUUAGUUAAUGCCUUAUAUUUUAAUUGUUGUUUUUGAACUCAUUAUCCACGAAUUACUCAUUUUCUUUCUCUUUCUCAUUGACAGAACGAGGUUUUGUCUACUUCUCUCACUUCCUCUCCAAUUCUUGCCUUCCAAUCUCUCUCCCUAGCUAUUUCCUAUUUUACAAUUUGGUUUCAUUUUGUUGAGACUUUUGUAGUGUGUGGUUCAAGAUCUUUUGCAUAAUACUCUUCUCCGCUUUGCUCUUGCUAUUUUUCCAUCACUAUCAGUAAGUGUUUCUUUUUUUCUUCCUUUUUUGCUUUUAUUCCAUUAUGUUUUCUAUUAAAUAAUCUCUACUUACAAUUUUUUCUUUUAUUCCAUUAUGUUUUCCAUCACUAUCAGCACAUUAUUACAAAUUUCAUCAAUUUGCUUAUAACUCCUCCAUAUUCCAGGUGCUUCUUAUUAUGAGUGCUUUACCUGCUUUUGAAUGGCUUCAUCAAUUUUAACUAAACUUUAAAUCUUUACGGUGUAAUGGUUGCUUUAGUGGACAAGCUCAUAUUCAUUAGCAAGAGAAGAGGGAGGUCAUUAGGCCACAUCUACUCAUCCAUACUAAAGUCAUUUUUUGCAUAUUAUAAAAUUAGAACCUUGAGGGUCUACUAUCUUUUUUUAAUUCGUAUUUUUUUUAUUAAAGAUCAUGGAAAAACUAUGCGAUUGGUUUUAUAAUGUCAUUCAAACUCAAUCCUAUGAUGUAUGCAACAUGCUUUAUUUCUUUGAAUUUUGCUUGUUUAAUGUAUUAGUGUGCAAUUGAUCUUCUUAUAAACUUCACUAUCUUUUCCGCUUUUCUAAUUAUUAUAUGAAUCUUGAUUUUCAUGUGUCCAUAUUUUCUAAUAACUAGAUUAAAUUUAUUUUUAAUUGUAUUAUGUUCUAUAUCUCAUGAAUAUAGAAGGAAAAGUGUGUGUACAUUUUUUUGGACUAUUUUCAUUUUAGAUUGUUAGUUGUUUUAGUUAAAUCAUAUCGCAUUUGCAAAAAAAAUAACUUUUAAGUACAACUUUGAAAAUUAAAAAUAAGAGUGCUUUAAAGUAAAAGAAUUACAAUCUAAGAAAAAAAUAUGGUAAAAAACUCAAAACCAAAUCAAUGAGUUAUGAAAAUAAUAGAUAAACAAAUUAAAGAGAUAGAAGAAGUAGGGAAGCUAUUCAAUUAACUAGAGAGAGACGAAAUAAAUAAUUGGCGGAUAAUGGGCCCAAGAGAAUCAAUGAGAAUAUAUGGUGUUGAAUAGUUGAGAGUAAUGUUGGUAUUUGGAUAAAUAUUGUUCUGGCAAGAAUAUUAUUGCUCUGACAGCAUUGCCAGCCGUACUUAUAAUUACAUUUGGUAUAAAAUGCGAAAAUGGAAAUGUUUUAGUUGGAAAUCAAAAAGUGUGGCCCAUGAAGUAUUUCUCAAAUUUAGGGUGACAACGUAUGUGUUUGGUUGGGAUCUAAAUUUUUACCAUCUAAACCCAACCCAAACUCAGCCUAUAAUGCAUAGAUAAUAACACAAAAUAGUAUUAACAUAAUAGCACAUAUAUAAAUUUUCACCCAUUUAUAUGUAUUUAGAUAAUACCACAUAGAAUGUUGUAUACAUAAUAGUGCAUACAUACAUAUAUGUAUAUGUACAUAGGCAUGUUUUGUAUUAUAGUUACUACAUAUAUUCAUGUUAACGCAUUUAUUUUUGGAAGAAUCUUUGUCAUUCUUUCACCAUAUAUUUUGUUAAUCAGAAUAUACUUUUCCUCAAGGAAGUUUCAAAACUAUUAAAAUUUAAAUUUUUUCUCAGACGACUUUUUGUAGAACACUAAUCAUGGUAAAUAAAAUAGGUCAAUGACCCAAAGUCACAAGAAUUGUGUGAAAUUAUGGAUAGUCAUGGGUCCGUACCCGUUAGGUCCCUUGAACACCUUUGGACCCGGGUUUGAAUCUAAACAAAUUAAUUUUGGUGUGGAUCUAAGAUGGUCUAAUGACGAAUUAGAUCCCCAAGCCCAAAUUCAUUUAGGCUCCGGUAUGGGUUUUACCUCUAGCGCUAUUAGAGUUUGUAUCCAACCAAAUUAUCUCUUAUGAAGUUGAGCCUCGGAAAUUUCAACCCAAACCAAGCAUUGACAUCCUUAACAAGAAUCCCGCGUGUGUAAAAUCUCAAUAAGGAUUAUAUUAAUAGGUGGUUUGUAAAAACAAACUAUGCAACUUAUGGAUUAUGAUCCAAAGAAUAUAGUCUAACCGUGGUAAUGAUUGGAGUCGAAUUCAUUCAAAUUUUAAGCAAAAAAAAUAAAAAAUUGUGUCAGCUGGCUUAAUAGUUAUUGAGAACCAACAUAAGGAGUAUAUAUGAUACGCUCCUUUUGGCUUGGUCUAUGCAUAGGUUCUGUAUAAGAUUGAAAUCAAGCUAACAAAAUCAUCACAAUCGAUGUCAUCCCUGUGAAAAUGUGCAUACAAGUUUGUAUAAAAUUCAGUUCCGAAUAUUUUUGUUGAAUACAAUUAUUCGAUAUUACAUAUGAGAUUCUUUGUAUUUGCAGAUUCUAAAAAUUUUUCCUUUAGAGGAAUUUUCAAAAGAACUAUUAUACCUCUUCUUGGUAGACUGCUAUGUAAUUGGUUUCUCGGGUUUUUUUUUUUUUUAAAUGUUGAGCUAUCAUUUGCAUUUGGUAUGUUCAUCUAUCAAAAUGUUUGCUGUCAAUCAAAUUUGAAUGCAGAACUCUAAGAUGCAGUAGUGGACUGAGAAGGAUUUAGGCACUGGGACCAGAGGGCAAAUAUUAGUUUGACAAAUCGAUAAAGGCUCUACUUUUACAAAAAUCUUUCUGGGGCAGGGUGAGAGAGUAGGGAAGCGAAGGGAAUAUAAUGUAAUUUUUUCUUUUAGUGUAAAUAAGAGGAUUCGAAUUCAGAACCUCUCACUUAUACUCCCUACCUCCAUACCACCCAAUCCAUCUCACCCCUGAGAAUAUAAUGUAAUUUUUUUAAUGUAUUUUUCUUAAAGACUUAUCUAGGAACUUUUCACUUUUAGAAUGCAGGAAAUAUAUUUUUUAAAGUCUUGGAAGGGUUAAUACUUAAUACCCCGACCUGGCACUUGGCAAAAAUUACCCCUUUUGGUUUUAAAAUCAUAAACUCAACUGGUGUGUUGCAUGUCCAGCUAUAAAAAUUCCAACAAAGGUUUCCUUUUUUUUUUUGGCAUUGCAACAAAGCUUAAAAUCAAGAAAAUUUAUUAGUCUUUAUUAAUGAAAAAUGUAGAGUUUCAAGAUGUAAACACAUCGGCUUCUUCUAACAUUCAUUCUCACAAAGACAAUUGGACUCGGUAGAAUUUCCCAGAAAAUAGCCAGAAAUAUAGCUCCAAUCUUUUGGAGUUUUCGAUUUACAAAGAUCUGGGCAUGGUAAAUUGGACUUAACAUCACACGGUCCAGGAAAAUGGAGUUAGCAAACAAUGUCAGGAUGGUCCAAAGCCAUGGUUCGAAUUCCCUCUACUGCAUUUGAAAAUGGAAAAUGUUAGUCUAUAAUAUGGAUAUAAUAGCCUAGAAAAGUAAUCACACAAAAAUCUACUUGCUAUUUAUCAUGAAUUUAGUAAAGACGAAUUAAGGAGAAAGUUACCCAUGGAUGUCAAACCAAAUGGUCAAUUCUUUUGUUCUUCGUUUCUUUGUGUGUGUGUGUGUUUUCGGAAGCUUCAAUUGUGGAUCGAUCUAAUAUUUGUUCGUAUUUGAAAAAAAAAACUUAUGGUAACUAAAAAUUUUGAACAAAAUUUUAUCUGUGUGGUUCUUGAAAAUAAUUUAUAUUGCUUAUCUUUGACAUGGACAAUAUUCAAUACUGAAAAAAAAAACUAUGUACAGUAACUAAUUGCAACUUGGAAAAUGAUUUCAAUACUUCCAGUGAUAAUCUAUCAGGAUUAAGCUAAUCUUUGAAAAUGGACAAUAUUCAAUACUGGAAAAAAAAACUAUGUACAGUAACUAAUUGCAACCUAGAAAAUCACUUCAAUACUUCCAGUGAUAAUCUAUCAGGAUUAAGCUAUUAAUUGCAAUUUUAAAAUUUUUUGUUCCUCUUUUUUUUUUUUUUUUGCAUCAUAAAAAUGUAUAACUGUGCAUUUCACUUUAGCAAGAAAGCAAACACACGUCGUAACCUAUAUAGUGUACCUGUGGCACGAUAAUCAAAGGUCAUCAAGAGCAGAAAAAACAUCAAUGCCUUUGCCAUCUUCUUGUUUUUGGUUUUUUUGUCUUUCUUGCUUUUGGUUAAGCUAGAAUACUACAUCCUACAAAGUGUUCCAGAUGGUCUUAUUUAUAUUGAAACUUUAACCAACGUAAAGAUUUGAUUAUUAAUGCCAAAUCUUGUGUUUAUUGUAUUAAUCAUAUAGUAUACGUUACUUUAGUAAGUAAAUCACUAAAACUUGUUAGAUUCAUGAGCAAAAAAGAUUAUAUUCCACAUUGGUCCGAGAGAUGGAGAAAGAGUGAUUAAUAUGUAAGUAAGGGUCCAAAAUCUAACGACUUAAGAUUUUGGGUUAGAAUUGGGUUCCUGACUUACAUAUUGGGCUCUUUGGUGGAUUCUUUCGAGGUAUUUUCUCAUAUCAAAUUGGUAUCAAAACUUCAGGUUGUGAGACUAGACUACUCAUGGGCAAGUGGAUUCUUUUCGGAGUUGGAUCGGUGAAAAUUCUUUUCUUGAUAGUAGAUCAAAGUGUUAAGGAGUUUGGCUAGUGUUGGACCAGGUGUGCCAUAGGUUUGGCAGGGGGUCCAGUUGGUGUAAGAUGGAGCCAAGGGUUGGCAGAGGUCCAAAAAAAUUCAGUUUUGAUAUUGGAGAAGAGUGGGUCCAUAUUUGGGAGAAGAGGUGAUCUUAUGUGAUAAGGUAGGUUUGCGUUGAGUAUUAAAAUGGGAUCGAAGAAGGGCUUAUAAAUUUGGAUUUAAUGUGGGGGUUACUCGUGAAAAGGGAGAUUUGUUAGAUUCAUGAAUAAAAAGUUUACAUCCCAUAUUAGUCCGAGAGAUGGAGAAAGAGUGAUUAAUAUGUAAAUAAGGGUCCAAAAACCUAAUGAUUUAAGUUUUUGGAUCAGAGUUGGAUUUCUGACUUACAUAUUGGGUUCUUUGAUGGAUUCUCUCGAGGUAUUUCCCCCUAUCAAAAUUGAGAUGUGAUUUCAUAAAAUUUAUCAUGUCUAAUAAGAAUAGUAAGAAAAUUUGCAUCAUUAAUUGUGUAUUUAUCGAAUUAAUGCUGCUAGAAUUGGUUACCAAAAUUUCUCUCCACAGAUGUUUUAGAAACUGUGAAUGGAAAAGUUACAUCAGGCAACGGGCUGAUACUUCAGUACAUUAGCAUCUAUAUCAGUAUUUGGAUAACAGAUCCAAUACACGAGCAUUUCAGUUCAUGAAAAUAUUUGGGUCUUUCUAAUGGGUGCCUUAUUAAAAUAUAUUUCAGAUGUUAUAUAUUUAAAAAUGUAAGAUUAAUUAGGAAAAGUAAAUAAAUACAAGAGAGGGUAAGUAAGAUUAAUUAGGAAAAGUAUAUAAAUAUAUGGGAGGGUAAUAAUUGUUAGUGUGUAUAUAUACAUGAUAGGUUAUGUGAUUAUUAAGUGUGAUAAUGAAUGCCCUAUGGGCACCUGUUAGAAAAAUCCAAAAUAUUUUACCUCAUUUUUUGAAAAGUAUGAUAACGAAUCUAUGAACUUGAAAAAAUAGUUGGUUGAAGGAUUAUCUAAUUAGUAGUGGGAAGGGUACACUCUUUGUGGGUUUAAAUUUAGGAAAAUUAAGAGAAGUUACUACAUGAAUUUAGAGAAUCAAAAUAAAUUGAGGACAGGAAGUUAUGGAAAAUUAAAAGGCAUUAGGUCACUUAUUUAAUGAGGGUAUUGUCAGGAAGCACAAAAUAUUACAUCAACAUAUCUGCUCUCACUAUGUUCAAGUUGAAACAAUGGUGUUGCUCUUGCUUUUAUGGUGCCAUACUGUAACAAUAACAUUUUCUUUAUUGAUAUCGGCAUUAAUGCACCGAAUUUCAUUAGAACUCCGAAAUUAAUUGUACUUAGACUGGCAGUAUUAGAAUGGAUAACAAUAAUCAUUUUACCUUCACAUCCCUCUCCACACUCUUUUCAUCGCAACUAUUAAGUAUACAAUUCGAAUUUUGAAUCUCAAAAAGAGAAAACUCUAAAACUCGUCCUCUAACUACUAACUUAGUUCUACACAGUAAAAUCUUUGUUAGUAUGAAUCUUAUGGAUGUGUCCUAUUCGAAUAGUAUCCUAUAGCUGGCCUCUUGACCACAAUUUCAAUAUAUAUUUUUUAAAAAAAGGUCGAGGCUUUGUACGAGGAUUCCAGACCAAGACAAGUUCUCCAUAACACAUCCUGCUACGUACCGGAGUUAGCUUUUUUUCAUUUUUGUACCUCUUUUUUUUUAUUUAUUUUUCCUGAUUUCCCAAGAUUUGUUCCUGAUUGCCCUGCUUGUAAUAAAACAACUUAAAGGGGAACAGAAAUCAAGAUUCUAAUUUUUCCCCACUGGACAACAUUGAGAUUUCCAUUUUGAGAUGCUAAAAGAAUUAGCAUUUUUCCAGUAUAUAUUCGUUAGCACAUAUAAGUUAGACCUAACAUAUGAUGUAAACACAAUUACAAUUAUUGCGCUCCUAUAUUUAUAGACUUUUUCAAAUUAGCUACACUUUUUUCAAAAAACUAAUAUCUCCGCUCUUAAUGAGUGCCUUGUACUUAUAUUUGAAAUCGUGGAUUGCAUCUUAAACCUACUUGCAUGAGUUUUUACACUGUCAAUGAUAAAAAAUUAAUCAUAACUAAAAUGCUAUAGUUCAAGGAAUAAAGUAUUUUUUUUUUUGCCUUUUUGUAAGUGGGAGGUUUUGAAUCUAAGAUCUCUUACCCUACAAUCUCUAUCAUCUCACUACUCCCCCCCCCCCCAAAACCAUCCCCCAACAAGGAACAAAGUAGUUUAUUCUGAAUAACAAGAACUAUAAUGGCCUUUUCUGUCAAAUUUACUACUGGAACAAGUUUAAAAGCUAAGGAUGACUUCCAGGUACAAAUAUCUGAUGACAAGAAUGGAAAAUUGCUUGCUCAUUAGACAAUGUAUUCUUUGUGAUUAUUUUCCAUAAAGCGAAAUUUUCCAAAAGUUGGUUUUAAAAAGCAUAUUGAUAUUAUAUUAAUAAGCAUAUAGAUAUUUCAUGCAAGAAAUCAUGGUUAUAGUUAUCAUUCACCUUCUACUUAUUAUCUUACCAAGAAUUUAAAUUAAGGUUAUUAUUUACCAGAAAUAAAUGUUCUUAGAAUGUUUGUUGUGAAUAAGCCUGUUCAUGAUAUAUAUAUAUAUAUAUAUAGCCACUUAUGGAUAUAGCAUGCUUGCUAUAUAUUACUAUAAAAUUUCUCUGCAUCACAUAAUGAAAUUAGUCCUUUAUUAUUCAAGUAUUACAUGAGGAGGUCUAAUAUCCAGUGUGUUUUCAUCAUACUGAUUUUAGUGUUAUCUAAAUUACUUUCUGGGGUUUCAAAAACUUUGGCUUAUAUCUGAUUCAUGUCGAUUUUCAGUGUAUGGAUGAUAGAAGAAUUUGAGUGUUGGAGAAGUAAUGUGUAAAUGGCUACCGCCCAUGGGACCUCAUUGGGAUCAAUCAUCAUGUAUCCAGAUAAAGCUAACAUCCCAAGAGGUGAGAAGUCAAAUUGAUUUGAAUUACGAACACAAUUUGUCAUUCCGUUUUUUUUUUUUUUUAACAAAAACAGAUAGCUGACCUUUCCAUUAUCAAGUAAUAUGUUUGGAGCUCUCUCCUGGUAUAUACAUGCUUACCUAUUCGAAGGAGGGAAGGUUAUUUUAAGGCAAGUCCAGUGGCGCAGCUGGAUUUAUGCUUGAUACUAAGGAGAAGUUUGAACAUUUUCACCAAUUAUCUGCAAAGGGUGUGCAAUUUUGCAUUACGAUUUUGAAUAUUUUCGCUUUUUUAUUAUUUAUUGUCACUCGAGAACACUUUCACUUGUUAUCCUCAAAAGGCAUGCUUGAUUUUUUUUUUUUUUUUUAUAAAAGGAAGAGCAUUGGAAAGAAAAAAAAAGGAGAGAGAAAAAAGGAACAAAGAAAAUUGGCAUUUUGAAUAGUUCUUUCCGCAAAUUUUUUGUAUCCUUGGAAGGAGUAAACUUUAUCAGCUACUUAUGAAUUUAGACUAAGAGGAAUAUGGUCACGUGUUUUUUUACUGUGCAUAUUUUUCUUGUGUGUGUAGGCACACCAGUAUAUAUGAUGUAUUAUAUUGAAGAGGAAAUAUAGUGGUUAAGGUUGAGAUUUCAAAAUUUAAAAGUUCUGGAAUCUAAUCCUCCUUUCCAAUUCCCAUCUUUUAAAUUCCAUUCCUCUCCUGCUAGAAAUAAUUUUUUUAAAAAAAGAAAGACAUAACAAAAAUGUGUUCAUAUGGCUCAUUUCGCCUUUUCCAUUCCGUAUUUCCAGCAUUUUAAGGAAUUCGCGGCAGAUCAUAUCUGUUGGAAAAUUUGCAAAGAACUGGCAAAUAUUGUAACAAGAAUUGACUUCAAAUCGUAAUAGAUAUCACUUUCCUUUAGACUUUAUUUGUCCGGUAUAACGUGCAAUAACCUUGGACAAAUAUCCUUUAGGAUAAGAUGAAGUUUAUUUGUCUUAAACUCUUGCACAAAGCAAGACAAACCCUUUGUGAACUAAGGAGUGCUUUUUGAGAGAGUAUAGAAUAGUAGGAAAGUGAUUUCUCUACUUGACCUCUUUAUAUAGGAAGAUUGUUUGGGAAACAAAAGGACUCAUUAAAUACUUAUAUGAAUAGAUUCAAAGUAUUGUGUACACAUUCAUGCAUUUUAAUUCAUGCAUCUCAUGAUCUUUAAGAUCAAACAUGAAUCUAUGCUUUCAUUCAAGAAUUCCCAUAUACAUGAAUACAUUCAUAAAUGAAUGUACAUUUUAGAAACAUUCACAAUACUAUACAUGUACCAAAACCAUUAAUGAAUAUACAUUAAUUACAUGUAUGUACCUCAUACAAAUUUUGAAAAGUUUCCAACAAUAUCUUCAAAUUUAUUUUGUUUAGAUUAAGAAAGAAAGUUUUCUCUGCAUUUUCUUCCAUGAACAGUGAACAAAAAUUGUACUUCAACAACCACAAAAAGUAAGACACAUUUGAAGCUCCAAAAGAAGUUGGAAAGAGCUCUGUUUAGAAUGAGAUAAUUGAUUUCCGUCAGUGACAGAUGCCGACUUCACUCGAAAAGCGACGCAAAGAAUCAUGUGGCCAGUAUUUCAUUGGAUUUGCAGGCUAAUCCAGCAGCCUUAACAGUGAAGUUACAUGUAUGCAUCUCAUAUUUCUGUAAUUAUUUAUUAAAGUGAAAUGUCUAUAUUUUUUAUUUUAAACAUAUAUACUAAUUAGUUUUUAAUUUUUUGAGUUCGAUUAAGUUCAAACUCAAGUACAAGUUUUACAGAAUUUUACAUAGAAAGUUCAUUAAAUUCGAAUUCGAAUUUAAUCUUGAUAAAAUUAGAUCGAAUUCGAUUCAAUUGGAUCAAAACUGAACUUGAUCCGUCCCAUUUGCUACCAUUAUAACUGUCAGAUAUGACAUGUACUCAAGUCGGCACAUAGAAAGCUUUUUGUUUGAAGAAACGGAUAUGAAAAGUUACAUAAAAGAACUUGUACAAAUACAGCAGUCAAAUAGUACAAAUACAUCAGGGAAUAAAUCCAAAGAAUGAUAAAAUUCUAGCAGAGGGACAGUGAGAGAGUUUGUAUCGAUGGAAACUUGAUAGCGAUCGUCAAUAAAUAAUAAUAUUCACACUUGAGGAGAAUUGUGGUAGUAAGUAGCAGCCAUGCCAUUGGGUAGUUAAGCUUAAACAGGCUCUUGCUCUUAUUGGAUGAUUUCUCCAUCUUUGAUGUCCUUUGCCUCCUUGGACUUAAAUUUUUUUCUGAAACCACUAUCAGUCCAUCCUUUAGAUAAUGAGUGUAUGGUUGGGAAUAUUUGGAUUAACUUUAGGCCUUCCUUUCUAUUAUCAACACUUCAUCUCACGCCCCACCAUGUUAGGUCACUCUGAGGUGUGUCUUAAUUUCUUAAGAUUGUUUGACAAAAAUAAAAAUAAAAAAAGUGUUGUUUCAUGAAGUAAUUAAACUUUUUUGUUUUAACUUGAAAUUUUGGAAGAAGAAAAGUUUUUUCUCUCGAACAUAUAUGGGGCAAUUCUCAUGAUGUUUAAAUAUGAAGGAAACUAAACCAAAUUUUCAAAGGUGUUACUAAAAUCAACUGAAAAGAAAAAGAAAAGGAACAUUGCAGUGGAUAUAAUAAAUGCAACUUACAUUUAAGAGUGACAAAUAACUAAUUAAUCUCGUUACUCAAUAGCAAUUCAACUCAAGACAAUCUCAACCAAAAGAUUAGUAUAAGAUUAUCAUACAGAGAAGAGAUUAGUAUAAGAUUACAUCUCCUAAAUAUGUCAAUCUAUCCAAUCCCUACAAAAAUUUUUCAAAAAAAUCGAUGCUUAGUUUAAAACUUUAAAUGUUUUUCAUCUUGUCAAUGUUCCUUAAUAAUAUGGCACAGCAACAAUAUUUUACAUAUUCUACGGGCACAUUUUCAACCAUCAAGGAUUUAUCGUAGCGCUUGCAUCAAUCAAAACCACACUAUACUAUACAUUUGACUGUACUAUAAGAAACAAAAAAAAAGACAGAGAGAUAAAGAAGAACGACACAGCAUACCAGACUCUUGAGUCCUCUGAAAUGAAUAUCUUAGGUUCAAGCCUCAAGGUUGGUUUGUUGAUUAAAAAACCUUACCGUCCAGUGGGAUUCAGAAUCUCAGAGAAAACACUGUCACACCUUGAAGUUGUCACUGCUUGCCGUGGAUGUCCAAGUUGUAAUACCACCAUCUCAAUCUUGCCAGCAGAAUCUUGAUCGCCUUCUGAUUCAGAAAUCACAUCUGUAUCAUCAUCGGUCAUAUUUUGCACAUCUCCUCCAUGCAUAUGCAAGGGAAAUGGAUCAGGUCGACCACCCUCAUUUUCAGCUGCCUCCUGGACUUGCAAUGCAAAUUCAAGGCCACCAACUACAUCAUCCAUUCCCGGUCGUUGAAUCCCUUGAUCGUUCAAACAAUUAAUGGCCGUUUCAGCAAAAAUCCUCAAACAUUGGGGAGCAAUCUCGCCCUUCACAUCUGGGUCCACAACUCGAUGGAUAAUCCCUUUUUUGUAACACUUCUUGGCCCAUUCAGCCAAAUUCACCUGCUCCUGGGGUAAGUCUAGAAUAAUAGGUGCCCGACCACACAAAACUUCAAACAAAACCACCCCGAAUGAGUACACAUCGGACUUGUCCGUCAAUUGCUGUCUCGUGUAGUACUCCGGAUCUAUGUAGCCGAAACUCCCCUUGACCUGCGUACUGAUAUGGCUGUAAAUCCCACUCGGACCGAGUUUGGAUAAUCCGAAAUCCGAAACUUUGGCCACCCAUGUCUCGUCCAAUAAUAUGUUGGUUGACUUUACAUCGCGGUGAAUGAUAGUGUGCUUGGUGCCUGUGUGGAGAUAAUCCAACCCUUUGGCGGCGCCAAUGCAGAUUUGAAGGCGUUGUUUCCAUGGGAGCGGUGGAUUGUCUGUUCUAUAGAGAUGAUCGCGGAGGGUCCCAUUAGCCAUAUAAUCGUAAACCAAGAUCAUCUCACCCUUUUCAUCACAGUAGCCUAUCAAAGAAACCAAAUGAAGAUGUCUUAAAUUUGAUAGCAACUGGAUCUCGGUUUGGAAUUCGCGGGCACCCUGUCUUGAUGAAGGAUUUAAUCGCUUUAUCGCAACCGUGGUUAGAUUGUUGUCUAUGUACCCUUUGUACACGUUUCCAAAUCCCCCGGUCCCAACCACAAACUUGGCAUCGAAGUUGGCAGUAGCGGAUCUAAUCUCUUCCAACAAAAAUCUCCUAAGCGACGAUGAACCUGAAGCUCCAAUCUUUGUUGACCUUGGUGGGGUUGAAAGUGGGGUACAAGAUGACUUUGGAGCACUUUUCUGGUCCAAGUCUUUUACCCUUCUCUUCCAUCGCCACCGGAAAAUUAAGAAACCAAGGAUUAAAAUCAAGGAAACCCCUCCUGCCGCCCCUUCUCCAAUGGCAGCAAACAGUACCCGAGGUUUUCCGGGACUCCCCUUAAUCGGUGACUUCUUGUUUGAUGCCAGAGAAUUGGGAUCCUUCGAUAGAUUAGGAUUGGUCCCGCCAAGACUGCCGUCGGAGGUAUUCAAUUUGAACAAUUCUAAGCCAUUCAAGAUUGCAUCGGCAUAUUUUGGUUUGACGUCAAGAUUUGGGUGCAGAGAAAGAAACAAGCCUUGCUUGGUCUGGCGACCCUCUGGUGGGUUUGGAACGAACACGAGGUAGUCUCUGAGAACUGGGAUUCCUUGGCCGCCUGCCCAAUGAAUAACAUCAGCUCCUGGCUCAGCUAUUCUGUUACUUAUAAAUAUUAUGAACACCCGUUCGUAACCCGCUGCAAUCAAAUCAGGAUCAAUCUCACAAAAAUGCAACCUCAUGAGAUAAUAAAACCCAGAGUCAACAGGGAACAUCCAGCUCAAGUUGAAGUUGGUGCUGAACUUUCCCAUCGCCCUUGCAGUAGUAUACACUACUGGGGGCGCGGUGUAAUUUGGGGUCAGUGGAGUGUACUUUAUGGCAAUUUCAUCAUUGCUCACUGGAUUUCCUUUUUUAACGUCCCAGAGGAAAUCGUCAUCUGGAGCCCAUCCCCGGAACAUCCCACUAUCGUCCACCACAGAAACAACAUCACCUCCUACGUUGAGCCUGUAAAGAGCUUCAAAGGCAGUCCUGUCCUGAACAAACUCGAACUGGCCAUCCAUGACUUUGAGGUUAUCAAUGUUGCCCAUGUAGAGAUCGUCUGGGAUUGAAACAAUUUCAAUUCCAUUAACGAAAGCAUAGGAAUUUGAAGAGGGCAAAAAGGUAACAUUGAGGAAUUGAUUCAUAUAUUGAACGUUGAUGAUAUAUUCUUUUUUAACAAAGCCUAGUGUGAAUAAAUCGGUAGAAGCUGUGAGAUAUGCACUGAAGUUACUGAGAAGGGUGUAGUUAUUAGCUGUGACGUUGAAAAAAGACUCAGUUGUUUUGUGACCGCCGGAGUACGAGGUAGGGUGGAAGUAAAGGCGGAGGAACUUUUUGCCUAGGCUGACUGGGAAGGUGUAAGAGAAUCGAGAAAGGAUGAUUCGGGCGCUUGAAAAAGGGACUUCGCUAACUGAGGAGUUGAAUUCAGUAGCUGUGACUGCUGAUGAAAUAUUUGCCAUGUCAUUCGGUGAGAAUUUUGAGCCCGCGUCACCGUCCCAGUUCCGGCCAUCAACUGAGGUUGAAUUCGAGGAUGAGCCGCAGUUGAUAAGGAUAUAAUCUGUGGGGGUGUAAGGCGGAGUGCUGCCAGUGGAAGCGAUGACAAACAACAAAUUGAAGAGAAAGCAGAGGUAUACAAGAAGAGUGAACAUUGGAACGCAGACUUGCAGGGAAAAUAUAUAUAUAUAUAUGGCUCAAAUGUUCUGAUGGAAAAAUUGGUCGUUAUUCCAUUGAAUUGUAGGAUUGGGAUUUCGCCAUAUGUCUUUAAGAAAUGUUGUGGAAUUUAAAGUCCCCAAUUCAGAUGAAGAAGGAAACAGUAGUAGAAUUAACAUCAUGAAGCGAGUAUGGUAGUGUCAAAAUGAACUCUUUAGCGUGGACUUGUUAAGUUGGAAAAGUCAAGUCAUUGGGCAGAUUUAAUGCAUCAAGUCAUUAGGCCAAUAAAAUGCACGCGUAUUGAUUUAUUCUCCCAAAUAAAGCUUACGAGAAGCAGCUACACCAUGGCAAAUUAUUAGUUGCACUUCUCUCCUUUUAAUUUCAAGCAGAAGUCAUUAAGAUUUGCAUUUAGGGUCUGUUUGGUUGGAAGUAAAAUGUUUUCCUUGGGAAAAUAUUUUCCGUGGAAGUAAUUUUCCAUGAAAAUCAUUUCCCUUUCAUCAUUUUCAGGUGUUUGGUUAGCUUAUUGAAAAUAUUUUCUUACUUCAUUUUUCUGAUAUUUGUUUAACUUUUGAAAUAUUUUCACUUUUAUCUCUAUCUUUACUUUCUACACAUUAUAACUACAUACUUCUUCCCAUGCAAAAUAAGAAAAUUUAUCUCAUUGUUUAACUUUAAAAAAUCUUGGAGAAGUGUAUAUAUGAAGCAAUAAACAAAUUGCUGGUCAUUUAGUGUCAAAUAUCAAUCACAUGCAAUGCUUAUUGUGACAUAUAUCUUGCACUCUCACUGUUGAAAGUUUCUCUAGAAAAGAAUGUCCCUAUUAUACAUAAUUAAUUACUAGCAUAUGAUGAGCAGGAUGAGGUCUUUUUUUAUUUUGAAUAUACUAGGGGGGGUUGGGUUGGGUUGGGUUGGGUGGUACGGGGGAGGGAGUGUAAGGAAGAGGUCUUGGGUUCGAGUCCUCCUGUUUACACUAAAAAAAAAAAAACAUACUAUAAGAUGUUUUCAGUAAGUUUGGAACAUACUACAGGCGGGAUGCAUACAUUUAGGAAAACAACUUCAGUAAGUUUGGAAGGGAAGUUGUUUUCCAUAAGAUGAGUGAAAAUAUUUUACAUAGGAAAAUGUUUUCAGUAACUUUUGUGCAACCAAACACGUGAAAUUAGGAAAAUAUUUUCCUGGAAAACAUUUUCACCCGAAACAAACGGACCCUUAAUCGGGGUUUUCUUCAUCUAAGCUUACAUGAUUAAUCGAUGGUUAUGUAACCUAGAAUUACGGAGCAAAAUUGGCUUAGAAGUAUGAUGCAUUCUCUUGGUAAUUUAAUUUUAUUUUUGAGAAAAUGAUCCAAAUUGUCACUUUCAAACCAUGCAAAACUUGCUUUAAAUUUUGAAAACAUACCAAUAUCGCUCCAUAACCCAAUUCCGACCAAGUUUCUGGCUUAGAGUCGUAUGCCCCAACCACAUGCGUAUUAUAUCAGGAGCCAAAUGGAAAAACAAAAUUCUUCCCAAUCAAAACUAAAAGAGAAAAUGAUGAAUUUCAUCCCUUAUAUUUUUGCAAAAUAGUUUUUAUGUCUCACAUAUUUAAAGCUUGCAAAAUCUAUACCCUUACAAGUUAAAGAUGUACUACUAAUUUCGUCCAAAAAUCAAGUUUUUAUCAACUUCUAGGCAAAGGGUUGCACACCCUAGCUACAUUACAAUAUUUCAAGGCUAUUAAUUAACUAAAUGACCAAAACAAAAGCAAACGGCGAAUUAAACCUCGUUGCUUCGCUGACUGAUACAUGUUUCGUUAUUUGAAGGACACAGUAAUGCAUAGCCACCAAGCCAGAAAAAUUCGACUGCAAAUUGUUGAUGUAGUAAUUUGUAAAAGCUAGAUAAAAUUCUUCUAUGUUUCAAUGAUGUUUACUUUUUCUUUUUUGGCUUGCUCUACUUUUACACUGCUCUCAUCUGUUGUUUUAUCAACAGAUUCAUAGACGAAUUUUUCCUGUUCCAUGGGCAUGAUUAUAUAUUUUCUUCAAAUAAUCAACAUGUAAUAACUAGUGAAGCAACGAGAUUCUAGUGCGACAUCUACUUUUGGCUUCGUCAUUUCGUUGACCAAUAGGCCUUGAGAUGAUUUACAUAUGGUUGGGUAUGAAAGUGUAUGGAGACAUGGUCAGGCUGAAUGUUCUCGGGUGGAAAGUUGAUUUAGAUUUGGUUUUGGGAUGAAAUUGGUACAUGUUCAAAAUGACAGGGGUGGUUUUGGAUUCUUUUGAAUGUGAUGGAUGAAAGAAAAUAUUUUCAAAUCAGUGAGGAACAAAGUUGGUCAUUUUCUCAUUUAAUUUUAGCAAUGCUUUAAAAUUCAGACCGUUAAUUGAACCGGUGAGGUGCUCGAGUCCAGGUUCAACUGGUCAGACCGGUUCAAUCCUGGUUCAACAAAUUUUUAAAAAAAUAAUUUGUAAAAAAUGCGCAAAAUAAGAUAUGCAAUGAACUAAUUUAAAACUUUAUAUGAUGGAAAGUUUAAUAUUUUCGAAUAACUUGGAUUUUCAAAAAUAAAUUUUUUAAAUUAUAAGUUCAAACAAAUAAAUUUCAUCUCAAUCUCAAUUAUAUCUACCAAAAAAAAAAUCUUAAAUCCAACCCAAAAAUACCAAAAUAUUUUGAAAUUAUACAAAAUUCACGUCUAUGGGAAUUUAGACAUUGUGAGUUUAAAUUUUAAUUAAUGUUUUUGGGAUUUAGAGAUUGGAAUUAAAAAAAAAGUUUGGAAUUUGAAGGAAGUUAUGAGAAUCAAAACUAGAAAUGCAAACUUGAUAAGAAACGAAAAUGAGAUAAAAGUGAGUAGCUGUGGCAUUUAAUAAUUAGUCUUUAGGGUUAAAGAAAAAUAAUUCUUUUUAAUUUUUUUUCAAUUUAAUUGACAAAAACAAGACUAAAAGAUGGAAGAAAACAUCAAUAAAUUAAAACUAAAGAGGUUUGAUUAAAAACGGAGUGACAAAAGAAAAGAGGAGAGAGAGAGAGAGUUGAAAAUUAGAAAGAAAGAGUCAUGAAAGGAUGAGAUUUUAUAGGAAAUGGAGAAAAAAAAAUGAAUGUUUGUUUUAUAUAAAUGUGUUAUCAAAUAAAACUAAUAGGAUGUGCUGGUACAAUAGUUACUACAUUGGUCUUCUAUCACAAAGGUUUUGAGUUCGAUCCAAAACUUAAAAAAAAUUGAGGGGAAUGUUGAAAAAUCGGAAAUCACUAGUUCAACCCGGUUCACCGAUUUUGACGGGUUUGAUCGGUCUUGACCGAUUUUCUUACAAAGUCAACUUCAUUAUAGAACCGGACCGGUGCCACGGCUUGUUGAAUUACGAACCGGCCGGUUCGAUCUGAUUUUCAAAACAUUGAAUUUUAGAGGGGAAGAGUUUUACCUUUCAAUUUUGCCCCUAAUAUAUUAAGCGCGUGCUUGGGGUAUGUAAUUCUUAGCUAGAGAGUUGAUCGAAUUUGAUUUAUGGGACUAAAGUGGUAUAUUUCCAAAAUAGGCAUUAUUUUAUGAAUUAAUCUUCUAUAUACUGACAGUGUAUACACUUUCACCAUUAGAUGCAUGACAUGUAAUCCGAAUUUGAAUUUGAAACUCAAAUUUUGCAUAUGUGUCGUAUAUCCGAUCGUGAUAAUGAAUACAUCGUCAGUGUAUAAAAGAUUUACUCUUAUUUUAUACCAUUGUAAGUGUGGGGCACGAAAAAAUCUUUUCUAAAAAAUAAGGGACUAAUUGGGUCUAUUUUUUUUUAUUUUUGGGCGAAGGUGCUUGGUACAAAAAUCUAUUUACCAUAGCUGUGAGAAUGAAAUAAGAGGAUUUACAUUUAAUUGAUCAGAACUUGAUUUUGGGGUGCAGAGAUGCUGAGAACAUCCAUGAUAAUUUAGCAAGAAAGAAGGAAUAAGGACAUAGAAGUUUUCUCCUUUCUAGUGGUGGGGUUAAAUUCUUAUCAUUUCUUGUCAUCCUCGAGCAAGUCUUUUGAGCAACGUUACUUUUUUUAAAUUCAAAUGAUCGUCAUUUUUAGAAGACAAUUGUAAGUUAUCUUUGAAAUUACAAUGACUAAAAUUAUCUUUUUCUAUCGAAAAAAAUAUCAAAUUAUACUGUAAACAUUAAAAAUUAUUAUGUAUAUCUUGGUUCAGGUGCUCAUUUCCCUUUAUCAUACAAUGUAAAGGAAUGGUCUGUCCUUUGGAACAUCCAAUAAAAUUGGAACGAUAUAGAGAAGAUUUGCAAAGACUAUGCAAGUGUGACACACAAAAAUGAGAAAAAAAGGAUGCUCUAAUUUUUUAUUGGUGUUGGUUGCAUGGUUAGGUAUUGAAAUACAACUCGAAAAAAGAUUGGUGGAUAAAAUCAAAAGAUGCGUGAAUAGUAGAGCACACUUGGCAAUUUCCUUUCUCUUGAGCAUUGGUCUCCAAAGAAUUCAAAAAGCUCUUCAACCCCUACCCCCCAAAAACAAAACUAAAAAUAAUCCUUUAAUGGCAGAAGAAAUACCAACACGAGUUGAUUUACAAGUUACAACUCAUCGGAUCUACAAGUUACAACUCAUGGAAUUAUGUACUUUUGAUUUUAAAACUUCAAUCUUAAUUACAUGACUACUUCACAAAAGACUCAGUUGCUAGAAAAAAAAAAUACUUGGCAAGCUAGAGUGGUGGCCUGUGGGUAUUCGCAGUGAAAUUACACAAAAUAAAUUAGUGGAGAGUGGGGGACAUCUUUUGUUUUCUCUUUCGACAAGUGUUUGCAGGAAAGUUAAUGAAAUAGGAAAAGGGCAAAAAAAAAAAAAAAGAAAGUAAUGAAGUGAGAUAAAAGCGGACGAAUAAAGUGGGGCUUCUAGUAUUAGUGUUUUGAAAAGGGCUAAUUCCUCUAAUUAUUGUUUGAAAAAAAAAUGGCAACAAUAACGUUCUGACAAGAGAAUUUUUUUUUUUAAAUGCUUGGCUGCCGGUUACCAUGAUAAAUUUCCAAAAUAUCUGGCGGCCAUCAAAAGCGGAAAUAAGGGGCUGCAUGGCCCCAAUGCAAACCAAACAACCGAAUACAAAUAGUCAUCCCUUUCUUUUUUGUGGGAAACUCAAAUGUAGAUGCAGAUGCAAGUUGUAACAUGUCAGUAGUUGGACGUGGCAACAGGUAGCUUCUUCUUCCUUUUUUUUUCUUUUUUUGGUAAUACUUGUCCUACUAAUACUACUUAUAGAUUCUUAAAAAAAUUUAAAAACCUUUUUAACUUUUAUAUAAAUUUUUUUUAAUGAAAAAGUUGUAAGAACAGGUGAAAAUGCAGUGGGACGCCAAUGUUUUCAAACCCGGACCGGACCGGCCGGGUCGACCGGUUCGACCGCGACCCGGCCAUGAGUCCGGUCCGGUCUAUAGCUUAUGUUGACUUUUAUAAGAAACCGGUCAAAACCGGAAAAAACCGGUCAAAUCUUCAAAACCGGGUCGGACCGUGAACCGCGGUUUCCAAUUUUUGAGUCAAAAUUGACAAAAACUUCAAUUUUGACCGAUCCCUAAUCUUCAUUCUUCAUUUCUGAUUUCUUCGCUAGUUCGCUCCACGGCUCCAGUCUUCCACUCUUCCUCAGUUCCUCUUCGCACUUCAGUGACUUCACCUCGCCGCUUCGCCGCUUCGGUCCUCGCCGCUUCGCCGCUUCGGUCCUCGCCGCUUCGCCGCUUCGGUCCUCGCCGCUUCGGCCUUCGGUCUUCCUUCGCUAGUUCGCUCCACGGCUCCAGUCUUCCACUCUUCCUCUUCGCACUUCAGUGACUUCACCUCGCCGCUUCGCCACUUCGGUCCUCGCCGAUUCGCCCCUUCGGCCUUCGGUCUUCCUUCGCUAGUUCCUUUUCCCCUUCUCCAAAGUGUGGUGUGGAUCACUUUUGGGGAAGCGGCGUAGAUGACCACUGGUUGGCGGUGCUCGUUGUCGACUGUGGGCUGAAGGUGCAGCUGAGCAGGGUGAUUGAGGUGGUGCAGCGCCGGUGGACAUCAACCCUUCUGCAUUCAGGUCCCAAAUCUUCAUAAUUUGAAUUGCUACCUCAUUUCGUUUCUAAUUUCAACAUGUUCUCUGUCUAGAUAUUGUUCCAUAUGUGAGUAGAUAUACUCUGAUUGUGAUUGAUUCUCUUUAGUGUCGUGUUUUGCUGGUCAGUUUAUCCGUUUACUCAGACUGGGUUGAUUGUAGCUGCUGCUUAUUUUCCUGUUCACGUGUUUGAGUUUAUAGAAUUGUCAAUCCUUUGGAAAUAUCAGUUCCGCUUGCCUAAAUUGCUGCAAAUUCCCUUGUACUUUGAUUGCUUUCAUUCAUAAGAAUUCAGUAUCGUGAAUCUGCUGAUCAAUCUAUUAGCUGACUGUAACCCCGGCAAGAGUUCUUAUAUACUUGUUUGUGAUUAAUUGUGAUUUGGAUCUUGUCAGUGAGCUAAAGGAUGGAAGGGCACCAAUUGAACAUUACACACAUUAUCCUUCAAGUUUUAGCAAUUCGCUUAAAUGUGUUGAUCUCACGUUUUGCUUCUCAAACAUGUGAUAUACCAUAUAUAUGUAGUGUUUAAAGGGCAAAGACUUUCAUUCCACUUCCAGUUAAAUAGCUUCAUUUGAUAUACAUUUUGCAUACUUGGGAUCUGGGAACACCCAAUGUGCUAUUAUUUAAAAGUAUAUUUGAUGUCUUUAAAUCUCUGUGCUAUUAUUUAAAAGUAUAUUUGAUGUCUUUAAAUCUCUGUGCUAUUUUUUAAAAGUAUAUUUGAUGUCUUUAAAUCUCUGUGCAAAACCCAGUUAUCGUGAAGAUACUUAACACCCUCAAGAAAUGCACAAGGCUUAGGGAAUUAACUACACUCGUGCUAAACGGUUGUUUCAUUGUCUCCAUUAACCCCUUUAGAUCUUUUGGUGACAGUUUCAGUUCCCAAAUACAAAUAGCUUUAAUAAUUUGUUUCAGUUUGUGUAUAUUAAUUAUUUGUUAAGACUAGUUAUUUUUAAAUAUCUCAUUUUAGGAUGGAGGCUGGUAGCGGUAGUAACUCACAAUGUUCACCGGGGGGACCAUUCAAUAGUGAGGGAUCUGCAAGUCAGCCCCAAGGUCAUAGGCAAAAGACAGAUAUAGCAUGGGGAUAUGUUUCUGAGGGCAGAAAUGCACAAGGAAGAAAAACCAUGACAUGCACUUAUUGUUUUAAAGUGUUUCAUGGGGGUGGCAUCCACCGAAUGAAGCAACACUUGGCAGGAGUAACGGGCAGUGUUACUUCAUGUCCAAAUGUUGAUCCGGCAGUGAGGCUUGCAAUAUUAACAUGUUUGCAAGAGAAUGAUAAAAAAUCUAAAGAAAAAAGAGGAGAUUUUGGGGUUGAAAGUCCUUUUGGUCAACCAGUGCACGAAUUUGUCGGUGAUGAAGUGCAAGAGGUUCCACCUCCUCGAAUAAGGGAAAUUUCAAUGAAUGAGGCUGGUACAUCAUUAGGUAAAGGAAAGAGAAAAACCACUGCCCCUACAGGUAUUCAUGCUUUCUUUAAGGGUGGACGUGAUAGUGCUCAACCUACUAUCAAAGCUUGUUUGCAAAGUAAGGAUAAAUGGCAAAAUACUGAUAUGGCCAUUGCUCUUUGGUUCUAUGAUGCAUGUAUUCCCAUUAAUGCUGUUAAUUCUCCAUUUUUUCAAAAAGCUAUCGAUCAAAUUGCAUCAAUGGGUCAUGGUUAUAAAGCUCCAUCUUAUCAUUCUUUGCGAGUCACUUUGUUGCGAGAUGCUAAGAAAGAUGUGCAGUUAGUUGUUGAUUCAUUUCGAAAUACUUGGGCUGAAACUGGAUGCACUAUAAUGGGUGAUGGAUGGAAAGAUAGUAGACAAAGACCAUUGAUUAAUUUUCUGGUUUAUUGUCCUAAGGGUAUAUCUUUUAUCAAGUCUAUAGAUGCAUCGGACAUUGUGACAAAUGCAGAAAAUUUGUGCAAUCUGUUUGUUGAAAUUGUUGAAAUGGUUGGUUCAAAAAAUGUGGUGCAUUUAGUCACUGAUAAUGCUAGCAAUUAUAAGGUUGCUGGAACUUUAUUAAAUGAAAGAUAUCCAACUAUUUGCUGGUCUCCAUGUGCUGCCCAUUGUAUCAAUUUGAUUUUGAAGGAUAUUGGUGAAAUGGGUACUGUUAAAUCUCUAGUGGCUCUUGCUGCUACAGUAACUGUUUUUGUGUAUAAUCAUAAAUAUGUUCGAAAUUGGCUGAGAAAAACUAAUGGGUGGAGGGAGAUUAUUCGUCCGGGGGAGACUCGAUUUGCCACCACUUUUAUUGCACUAAAGAGCUUACAUGAUCACAAAGACAGCUUACAAGCUUUAGUCACUAGCGGAGAUUACAAAAAGUUCUUGAAAAUGAACAAAGGAAAAGAGGUCAAACAAAUUGUUUUGGAUGAUAGAUUUUGGAAUAAUUGUUUGAUUACGGUGAGAAUAAUGGGUCCUAUUAUUCGGUUGUUGAGAGUUUGUGACACUGAUGAAAGGCCUUCUUUGGGGUAUGUGUAUGAAGGUAUGUUUAGAGCAAUUACUGGAAUCAAGAAGUUGUUCAGGAGUAGUGAAAGACUAUAUAAGCCUUACAUUGAUAUCAUCAAUGACCGAUGGGAUAGGAUGUUGAGGAAAAAUUUGCAUGCUACGGCAUAUUUUUUAAAUCCCGCUUUUCAAUAUGACACUGCCACAUUCUCUACACAUCCAGAAAUUACAAAUGGUUUGUUGGAUUACAUAGAAUCAAAGGUGGAUUGGUGUAGUGUGGAAAAUUUAACAAGAGAAAUUGGAAUGUAUCGAGAGCGGGAGGGAAGUUUUGGCAGAAAACUUGCUAUUCUUACUAGCAAGAAAGAUAGACCAGGUAAUUUAUAUUUUUCUAGCAUUUGAAUCUGUCUAAUAUAUAUAUAUAUAUAUAUAUAUCUAAUUUAUAAAUAUUUUGUUUAUAUUUAAAUUUUGAAUAUGACAGAGAAUUGGUGGAAGCUCUUUGGUUGUGAUGCUCCCAACUUACAAAAACUUGCAAUUCGGGUUUUGAGUCAAACAGCUUCUUCUUCAGGAUGUGAGCGUAAUUGGAGUGUUUUUGAACGUAUUCAUACUAAGAAAAGGAAUAGGUUGGAGCAUCAAAGGCUCAAUGAUCUUGUAUAUGUGCAUUACAAUUUGCGUUUGCAGUAUAGGUAUAUGUAAAUGGUUUAUUUUUAUAAAUAACAUUUCAUUCUUUUUAAGAAAAUAUUUUAGUACUAACUAAGUGUAUAUGUUGUGUGUAUAUAUAUAUGUUGUAGGCAUAAUCAGCAAAAGAGAUCGUAUGAUCCCGUUGAUUAUGAGUCAAUUGAUAAAACAGAAUUUUGGGUGGUUGAAGAAGAACAAGAAGGGGAGUUUGACUAUGAGGAGUUAGAGGAAGAGCUUGAAGAACUUCCAAUUCAUGGUCAAUGUUCAAAUUCUGAACAACUUGAAGGUUAGUUUGACAUAAAUCAUUAGUUUGAUGCAAAAAUAAAGCUAGUAUGAUAUGAUAUUCAAUUGUUGAAUAUGUAUAUAAUUAAAUAUGUUGAUUUUUUAGAUAAUGAAGAGGAAGCAGAAGAUGUUGAUUUAGAAACAUUUCAACGUCGAAACUUUUUUAAUGAUGAAGAUGAUGAUUGGCAUUAAAUGUUCAAAUGGUAAUUGGUAUAGAAUUAUUUGUACUCUUUUAUUUUUAUUUUUAAGAUUUGUAUCAGUUGGUGUGAUGAAACUAAUAUGAUUUUAUACUUUUAUCACUUGUCAGUGAUUCAUAUAAUGGUCUUGGAUGAUGAUGAUGACUUGUCAAGAUGGCUUUUUUUGAAGCUUUGUUGUCCCAGAAUUAUGAAGAAGACUAUAGAAGCUUCAGAAAUUGGACUCGUUUGGACCUUUUGAUUGUUUUCUAGACUUGUAUUUUUUUUUGUUAAUUUUAAUAUUUAGACAAUUGGACAUGUAAGUUUCAUAACUAUGUUAAUUGUGUGUGUUAAUUGUUGGAUAUUGCUCUUAUAUUUAUUGUGGUUCAGCAUUUAUAUCUUAUUCUAUGCAUAGGUGUGUGUGUCUAUAUAUAUAUAUAUAUAUUUAUUUAUUGAACCCCGGUUGAACCGGUCCGACCGGUUGAACCUCGACCCUUUCACCUCACCGGUUCGAUUGACGGUCCGGGUUUGAAAACAUUGUGGGACGCAAGUGGAGAGGAAGGUGAGUGGAAAAAAGGUAGGAAGUUACAGGAAGCUUCUUUUUUCCUUCUUACCAUUUCAAAGAAGCUGCUGCUGCUGCUACUACUACUGAUGAGGAAAAGUCCACUCAAAAAAAGGCUGCCGGGCUAAUUUGAAGUUAAAAAAAAAAAAAAAAAAAAGCUGCAGCCGGCCAUCAUGACUGCCUGGCUUACUAAGCCCGGUAGCCUUGAAGUUAAAAAAAAAAGAAAAGCUACAGGCUAUCUUUUUUUUUUUUUUUUAUCGAUACGCUAGCUCCCUACACUAUGGGAAGGGGGAGAGCCUGAAGAGGUCAUGAGAUAACCCGAAGGGGACUGAACCACCACCGGAUCAGACGGAUGCACUACGCAUCCGUCUGAAUUUUUUAAGUAAGGCCACAUUUAAUUGUGGCAAUUGGUGGGAGGUAAGAUUUGAACCCUUACCUCCCACCCCACCAAGUCUUAAUGCAUUGGUGGUGCCCUGGCAGCUUUUUGUCAACCAGGCAGCCAAACAUUUACCAAAAAAAAAAAAAAUUUCUCUUACUUGCCGGGUUGUGUCAGCCCGGCAGGCAUAGUUUCGUACCAGAACUCUGUCAGAACGUUAUUGUUGCGAUUUUUUUUCGAACAAUAAUAGGAGGAAUUAGCCUUUGAAAAGGGAAAGUGUCUCAAUAUAAGAAAGCAAUAGACAUGAGUGUAUGUAGUAAAAUGAUAAAUCGUAACAAAAAAAAAUUAAAAAAUGGAUUAUUAAAUUUAUUUUGUAUAUUUAAUAAUCAACUUAGCUAACGGUUGGUCAAUGAGCACUCGUCACAAACAUUCAAAUGUUAGUUUUUUUUUUUUGAAAAAAUACAGUGAAUUUAGGAAGUGUUUAAAUACAUGGGGCUCAAUAAUUAUGAUUGAAUUUAUUCAUAGGGUAAUUUAAGUGUAAUUUAGUUGUACUAACAAGUUCUACAUUAAAAAAUCUUUUAAUAAUUAUAAUUUUUUGUUAAUGAGAAUGGUAUUAGGUUAAGGAUUAAUCUUUCCUACACUGACAGUGUAUACACUAUCAGCGUUGGAUGAUUGACAACUAUGCAAAAUUUGAAUUUGAAAUUUAACUUUUGCACACAUAGCAUGAAUCCAACGAUGAUAGUGUAUACACCGUCAGUGUAGGAAAUAUUUACUCAUUAGUUAAUGCACUUGAUUUAUAGCAAAGAUUACAAUGUGAAAGCACGUACUUAUGCUCCUUGUCCUUCUUGAAUUUAAGCACUUUCCUUAUUUAAUUUUAAUUUACUAAAUAGCUUGCGCAUGAGACCUCUCUUGAUGGGUCCAAGUGAUGAAUCCAUACUUAGGUUCAUACCUUAGAUUUUCAUAUAGGAGAUUUCUAACGAGUGCCUAUACACCUAAAUCAUACCUUAUUAGCUACAUAAAUUCACACAUUAAUAAUUAUUAUCCUAUCUUACAUUUAUAUAUUUUUUCUAAUUAAUAUUACUUUAUUCAAAAUAUGAACACCUGAAAUCCAUUAUUGGACAUUCGUUUGACAGACUCUUUCAUAUAUAACCAUUCUACUCGGAAUAACUAACCUGUGAUCAUUAAAAAUUAAACUGAAAUUCAAAUUAAAUAAAAUAUUUUUAUUGAUUAAAUGCUAGUCAAAUUGAUUGCAAAUUCAAGCAUCACAAUAGGCAGACCUCUCUGGGAUCUACAGCUUCUUUUAUCUUGGAUCAUGCACAAUGCAGCAGCAUUGACGACCACUGAAUCCAGGAACGCAUAAAACAUUAUUGAUGUGCAAGUCCACAUAGCCACACUGCUCGAUGCAAUCAAGUCUUGUGGUGCAUGUACCAACAAACUUGCAAUCGCUAUACGGUCCAUCAUCAUCGUCGUUAAUCUCUGCAACAAUAUAUAUAUAUCGUCGUCGUUAAUCUCUGCAACAAUAUAUAUAUAUAUAUAUAUAUAUAUAUAUAUAUAUACCAAUUCACCGUUGAAUUAUUACUUAAUUCGAUACCCAAUCCAAAAGCAAUUAAAAUCUUAUAAUACUCAAAAUUAUAUUAUUUAUAUUGGUAAAAAUGCUCUCUUUAAUUUAUGCACACAAACCCACACAGGUACACACUGGCAUAUGUUUAUAAGUGCAUAUGUAAGUGUUAAAUACAAGAUAAAAAUCAUUCACAUGGGAAGAAUUAUUCGUAUAUGACAGGAGACAACAAAGCAACCAAUUAGUUUGAAAAUUUUAGGAUUAGCUUCCCCUCCCCGUGAACGGGGUUUGCUUUAAAAAAAAAUGUUUGGAAGCCAAGACAUCAACAUGCCAAGGGCUUAGAAUCUGUAGAAUAAAAAAAUAAAUUAAACUCCAUUUGAAAUUCCAACUUGAUAAACUUGAGACUUAAAUCAAACACCCAAUUUCAUUUGCCAAAAUCUUUGAUCAAAGGCUCGAUUGAUUUGUGAACUCCACUUUCGAGUUUCUAUCAAUGUAUGAUACAGCUUAGAUAGAAGCAUUACCAUUAGAAUAUCCAGAAAGAAGAAGAGUCAUGAGGAUGAGUGAAACCAAUUGAACCCUUCUUGAUGCCAUUGUGCUGUAUGUUGAUGCCAAACCAAUAUGAACAGCAAAUACAACAGAACUAGCCUUGCCUAUUUAUAACGAAAUGAUAUUGAUAAUUAGAAACGUGUCAUCACCUAUGUGGUUCAGAUUUAGGUUCAGGUUGACCGGUGUACACACUUUGACAAGUGGCUUAUCCGUAUAUUAAAGCUUUUGAAAAUCCGAUUCAUCAUCUUAGAGUGAGACAAUUCGCAGAUUAAUUGGCUAUUGUCGUUUUUUGCUUGAGUGGUUUUUGAUGUGGAACCGUUUCUAAAUGAAACUGAUAGAAGACCAACUUUCAAAAAAGAUUUACCAACCGUUUGGUUGGUGGGUUUUCUACUCUUCAAUGGGUAUAGAAAGUGCUUUAUACCCAUAGAUGAUGUUUGAUAUACUUCUAUGGGUAUUGUUCAAUCACAAUCAAAAAGCCAAAAGUAGGUAAUGGUCAUUGACGAAUUUAACACUAAAUGGCAUAAGAAAAAUACAAAAAAGAAUGAAGAUACGGCUAUCUGUCCAUAGCGACGCCAGUCUUUCUUUCUUCUUGUACUCUUGUUUUUCCCCCUUUUUUCCUUUUCUUUUUGUGUUUUUGUAAGCAUACUCAUGUUCCUUCCUUUCCUUUAUUCUCUCCUCCAAUCUUUUUCUUUCUCUUUUCUUUUGAUGGCCAGUAGGUGCGGUGGUGUUGGUGGCCAUUGUUGCUUGGGUGAAGCUUUUUUUUUUUCUGGCAAUUAUUGUGACUUUGACAAACUUUUCUUUAUGAAACCUUAACACCCUUAAUUUUGUGAUUUGCAGGCAAAACAUAGCAUCACCUUGUGUGUGUGUGUGUGUGUGUGUUUUUUUUUUUUUUGGUCUUCAAGAUUUUAAGUUUGACUCCAUGUGUUAUUGGACAAUUUGAUGUCAAAUUAAUUUUAAAUUUAACUUCUCUAAAGUGAAAUGAUUGUUUUGAUAGUCAUUUGGCUUAUAAUUUUUUUGAACUAGUUGAAGUGGUGGACUUGCCACGUUGGUGGUGAUGCUGGCUGGGGUUUAGUAUUGGAACUUAGGAAGAAGAAGGGAAAAUGAAAAAAAAAUUAAAAUUUUGAAAACCCAUUCCUUUUGAUUAAAUACCAAACAAUCAAUAAGGUUUUGGCAAUACUCAUUGCCAUUGAAGAAUUUGUGAUAGCCAUUGCUAUUGCUAUUCCGUAGUGUAUGCCAAAUAGCUGGUUAGAUAUGGCAACCAACCCACCCUGAGGAGGAGAAAUGAGGCAGGGGUGGGAGUGGGGGAUUUUUUUUAACCCUGCCUCAAAUGGGGCAAGGGAUGGGGGAACGUACCACGAUCCAUCCCCCGUUUUAAUUUUGACAUAGUAUAACAUCUAUGUAUGUUUAUAUAUAUAUAUAUACACACACAUACAUACACACACAAACUAAAAGGAAUCAGCCUGUGCAAGCACAGCUUAUCCCUACCUAUAAAAUUCUGGUUAAAAUGCAUCACAUUAUAAUUUGCUUUCAAAUAUAGAGCAAUUACAAUUGCAAAAAAAUAAGCCUAAAAAAUAAGGUUUAUUUUUAGUAGAAUGUUCCAAAAGUUUGCUCCAACUUGCCUAUUGUAAUGUAGUAGAGAUAUAUUGUUGUAUUGUAUGGAUAAAUAACAAUAAAGAAUUUAAAAACCAAACACAUGAAAAAUGCAAAACCAGUUCAAUGUUAACAUAAAUGGUAUAUGCUUCAUAAAACUCAAAUAUCAUGCUAUUAUAAUUAAAAAUGCAUAAAAUUUCACCACUCUUUCUUUUCAAAUAAGACACCAUCAUGUAAAAACUCCCAUCCUACAAUUUCACAAUAAAACUUGGAAGAAAUUGAAAUGGAAGGUUUUCAAUGCAUAAAAAGGGUACAAAAAUUUAGUACCAAAGAAUUACUAGAUGAAGUGUUAUAUUCAAUUAUGCAUUGAAAGGGAACUAAAACGUUAGAAAUGCAAAACACAAAUUUUGCAUUUAGAUUUAAGACAAACCUCACAAAAGGAAAAUUGACUUGCAGAACCAAAAUAAUUGAAGGCUUAAUGAAUAUCAAGGAGAUCAAGCCAAAAUAAAUAAAUAAAUACAUCGUGGUAACAAGAUAAAGAGGGAAAAAAAAAAAGAAAAAUGAUAAAGGCUAAAUAAAGUACAGUUAGCGAAAAAAAAACUUGAGUCCACAUUUGGCAGCAUGAAACGGGGUAAAAAUAGGAAUAAAAAGAAAACCAAACACACCAGAUAGUAGGAGUAGCGGAGGUAAAAAAUCUAUUCUCUAUGUUUCUGCUAAAAAAAAAAAGAUGAUCAUGAAUCAUGAUUUUUGAACAAAGAAAGAAAAGAAAUAUCCAUUCUCGUGCAAGAAAAACAUAUAGUCAUUUAAUUAUAGAGAGAAAAGGAAAAGAUGCACCGACUGAGUAGGUGGAAAAGCAGAGAAAAAUUGGGAUGAAAGAAAAGAAGAAGGGAAAAAGCAAAAUAUUGGAUUUAAAAGUUAAAAUUGAUGGAGGUGGAAGUGACAAAAUAAAUCAAUUAAUUGUUGUGAUACAUUUCCGUAGUCAACAAUAAUCACCUAAAAACAUAGUAAGAAAAUAAUCUUAAUAUAAUUAAUGAUAAAGAAAAAAAUUUGAACGGGAAAAAAGAAAGAUGAAGAAAAAAGAAGGAGAUAAGGGUUGAAGAUAGAGGCAGAAAAAGGAAGAAGAGAAAAAUUGGAAGGAGAGAUGUUUAUGACUUUUGGUUAGCCAAAGAACAUAGUGGAGCAAAAAAUCCAACUAAAAAUAAAAACUGCCACUUGUCAAAAGAAGAGGCUAUACACAUGGCAAAAAGAGAGAUUGCUACAGUAGCCUCUCUUUCUUUGUAUAUACAAGACAAGAUAUACAAUACAAUAAAACUAGCCUCUAGCUUCCUAUCCUUGUCACCCAAUAUUUCUCUAUUUAUAUUUCUUUAUUAUUUAUUCAAAAUAUAACUUAGCAUAUGUUUAUGUUACACUAUUAUAAAGUGAAUUUGGCUAGUAAAAUAUAAAAAUGAAAAUUCAAUACAAAAGUAUAAAAACACCAAAUUUAGUUAAUUUUGAAUUAAAAGAUUUUAAAUUUUCAAAGGAGAAAUAUUGUUGUUGAAUCUAUAUUCAACCUCCAAAUUGAAAAGUUAAAAUUUGAAGCAAAGAAAAUCCAUAACUUGCAAUUUGGUUUUACAAUUUUAAAAUGUACUUAUAUUUGUAUUUUCAAAAUAAAUUUGAAAAGAUAAAAUUUGAAGCAAAAGAGAAAAAGAAAACCAUAACCUACAAUUCGAUUUAAACAUUUUUACUAUAUAUUUAGCUUUACCUCUCAUAACAUGAAAAGCAUAUAAAACCAAAGAUUGAUCACAAUGAUUGCAAAUAUUGGCAUUUAAAAAUGCAAACAAAAAACUGAUAAUAUCUUAUAAACUAACUACCAAAAAAAAUAAAAAUAACAUGGCAAUUGUAGAUUUACAUAUGAAGAAGACAAUAAGAGUACAUAAAAUAAUCAAUAAUACCCAAGACUAUUCUUAGCGCUUGGGUUUUGCACUCUUAUUCAAAUUUAAUUAAGGUCGAAUUUGGAUCAAAUAGAUACAAAUUAAAUAGAUAUAGUUUAGGGUCAAAAGUUCCAUAUCUUUGCUUUAAAUUGCAUUGUUAUUUUUAAAAUUUUUGGUAGAAUUGGUGUUGUUUUUAAUAUUAUUUUUCAUCAAAAAUAGAGAUUUCGAAUAAAAAUUUCAUGUUGAAACGCCAAUACUACUUUUUUUUUUAUUUAGUGAUUUCAUAAUUUAAGAUUCACAAAUGGUAUCAUUCCUGAUUUUUUUAAUCCAUGACCAAUGAAUAUUAUUUUCUUUAUGUUUUCUAUAUAACUUGUCCUUUUAGUUAGGAUUACUAAGUUGAAGCUAAAAUAUUGUUAUUUACUUUUUUACUUUUAGUAAGUUUGGUGAUGUCUCUUUAUUUACCUCACAUUAAUGGAUUUCAAAUCAAAUCCUUCUAUAAGCGGACUCAUUUCAUAUUUUUUAAAUUCAAAAGAUAUGAAAGGAUACAUAACAAUUAAAGAAAUUCAAAAUUCUAUUUAAAAAAGGAAUGAGUUAGGAGCAUUCUAAUUUAACCAUUCGAAAAACCGUUCCUGCAAUACAUAUAUAUAUAUCUCCAUAAAAUAAUACUCGAUAAAUUAAUAAACUCUGUUAAAAAUAAUUUUUUCUAGUCCCGACUUGGGCUAGCGAGCUAAAUUAAUAAUUUUGAUAAAAUAAUAAGAUAAUAUUUUUUUUGGAAAACUUUAUAUAGUCCUUUGGACCUAUUCAUAUAAUAAAUUAAUAACUUACUAAAAUUACAUAUUAUAUUUUUCUAAAAUAUGAGUUUAUUGUUGUUUUUUUUUUUCUUAAAGUUUAAAUCUAACUAAAUCUCAUCCAAAAUCAACCAUGACUGAUCACAAAUGCGUAAAGCAUUAUGUGGGUGAAUAUAAUUGAAAACAUCCUAUAUACAAAUGGGCAUCUAUCGUUUUGAUAUCUAUCAUUUAGUAUUCCUAAAUCUUUUUGACAUUUUGAUAAUAGAUCGAAAAAUCAUAUCAAUUACUACAUAAUUGAAGAUAUUGAUAGAAUUAAAUUAUACAUACAAAUUGAUGAGCGCAGGGUAUACAUAUAAUAAUAAUGCUCAUUCCAUAGUCAAAUUUUACAUUUAUAACAUUCUAAAUACCCCACACGCUAUUUUCCGCAAGUAUACGAAUCGAGAGCGAGUAUAGGGUAUUAAGGGUCGAUCUCUCAAGGAAGACGGGCAAGCACUGGCACUACUAAAUUUUCUCUAUUAUUUAGACUAUCAACAAAUUAAAACAAAUAAACUAAGAUAUAAAUGGAUAGAUAAAUGAAAAUAAAAGCUCCUUGGGUAAUGGAAUCCCUACCUAUUCAUGGUAGUACAACGCCUUAACCAAAUGAGUACCAAAAUCUCGACUAAGUUAUGGCGUAAUUUCCUAAUAUACGUGAUACCCGCUUUUAUCGGUGUACCAACUAUACCUAUAGUUAACUCAUAUCUACUUUCGUGGUCAUGAAAUCAACUACAAGUUCAUUCACUUCUAUGAAAUUACAUGGAACAAAGCCACAAAAGCCACAAAAGUGUACCUCUACUUUCGUGAGUGUACUCCCUAGUUUAACACUUUUAUGAACUAGUGUCAAAUUCCAAUUUUUAUUGCAAGUCUAACAUCUUUAGAUGAUCAUAAUCAAAGGCUAGUUAAUCAUGAUUAUAAGAGCAAAAGUGUUAAAUAACUCAAACAAGAUAAUAGCAUCAAUUGGCCAAGAAAUCAACACCAAACAAUCAUAGAAAGUUCAACCAAAUAUCCAAGGCAUACACUUUAAAAUAACAUUACAAACACAAAAUCCAAAUCUUACAUUAACAAACUUAGAGUUCAAUACAAAGAUGUGGAAAGAAGAAAACCCUUGUCACUAGAGCUUCUUGAACCUCUCCUUCUCUACAUUAUACUACACUAACCUAUACUAACAUAAGAGAAAAUAAAGAGAGUUACAUUUGUUAAGGGUUUGAGUCCUUUGGUUUUUCUUCUUUCUCCAAACUCUCUCUCCUCUGUCAAGCGAAUUUGAGCUCACUACACCCUCAAACUAGAAGAACUAUGUAGUAUAUAUUCUUGGUCUUCAAGAGCCAAUCUCUCUACUCAAUAAUGUGUUUCUUUGUUGUUAAAAGUCAACAAAAGAAGCUCCUAGAUCCUCCAAAAGUUGGUACAAAUUGUUCUUUUGUGUCUUGUCCAAGAUAAAGAAAGAAGCAAGAAGCAUGCAAGUUGGCAACUUGCAGCUGCCAGGAAACUCUUGGAUGAAUCCCUGGAGCUACAACAAAUGUAAUAUCAAAAGAUCAAAGUCAAGAAUGGGGCACUUUUUUCCCAUGAAUUGUUUCAUCUCCAUGCUAAAGUUGAGGUGAAGUUGGAGUUUGUAUCCUAAGGUGCUUUUCCUCUUGUGCCAUCUCCUCUUGUAUGUGUUGCUCCUCUUUUCCUUCGGAUAAUAUCGGUAUUGAUUUCAUAGCAACCUUAAUUGAAGAGUAUAAACUAUUAAAGCACCAAUUCAAAGUUGACAAGAAAAUUUCAAAUAUUAAGAAAAGCACAUUUUCCAAAAGAAAAUCAUCACCAAAUGGCAUAAAUAACUCCAAUAAUAUACAUUAUAUCCUCAAAACAUCAUAAUUAAGACAAAUUCAUGAGCUCCAAAAUUAUUCUAGAAUUUGCAUUUACCAUGAGACCUCAAAUUAGCAAUUCACAAUUAGCUUCAUAUAUUGAAAAAUAAGCACUUAUACAUCAUAAAAAAUGCUAUAUAAGGCCAACAAUAACCAUAAUGAAGCUAAAAAAAUUCCUCAUGAAAAUUGCCUAUUUAGCAAAGAAUUCAAGAAAUGGUAUUUUGCCUAAUUCCUCACAUUGCACCAUUGUUAACUACAAUAGGCAAAUUAACAUGCUUAUGGAAGUUAAAUGAGCUCAACUAAGCAUCAAAACAACAACAAAUUUCACCAAAAAUUCACCAAGAAAUUCGUCCAAAAAUUCAAGAAAAUUUGACUAUGGUGAAAUUUUGAUUGAGCCAAAUAAAGUCAAGAGACUUACAUGGGACAUGUAGAGUGAUGAUAUGUAAGCCAAAUGAUGCAUGAAGCCCCAAAAGCUUAGCUCAAAUGAACUCCAAUUUGAAGGAAGCGACAUUCUAGAAGCCUAAGAUGCUUGACUCAAAUCCUCCAAAGUUGGUGUUUUUUAUGAUGUUUGAUGCUUGAAUGUUGGUCACAAGAUGUUUUGAAGUGAUUUUGUGGUGAUUUUGGGGGGGUUUAAAUGGUGCAAAAUGGAGAUUUGAUGAAGUGGGUUUGUGGUUUAGGAACUUGGUUAUAAAAGGGGAAGAAGAAAAUGAAGUAAAAGAGCCAUUUUUGCUUCUUAAAAUCGUUGCCCAACCAGAAACCGUGCGCGAUUUUUCUGUGGUUUGUGCUGUGGAUUGUGGGCAAUGCAUUUGGAGAAGAAUUUUGGUUGCCCUGGCAUAUCCCUCGAGGGUUUCUCCAAGGGAUUGUGACCAGAAUCUCGAAAUUAACACUUUUAUCUAACAUUUAGAAAAAUAUCCUCCAAAUCAACUUCGUCUUGUUUAAACAAGAUCGUUUCAACACUUAACAAUACAAACACACUUCAUUCACCAUAUUUUGAACUCAAAUCACACACAUACAUGCAUUAUACACUACAAUUAACAUCAAAUACUCAAAAUGCAUGCCAUGCCUAAAAUGCAUAAUAUAAGCAUGAAAACUCCCUUUAUGACUUAUCUAAGAGGAAAGGCGUAAUUUUGACCAUAUUUACAACCUUGUUGAUGUUGCGACCUACAAAAUACAUAAAAUACAAAUUACACUAUAUAAACAUGAAAAACGCCAAAAACACAAGAAAAAUACUAAAUCAUUGGGUUGCCUCCCAACAAGCGCUUUGGUUAAAGUCAUUAAGCUCGACUUUAUUUCCUCCUUAUCAAAGAGUAAUCCACCAACUCAGGUCAUGGUGAAUCUACAAAGGGUGGGGCGUGUAUAUAAAAACAAUCUAUACCUCAAGUUUUAAAUUUGUAACUUUCUAAAUACCCCACACACAACUGCAAGUAUACAGGUCAUGUUUGAGUAUAGAAUAUUAAGGGUCGAUCCCAUAAGGAAGAUUGAUCAAUUACCGAUGCUAUUCGAACUCCUUUAUUAUUUACACGCUCAUAAAUGCAAGUCAAGUAAAUCUAAGCUACAAACAUAAGAAAAUAUGAAGUGAAAACUACAAUAGAAAGCUCUUAGGGAAUGGAAUUCCUAACCACUCUCAGUUACUUGGGUAAUUGAACACUACUCUCGGGUAAUUGAACAAUACUACCUCAGUUAGUUAUGGCAUAAUUUCCUUAUGUAUGUGAAACCUACUAUCGUAGUGAAUCAACUAUACUUAUAACUAAUCCAAAUCUAAUCUUGUGGUUAUGAAAUUAGCUAUAAGUUCAUGAACUUCUAUGAAAUUACUAUAAAACAAGCCACAAAGGUGUACAUCUACUUUCGUGAGUGUACUACCUAACCUUAGCACUUCGUUGAACUAAUAUUGAAUUACAACUAUCAUUGGUAAACCCGUAUCUUCAAAUAAUCACAACUAAUGGCCAGUUAAUCAUGAUCAUAAGAACAAAAGUGCUAAAUAACUAAUUCAAAGCAAUAGCAUCAUCCUCCCAAGUAAAUUUCACAAACAAAUCAUAGCAAGUUCAUCCAACCCAAGGCAUGAAACUUUAGCUAAACAUAAAGCAAAUGAAAAUACAAUCCAAUCUUGUAUUAAAACUAACAAAGGAAUCAAAUACAAGAGUUCAAGUGUUAAGAGAGAUCAAACCCUUGUCACUAGAGCUCAACUUCUCCAUUUUCAUCUCUCUUUGCUUCCUUGUUGAGCUAAUACAAGAGUUGAAGAACAACCCACUAAUUCUAAACUAAUCCUACACUAAUCAAACCUAGACUAGAAAAGCUGAGGAUUUCUAGUUUUAGAUCUACAUUUUGAUGGUGUUUUUCUCCCCCUUUUUCUCUACAAAAUUCGUCCAAGAGGAGUCCCUUUUAUAGGGAAAAGGAAAGGCUCAAUUAUUGUGCAAGUUGCACAAGUUAUGCUGCUAUUCUGAAGGAUUGCUCCCUGUUUCUGCUGAAUUAGCCCUUAUGCAAAGUACAAAAGUUGUAGCCCUUUGAGAUAGAUUUUCAAUGGCUCAAGAAUCAAGUCAUUUCGAGAACUGUGGACUGAGUUAUGGCCAAAAUACUAAUGACUAGUCAGAAAGCAUUGUUGAAGAAAAGUGCUUUAGUAAUUUGGACUUUUGGCCAUGAAAAUGUAAGAACUGGAUUUUGGUGCCUUCAUAAGAAUUGUAGUCCUUCCUCUUAGCUUUAAAAUGGUUUAAGAAGCAUCUCAAUCCAAGAUUUGUAGCUCAAGUAAUAGCCAAUGUACCAAAAUGCAUCAUUGCUGCCAAUGCUUUUCUUCUUGUUUCUUGCUUGCAUUUCAUCUUUUGGUCCUUCAUGUCACAUGAUUUCCACUUCAAAUCAUCAAAAAUCAUGCAAGUAUCUUCUCACUUCCCUUCAAGUGAUGAUUGAAUUAUCAAAACCUAUUAAAAAAAACAUGAAAUUUGAGCACUUAAAUCCAUAGAAAUGCAAAUUUUCUUACUUAACCACAAAAUGCAAAACUUAACUAAAAACCUAAUUAUUUGACUCAAAUUUAAAUGAAAACACACUAAAAUACACAAAUAUGCAAAACAAGCACUUAUCACACCCCUCACACUUAAAUCAUUGCUUGUUCUCAAGCAAUGGACAAAAAUAAACCAAAGCUAAUGAUCCAAAGUAGUGGAAUUGCACACAAUAGAGACUCAUAUGUUAAGGUACAAAAGAAAUGAUCAUUGUGUGAACUUCGAAUCCCAAUUCUAGUACUCGAUAAUAUAUAUCAGACAAAGGAAAGCUUAACAUACCAUCAUUUGAUUAAGUCUAAUACCAUGUAUAUAUCAUCCCUAAUCUAAUCAUGCUUGUCAUGCAACUAGCAUAAUCAACAAAUGCAAAGACUAAACUUGUAACCUUCCCUUAGAACUAAAGCCAACAAGGACAAGAACUAAGAAAAUUUUCACAAUUUGAUCACACAUUUUGCUCUUUUUAUUUUUUUUUCUUUUUUUCUUUUUCUUGCUCUUAUUAAGCUUUACUCAAGUAGUGAGCUUGUUUUUUGAUGCGAAAGCAAACAUUGGUAGAUGAAUGCCCCCGGUUACUCGAUCAAGUCACAAACUCUCGCUACAUUACAUACUCUUAAUUCUAGUAUCGUUUUACGCAAAAGUCGACAUUUUUAAAUGAAGACCCCCGAUUACUAAGUAUUUCGAAUCAUUGGAGUAGAUUUUGUAUGAUCAAUAAUCAAGCAAUCUUUCUCUUUUUCUCUUUUGUGAAAGACAAAACCAACAUUACUUGAUCCUUGCAAAAACUAGAAUGAAGGGGAAAAUCACAAGAAAAGCUUCACAUUCAUCAAUCACACCAAUCACACUAUUAACACAAACAUACUAAGAAUAAUAUUGUAGACACCAAAUUUUUAAAUAAUUUUUUUUUAUCCUAAUUUUUUUUUGGUUGUUUUAGUAAUAAUUCUUAUCUAUUUUUUAUUUGUUAAUUUCAUAAUUUUAGUUUUAGACUUUUAGUAUUUUUAGAUUAUUAUUGUCUAUUAUUUUUAUUUUUAUUUUGUAUUCGUUUUCGCCCUUUUAGCUAUUUAUUUUUUAUUGUAAGACUUUUUAGCAUAAAAUUUGUCAAAAAGAGCAAAUUAUUCAUAAAAAUAUGUUUUAUUUCCUUUUUACUAUUUAUUAAUCGGGAAAAAGAGAAAAAGAGAGGAAAAAUCAUUAAUCCAACACAGGAAAAAUCUUAGCUUUUUGUUUUAUUUUUUGUUACUAGUUUUGUACAUUUUAUUUAAGUUUUAUUUUGUAUUAUUGUUGUUUAAUUAAGUGAAAAAAAAAAAGAAGAAGCCGCGCAUGCAGCAGCGUGGGAAAUGAUAUCAUUUUCAUGGGUGAUUUUUCUGAUGAAUUGGAUGGCUGAGGAUAUGGGGAGGAACCAACCCUUCAUCCUCACCUUUGAGGUUAUGAUUUAGGGGUUAUGGUUUCCCUAUAAAAGGAAAGAAAGACGGCAAGAAACAGGGAGAGGAUAGUUGGCGGCUGGGUAGGAAAAGCUAGGGAAAUCGGAUAACAGUCAGCGGGGGAGUGAGGUUUACGAAAAAAAAGCAGAGGAAGAGAACGACGGAGGGAGUAACAAGCGAAAGAAAAGAGAAGGAAAUCUGGAAGGGGGUGAUGAGCGGAAGUCUGGGAGAAAAAGCGAGUGACGGCUGAAACAGAGGGCAGGGGGAGAGUGAAAAGGGUGAGCGAGAGAGCGAAGAAGAAGGGGAAGGCGUCGGGAGUUGGAGGUAGAUCGAGAGCUGGAAGAAUAGAAAGAGAAACGGCGGCUGGAAAAGGAAAAGGAAAAACUGAGCGAGAGAGAAGCAGAGAAGAAAAGCAAAAAGGGUUGGCUGAGGAACCGAGAAAUUCGAGGAAGAACAAGGGAAAGAGGAGAUCCAAGGCUGAGAACGUAGUUUCUGGUUUCUUCAUCGGAGUCGAACCCAAGCUGAAGCCUCAGAUCCAAAGGCGGUGAACAGUAAAUCAUGUAUGAGACCGCUGCGUUUAAAACAGCAAUCAGUGGUAACGCAGACCUGCUGCCCUUUGUUCGUGCUGCCUCUAUUUUAUUUCCUAUUGUUCGUUAGUUUGCUUAAGUAGCUGUUUUUUUCUUACACCUUUGUGGAGUCUUGCUCAAUAGUUUUGUUGUGAAGGAUUUUUGGGGUUUGGUUGACAUUAAGAGGGUUUGGAGUUGUUGAAGCUGUCAGUUUUUGGGUUUGUUUAUCUUGUUUUGGGUCUGUUUUCUCGCAAAUUUGGUUGAAGUUUUUAGCAAACGAUUCUGGCACUUCAUUGUGGUUUUCCUUUUCUUAUUUUCCUCUUGUCCCUGGUUGUUGCAUUUCAAACUGAAUUGUUGAAUCCGUGGGGUUUGCUAUGGUGAGUAUGUAGUUUGUGUCUAGUUUAAAGCUAUGUGAAUUUGAAAGCAAGCUACGUUCAGAUUUUUGUUUUGGCCACUGAAAGCCUAAGAGCAAAGAGUUGCGGAAGCAACAUUGACUGGAAAUUGCAGAAAAAUAAGCUUCUUCGUAACUUUGCAUAAACUCUGUUAGAAAGUUUUUCCAGAAUUGCAUAUUUACAAUCUAAGUUUUGUCUUGUUGGAUGAGUUUGAUGUUUCAUUGCUUAAGGCCGAGAUUUUGACGUCUGUUUGAGAUUAUAUGCUAAGGGAAAGCUUACCAGGAAACUUAGAAAGUUGGUUUUUCUUUUUCGGCCGCAGCAUGUGCUUCCCAUUUGGUUAUUCAUUUGAUUUUAAUGGUUUGUUGUUCAUGAUUGGUUUGUGUUAAUCAAGGUGUUUAGUUGUCCAAGGAUGUUGAGUGAUGUUUUUCACUAGCUCUUGUUUGAAGUCUUGCAUGAAGCUUGUGUUUGAAAGCUUGAGAUUGCUGGAGAAAGCUUCCUAAGCUGCCGAACGCCAUUCUGUUGCAGAAAACUUGUCUUCUCGUGGCUUUGCAUGUUUUGCAUGCAAAAAAAUAGCUUUUAAAAUUGCAUUUUACUCCCCCUUAAUUUCUAGCAAUACUACAAAAGCCCAAUCAUGCUCUAAUUUCCUGCAAUUAGGUCCUAAAGUAAUUGCAAUUUCAAUCAUUAUUUGACCUUUUCAUUGCUCUUGGACCCUUGAAGUUCCUAAAAAUGUUUUAUUUGGGCUUGAAUGCUUGGUUAAUAUUUGCAAUUGGGUCCUUGGUAGUUUUUUUCUAUUUUUUAAAAAUUUGAUCAAUAAUUUACUUUCUUGAAAAUUAUGUAUUAUUUGAUUUCAUUUAAGUUGCAAUUGGGAGGGAUUUGAUGAUUUUGUUUAUACUUUACUAUUUAAUUGGUGCCUUGACCCUUUUAUUGUUUUGAAGCUAUUUUUCCUUCAUUUGAUCACCAUUGCAAGGGAGGUACACUCUAUCCCUUAUUUUUUACGUUAUUUGACCCUAUGUAUCUAUGUGAUUCAUGUGCUUGAUUGCAUGCCUUUCGAAUGUUUUCAUUCUAUUUAUUUAUUCGCUUUAGUCGUCUUAAUUUCGUUUAUUUAUUUUAGCUUCAUUUUGGUUAUUUAAAAGGCAUUUGAAUGCCAAGUUGUAAUAGUUAGGUUUAUUUUAUUUUAUUUAUUUAUUUUCAUUUCCCUCCUUAGAUUGUAGUAGGCUUCCCCCCGAAUGUAAUAGUUAGAGCUUUAUUUGCUUUAUUUGCCUUAUGUGUGUUUUUGCAUGCUUACGUGCUAUGUGUUACCGCUUUAUUAGGGUCUUGCAUCUAGAUAUCAUGACUAUGUGUUAUGUGACAUUAUGUGUUUACUCGCUUUAUUACGUUUUUAUGAGAUUAUAAUUAAUGUGUGACGUUAUCACACUAGUCCAACGCUAGUUGUGAUCCAUUUUUCGAUACCACACUGGUCCAACGCUAGUUGUGGUCUUCCUUGUUCGAUUUCUCACUAGUCCAAUGCUAGUGAGAAAGUAGAAAUAUGGGCUAGUCCAACGCUAGACCCUUAGGAGCCCUUUGCGCGUUAGAUCAUGAUUGUGUGACAAAAAACACUUCAUCUCAUGCAUAUCUUUACUUUCUAGGGCCUCUUUUACCAUGUUGCAUGACACUUUUCUUAUAUAUGUAUACCCCUUUCCCCAUAUUCCCCUUUAUGUAUGUAUAUUCCUUACUCCUAUGUGUGAUACAUAACAUUAGAUUGGCAUUUCAUUUAAAAGUUAGGGGUAGGUUAGUACAUUUUGCUUGAUUAGAUUAGGGAUAACCCCUUGGAUAUGGGAUAUGGACGAGUUUGGCUUUCUAGCCUUGGCACGCUCGUAUUCCCUCUAUUAAAAGGGAAAAUUGAGUCACGAACAUUAGUCACCCGUAUCCGACAUGAUGCAUUCCUUUAAGACACGUAUAUUUCUAUAAUUAUUUUAUCAUUUUCCUUUUCUUAGAGUCUCAUAUUUUUGCAUUAUUCGUGACUUCUCCAAAGGAUCAUUAUUGGGCAUCACAAUUAAUGUGAUUGGCACCAUUCAAGCUUUGAAGAGAAAUUUUGCCCCCCGAUAUCCCCCUAGGUCUAGGGUUUGCAUUCAUAUAGUACAUCCAAAUGUGAUAAAUCUUUAGGUUAAAAUAAGAAAAUCUUUGACUAAAUCGCGCAACUAGCCUUGGCUAGGUUGAAAGGGUGCAUUGGAUUCUUAUCCUUGCCUUCCCUUUCUUCAAAUGUGACUCCCGAAUCUUUUUCUCUAAUUUUCGUAGACUUGGAGUCGUUUAAAAAGGGUUUUCUACUUUUUUUUUCUUUAAAAAUUCAUUUUUUAGGUGAUUUGGUACACCUUAACUCUAUACCAAGUGGCGACUCCAUUUUUCAUUCGAAAAACCCUUUUUAAACUAUAUUUUGGGUCAAAUCGUCGCAUUUUCAAGUCCCAUUUAGACCUAUGUUUUUCAUUUUCUUUUUAAAUCAAAAAUUCAUUUUCAAUCAAAAAAUUGAAUCAAAAUUCAUUUUCCUAAACUUAUUAUUCAUUAUUUUUCUUAAAAAAUGGGGCGCGACAAAUAUUCUUCAUGAAUUUAAAGAAAUUUUGACAUGAUAAACUCCACUUUAUAAGAUAUUACUUUUCCUAAAAUUAGAAGUCUAGACUCACAUAACAAUCUCAAAGUCCUUUCAUACAAGGUUAUGUCAAAAAGUAUGAAAGCAUCAAUUAAAAUUUAAACUUCCUUCCCCCGCACUUAAAUUUGACAUUAUACUCAAUAAGAAAGUUUGACAAAAAAAAAAAGAAAUGAGAUAAAAAGAAUUAGAAAUGAUUCUCCUUAUGUACUUUUGACAUGAUUCGACUAAAACACAACCACAAAACACUAUUAGCAACAAAUUUUUUGAAAAAUUUUGGACAGAGUUUCCUCUUAUAACUGGAUGAAACUCCCUGCCAACAAUCUCAAAUUUCAACAAUUUACACAUACCAACAUCACCAUCUAUCCAAAUUUUCAACAAAUACAUCAAUUUCUGCAUGAAUACCAAGGAAUGAAUCCAAUUUCAACCAUUCACCCCCAUACUUCAAUUAUACAAUAUCCUCAAUGUGAAAAGGUAAAGGGAAAGAAAAAGGAAUACUCCCCUAGCGUAAUAGGUGAUUUGUUGUGGUUGCACACCAAAUCUCUAUUGAAAGCACUGCUUUUGUCUUUAUUCUUCAAACCUAUAAAAUAGAGACAAACACACUUAAAACACACUAAAGACAUGAAACUAAAAAUACUGUUGGAUUGCCUCCCAACAAGUGCUUGUUUAUAGUCAUUAGCUUGACUAUUUGACUUCAUUUUUCAAGGAGAUUUUGUUAAAGAAUAAUCCACCAUUUUAGGUUAUGGUGGAUCAUUAAAAGUUGACUCGAUUACAUAAGUCAUAUAUCUAAAUGAGAGUAAAAAUGGAAGUGACUUACCAAUCUCAAGUGACUCAUAGAUAUUACCUUGGAUGUGCAUUAUUUGAGUACUCACCAAAGGAGAUGCCAUGAGGGUUUCUUGAGCAAUAAUAUGUUUAGAACCUAUACUUUCAACAUGCUCCUCAAGAGGGGUUAACAAUGAGUCGUUAAAGCUCACUUCUUGAGGUUUGACAUUAGCUCCAAAGGUACUAUCAUGUAAAAUGGAUAUGUUCUCUUUGAAAUUCAAAUUAAAUUCAUGAUUUGGCAUCAAAAUGCAAUCCAUUUUCACUUGCAACAUGCUUACCAUUCAUGCUAGGGUCAUUUUGCAUAUCAUUAGAAGAAAUAAUUUCACACAAAACAUGCAAUUGAUCUUGUAUUUUAUCAAAAUGAGGAGUUAAUUUAUCUAAUCUAUCCUCAAUCCUAGUAAAACGAUCAGAGGUUGCAUUAGCUAACUUUUCUAUAGCUAAAUCAAAUUGAUUAGAAAAUUUUUCUAUGGCUAACUCCUAAAAUAGAUUAGAAUCAUUAGCUAAUGGCUCACUUUCUAAUUGCCAAGGUAAAGGUGCAUUAGCUAAUCUUUCUAUUGAUAAUUUCCAAGAUGACUUAGAUUCAUAUUGGACAAAUUCGAAUUGGUAAUCAUAAAAACAUGAAGAAUUACUAUAUGCACAUUGAUUAUCCCAACCAUAAGUAUAAGAAUUACUCCAAUUAGAUCCAUUUUGAUCAAAAUAAGGAUUGUAAUACCCCAAUUCAUUAUAAUAACGUUCAUUUUGUGCUUGCCUACAUAUAUGAGUAGUAUGAUAACCUCCACACAAGUCACAAAUCUCAUGAUAAGAAUUGAAAGCAUUAAAAUUCCUCUUUUGUUCAAGCAUAUUUGUAAUGGUAUUCAAUUGAACUUUUAAUGUUAUAAAAUCGCAUUUAGCCUUUAAGCACCUCAAGCCAUCAUCAAAUAACAUAUUUUCAGUAAUUUCUUGGUUACCUUUAUCCAUGGAACUUUGCAUGUAGUAACCAUUCAUUACCGAACUUCCACUCUUCAUGCAUUGUUUUUCAAAUCGACCUACCCUCCUCAUUACCUAAAAUUAUUUUUAAACAACUUAAGAGCAAGAUUAGUAAGAAAAAUAGGUCAUAAAACACAUACACACAUUAAAUACAAAAAUAAUAGAAAAUAAAAUUCAAGACUAACUCGACAAACACACAACAAACUAGACUCAAUUAAUAAACAAGAAAAACUAUUAAAAUGUCUAAACUAAUAAAGUUACUCUUCAUGCCGAUAUUGCCACAAAUCUUCCCCAACAACGGCACCAAAAACUUGACGAGCACAAGAAAUACAUAUCAUAAUAAUGCUCAUUCCACAGUUAAGUUUUACAUUUACAACAUCCUAAAUACCCCACACGUGAUUUUCCGCAAGUAUACGAGUCGAGAGCAAGUAUAGGGUAUUAAGGGACGAUCUCUCAAGGAAGACGAGCAAGUACUGGCACUACUAAAAUUUCUCUAUUAUUUAGACUAUCAACGAAUUAAAACAAAUAAACUAAGAUAUAAAUGGAUAGAUAAAUGCAAAUAAAAGCUCAUUGGCUAAUGGAAUCCCUACCUAUUCAUGCUAGUGCAACUCCCUAACCAAAUGAGUACCAAAAUCUCGGCUAAGUUAUGGCUUAAUUUCCUAAUAUACGUGAUACCUACUUUCGUCGGUGUACCAACUAUACCUAUAGUUAAUUCAUACCUACUUUCAUGGUCAUGAAAUCAACUACAAGUUCAUUUAGUUCUACGAAAAUUACAUGGAACAAAGCCAUAAAAGUCACAAAAGUGUAUCUCUACAUUCGUGAGUGUACACCCUAGGUUUAACAUUUCUAUGAACUAGUGUCAAAUUCUAAUUCUCAUUACAGAUCUAACACUUUUAGAUAAUCAUAAUCAAUGGCCAGUUAAUCAUGAUUACAAGAGGAAAAGUGCUAAGUAACCCAAACAAGAUAAUAGCAUCAAUUGACCAAGAAAUCAACACCAAACAAUCAUAGAAAGUUCAACCAAAUACCCAAUGCAUACACUUUAAAAUGACAUUACAAACACAAAAUCCAAAUCUUGCAUUAACAAACUUAGAGUUCAAUACAAAGAUAAAGAUGUGAAAAAAAGAAAACCCUUGUCACUAGAUGAUAGAGCGAUUUUUGAGCACAUUUUACACUAUUAUUCUGUCCUAAUUUUGGCUACUCAUGGUGCUUAGAAUUGAUAUUUUGCUCAUAUUUGACAUUUGUGUAAAGUGUAGGUGGUUGGUGUAAAAAAAGUGCCAUCGCAGAGCAAAUUUCCAGAAGACUUUUUGUCUCAGGACGUGCCCACGCCAGAGACCGAAAGAGGUACGUCAAGGACGGACACGCGGGAUGGGUAAAACGAGAAAAACAUCAGGAAACCAAAGAGGGUCCACGUGGACCAGAUGCAUGGGAUCAGACCCUUUAGACAAAGCUUUGCUCCAGACGUUUCUUUUACUCUCUUUUGGGCGGCGGCCAUUGAAGAUGUAAGGGGGCCAGAUUCACGUGCAAUGGGAACUUUUAACAUUAGAUUAGCUUUUGGCUUUUGGGGUGUCAGACGUUAGCUUUCUCUUGGGCAGCAAUUACAAUAGGUUUUAGAUUAGCUUUUCGUUUCGCCUAGUCUAAGGGGAAGGGGAGGGGGUUCGAUGUGAGUACAGACUCCAUCGAUGAAAGUCAAUUAAGACCGCCACAAAUUGUGGCAAAUUUGUGGGAGGUAAGGAUUGAACCCCUGACCUCCAGCAUCACCUUUAAUGGUGAUGACCACUGGACCAAAUGGCCAGUGGCAUAUUGCUUCUUGGCUCUGUACAAUUGAUUCCCUUUUUGGCUUUUCACUUUUGACUCUUCUAAAUUCCGUGAGAUUUCUUUUAUGCUUGCGGCUCCAGCGCAGACACAAAAUAAGAAAAAGGAAUUAAGGGACAUCCGCAGCACUGUUCCUUCAUUGUUUCACUUUUCCAAUUCAUCGGCAAUUAAUUGAAUGAAUUCAGUUAAAUCACGCGAAAGUGACAUGAUGAGGAGCGGCUAGGUUUCUCCUCUACCCAAAGGUUGACGCAAGGGCGCGGUCUAUAAUAUCUGUGAGAUCUAAUCGAAUUUUUAUUAUUUCUUCCAAUUUGUUGCUAUUCGUGCAUUUCCUAGAUUAAUUGUUCAUGGGUAUUUUAUUAAUUGAAUAUCAACGGCCGGGUAUUUGAUCUAAUAUAAUAGCCUACUGCCACGUUAAUUAAAUUGAAUCUGUAAUUGUUCGUUUAGUUGACAACUAGUGGCAACCACCAUAAUUGGCUUUAUGUUGGGGAAACGUGAGAUCUGAUUUAAACAAACCCUCUUAGCGAGUUUAUUGGUUAGGGUUGGGUUCUUCUAGUUUUACUGCAACCGGAUAAUUAAAUUCCUACGGUCGUACCUAGGGUUGUUUUCUAGUUAGGGAAGCAAUCAAUGGUCGUACCUUGACUGUCGAAAAAGUAAGGAAGAACCGGUUGUCAGAGCUUGUUGAUAACUAUAACCAAUCUAGUGAUGAAUGGAUGAAAUAUCUGUGCAUCGAUGAUCAUUUAAUUGGACUGUGCCUGAGCAGUUGAUCCUUUGGGUAGAAUUUUAUUAAUUGCUAUUUUUACUAAAUUGAACUUGUUGAGUUAGCUAUUGAAUUUUAUUUAUUUUAUUUUUAUUUUCAUCCCAUUAAUUAUCCCUCUCUUUUAUUCUAUUGACGUGGAAAAAAACAACCUCCUACCCGUUCCCUGUGGAAUCGACCCUACUUGCCAUUGUAUGCAAAUUUAAUAUUUUUAUAAACAAUUCAGGUAUAUCGGAUUAAACAAACUCUUCGGGAAUAUGGUGAAUCAAGUAACCCAUUGCAUACCUAGGGUCCCUGCUCUAGUACUUGGAUUUGUUCUAUAAUUUACUGCGGUGGUAAUUAGGACUUUUUAGUGAUUAUUAUUGCACAGAUUCGGCACCUGUCACUAGAACUUCUUGAACCUCUCCUUCUUCAUCUCCCUUGGCCUCCUUGUUGAGCCAAUACAAGAAUGAAUAACCACAACUAGAUUAUACUACACUAACCUCCACUAACAUAAGAGAAAAUAAAGAGAGUUACAUUUGUUAAUGGUUUGUGUCUUUCCUUAAAGGGUAAGACACAACCCUUUGGUUGUUCUUCUUCUUUCUCCAAACUCUCUCUCCUCUCUUAAGCUAAUUUGAACUCACUACACCCUCAAACUAGAAGAACUAUGUAGUAUAUAUUCUUGGUCUUCAAGAUCCAAUCUCUCUCCUCAAUAAUGUGUUUCUUUGUUGUUAAGAGUCAACAAAAGAAGGGCAAAAAGUCCCAGUGGCCCUCAAACUAUUACCCGGAUGAAGUUUUGGCCCUCAAACAAUUAAAAAACAAUUAAAAGUAAAGUUUUGGCCCCCGAUCUAUUCAAAGUACAAAUUGUUAGACCUUCUGUCAAAUUCAUCUGUUAAUACCGACGGAAUCUACGACCACGUGAGAAGCACGCCGAAAUACGAAGGGCAUUUUUGUUCAUAAAGAGCUGUCAUCAAGUCAAAGAAAGGAAGGUCGGUGGGGCUUGAGGGGACAGCUCUGAGCUUGCCCUCCCAGAAAACGAAACGAGGGGCUUUGGGAUCUCCCAGUACCAAAUCAUCCUUGAGGCUGCUAUCCACGACCAGGGUCAGCAUUGGGUCGGAGGGCUGGAAACUGUUGGGACCCUCUUCCCAUAGAUAUCCGUCCCUCUCCACCGUGGUAAUGUUGCCGCCCACUCGUUCUCUGGCCUCCGUCACGAGCACAUUGUUACCAGACAGGGCCUGGGCUAUGGUGAGGCCGGUUAUACCGGCUCUUGUGGCUGCAAUUGAGUUUUUCUUUGUUCAAGUUCAGGAAGAAGUCCCAUUUCACCAAGUGGAUGACAGCUCUUUAUGGACAAAAAUGCCCUUCGUAUUUCGGCGUGCUUCUCAUGUGGUCGUAGAUUCCGUCGGUAUUAACUGAUGAAUUUGACAGAAGGUCUAACAAUUUGUACUUUGAAUAGAUCGGGGGCCAAAACUUUACUUUUAAUUGUUUGGGGGCCAAAACUUCAUCCGGAUAAUAGUUUGAGGGCCACUGGGACUUUUUGCCCACAAAAGAAACUCCUAGAUCCUCCAAAAAUUGGUACAAAUUGUCCUUUUAUGUCUUGUCCAAGAAAAAGAAAGAAGCAAGAAGCAUGCAAGUUGGCAACUUGCAGCUGCCAGGAAUCCCUUGGAUGAAUCCUUGGAGCGAUUCUCCAAGGGAUUGUGCAGAACAACUACGAAAACAACAUUCUAGACACAAUCCGCGGCAGAAACCAUCCACUUAGCACCACUUCAUCUUCUCUCUUUUUGUUUUCUUUCUUCCUUUCCACCACUUCACGUAGCAUUUGUUGUGACUCCUCAAGUUUCAUAUCCUCGCUCAUUUCACAUCCCAUUAAGCUUGAUCAUUUUACCUAUAAAAAACAAAGAAACUUUGCGAGUAAAAUGAUAAAAAUCACAAACAAUUCAUUUAUUAAGUGAAGGUGCAAUUUAGUGACAUUAAAUGGACAAUUCAUACCAAAUAUCUUAACAAUCGACUUAAAAACAAUACGAAACACAUUCAUAAAGAUAGCAAAUUUAACCAUUAUCACAAAUCAAAUAGAUAUGGAUUGGUUUAUUUUAAGUACACUUAAUAAAUUAAUAAAUUAUUAAUUUAUCAAUUAAUUAUUAUCUCUUUAAAUUAAUAUAAAUUGUAUGGUUCCAAAAAUAUUAAUUUAUAGAGGUUUUACUAUAAAUGCUAUGUUAUUGUUAUUAUAUAAAUAUAUUUGUAUGAAUUAAGUAAUAUACUAUGUUGUUAUGAUAAAAUGAUGUAAUAUUUUGAUAAAACUUCAAAAGAAUGAUUAAUAAUAUUAUUACUAGAUCUAUAUAAAUUGAACAAGUUAAAUCAAAUAAAAAAAUAAUAAUGAUAGUGGAGUGGCGUAGGUACACCCACAGAAUAAUGAGUAUCUUUGAGAUUGAAUUCAGUUUAGUUAAUUUGAACUCGAGAGCUUGAUGUUAAUCGAGUUCGAAUCGAGUUUUGACUCAAACUGCUCACGAAUAGCUCGACUCGUGUGUAACCUACCCUUGCCGCAAAGUCAGUGGCCAGCUGACGAUGCAAGUGGCGCUGGUUUCUUGAAAGAACCAUUCGUAUUGUUCCUUGUUUGGCUCGUUCAGCUUCUUUAGUUUUUCUUCUUUGCAAGAUCCAAUAAUGCCAAAAACUCCUUAGCAACGUGUUCUGCAUCAAUCCCUCCCACAUUUAAUGAACCUGCUCUCCAGCUGUAGUUGUUUACAAAAUCUUAAUAUAGCUUCACAUUGGAAGGAUCACACAAAAAAAAGAUCUGCCGCAUUGAAAGUCCGCCAAAUACCUAAAGAUUCAGGGAAAUCCGCCAAAUAAGCAUUGGGAUUGGACCUUUACUAAAUUUUCUAACGUCCAUACUCCUUUGCAGUAACUUGCGGAAUAACCAUCAAGUUAAAUUUUGUAAUUGACCACCAUUUCUUACUUUUAUUGAGCAUCGGCCACGAGUGGUGCUCCUUUUCCGACACCUGCUUUACAUGCAGAAACCAAUGAUCUAUCAAACCAGACGGACUGACGUCUCUAUCCACCGCUUCAACUGGUUUUCAUGCAAGAAAGAGGAAGACACAGUGCACAAAAUUACAAGAUUCGCAUUCAAUUCAGUGGAGUUUGCUUUCGUCCUCCACCAACUGACCCCACCUGCUUCUCUCUUUCCUCUCUCUCUCUCACAAUUUAUAUCAUUGUUAUGGGAUCCAUCAUCGCUCAAUUACUACUUCUAGUAUGAAUCAGUGAAGUCCACUGAUCGCCACCCAACUCAGCAGCUAUGCUCUGCUCUAGACCUCCACUGUCUGGCCCAGCGAAGCAAACUCCUCAAAUUUCAUUCACUAGGAUCAACCGCCCUGAAAAUGAUUGAACUCCAUUGAAGUCUGUGCAGUUGACUUGACUUUCUUCUUCUUCUUCUUCUUGUCCCCUCUUCCUACUUCUGCUUACUGAUUUAAUUCUGUGGUAAUUCAGGGGGAUCAAUAUGAUGGAUAAAUGAGUACACGAGCUUUGAGUUACUGCUCAUUCAUUUUGUUACGGAUCUGCUGCUUCUUUUGAUUCUGAUAUUCAUUUUGGAAAGGGGUAUGUGAAUCUAUAAAUUUCCGUGUACACAUGCAAUUAAGUGCGUGCAUUGCGUCUAAUUAUUUGCGGAAUGAUUGAAACGUCAAUGAACUGAAGGUUUUGAUGACCUUGAAUGUUCAUCCUUGCUUUUGCUUGCUAUAAAAGACUCGUCCAGGAAGAAUAGAUUGAAAUUCUGAAGAAUUAUUAUUAGGAGUUUAAAAAAUUUUAAAAAAAAGGCAAAAAUAUUAAAAAAAAAAAAAAAAGAAAGAGGGAGAAAAGCUUAUGACAUAAGUUAUUGAAGGUGGGUUCCCAUGCAAAAGGAGAAGGAAAUGGAAAAUAUGAGGCAAUCAAGGUCGAAAUUUGUGUCCGAUUAUUUUGACUAUUGAAUCACCAUUCUACGUUUCCGAGUGUGAUUGAAAGUCAUGACUUAGUAUUGCCCUGUAACUGAAUUGAUCCCAGGGAAAAUGUGGGGAAAUAAAUAGAGAGAAAAAAUUAAGAUACGUUUAGAUCAUUUACUCAAAGCCAUAUUGGUGAUUUGGAAUUAAGGAAAGUUUGUCUUUCGACUUCAACAUUCCUUUUUGAGUGUUGUUUGGAGUUUGGACCACAAAAGAGGAAAAAAUAAAAGAAGAAGGAUUAUCCUUUUUCAAACUUAAUGUCAUUUGGAUAACAAUUAACAAAAUCUCUCUAUGGGUUUCAAAUUCCAAAGAUUGGAUUUAACCAUUUUAAUUUAAGCUAACACCGUCAAACAGGAGUUUCAAAUUGACAUUUCUGAAUAUAAUAGAUCCUCGAUUAUUCAACGGUUUCACUAUUACUAUGUAUUCCAGUUCCGACUAUUACUAUGUAUUCCAGUGGAACUCGACUUAUUUAAAGGUCUUGGUCUCGAGGUCACAAGUAUUAGCUGAAAUUGCAGUACCCUAACUAGUAUGUACAUCGCCCCUGUCAAAUGUAGAUAUCUGUAGCCAAGACGCCUGUCUCUGGACUUAGAAAGUGAUUAUUUGCAAUAAAUUGAAACUUUAAACUCAUGGACUGGCCUGUCCUUCUAAUUUGACCACAGGUUUGUUGAGUGAUCAUGAAGAGGAAGUGAUUGGAUAAAGCACUCAUCCACUUGAUCCAUAUCGUAAGCACUAACCAAUUCCCAUCUAUGAACUUCAUGCUCUCUGUUUUCCCGUUUAUUUGGCUGUAACUUCUACUUAAUUGGAAGUUCAGUUGACAUGUCUAUGUUAUGUCAUUUGACAGCCUUUGAGGCAUAUUGGUGGAGUUCUUGGCAUGCUGUGGAACGCUUAAGAAUUAAGGAUGGAGCCAUUACCAUGCAUGUAGUAGAUAAUGGGGAGGUGAUCGAGGAGAUGAUUUCAAUGUCAAAUCUCCGAAUGAGGUCAAGGAAAGCCACAAUUAAUGACUGCUCAUGCAUCCUGAGACCCGGCCUUGAUGUAUGUGUUCUGACUACUUCAUCCGAUACAAAAGACUCGAGUGAAGACUCGCCUGUGAGUUUUUCGAUGUCCGAUUUUUCUCGAGCUUGGAUAUUGUUCGUUUGUGACCAAGAAUUUUAUGCACCAGGCUGUAGGAUUUAGUUCAGUUUUGCCCCUUCAAUUUACACAGUUCACAUUGAAAUACUUCAUCCAUUUUCUCUCCCAAUUUGUCUCUUUGACCAAACAAAACAUUCUCUUUACAUUCGACUGAAAUAGUUCCUGAAACAGGAUAUGAAAACUGCAGACCUAACUGGCAAUGAGAAAAUGAAGGCUAGCGCAAGUGUCAGGCAUAUUGUCCUGCCUUGCUCUACUUCAGCGAGAGCCCAGCUUAUUCCUGACAUUAUUCGUUGCUAUGGCAAAGGAGGUCAAACUAUUAUUUUUACACGAGCUUUCACGAAGAAUGAAAUUUAAACAAAAAAAUUAAGUUGAUCAACAAUCAUUUCUUAAGAGCAUGACAUUAUUCCUGUGUCUAUUGUAAAAAGAUCUAUUUUCAAAGUAUUUGAGUUCUGUAUCCUUUCUGCUGAUUUUGGUAUUUAACUAAAUUGCUCUAACUCACAUAUUCCUUCUAUUGCUUCUGUUUGUUGCCUUCUCAAUAGAUGUGUUGCCAACUUAUUUGCAUACUCUUAUUGUGGUAUAGGUCUGGGCUGAUGCCAGAAUAAGAUCUAUUGAAAGGAAGCCUCAUGGCGCUAUAUGUGCUUGCCAUUUCCAUGUCAGUUUCUAUGUUGGAGAAGAGGCCGCUCUUACGUUGCAGAAAAUACUUAGUAAAGAAACAACAGUGGUGCAAAUUGAUCAGAUUAUGAUUCUUCAGAAACUUGAAUCGGUACCUUCUGAGAAUCAGCAUUACCGAUGGAGAACUUCAGAGGACUGCUCUUCUCUUCUGCUGUACAAACUUUUCACGGGAAAGGUCUGUUCUGACCUGACAUGGCUGGUUGUCGCAUCCGUUGCAAAGCAAGCCAUCUUUGCCGUAAGGUCAGUAGAAGGUCGAAUGGUUUAUGAGGUCCUCGAUGUUGAUUGCAGCACCGAUUCUGGCAGUUAUUCCUAUUGUGUGAAUUUCAAGUUAGACAAUGGAAUAUUGUCCCCCAUCAUUGUCCGGCGUUGGAAAAAGAACCGGAGACGAGAUGCAUACUGAAGCACCACUGUGCCUCUACGAGCCCAUGGACUAGCGUCGGUCAAAGCGCCGCUUUGUGCAGCCUGACCGUUAUUUGGGUUGUGAUGUUCCCGAGUUUGAGGUUGAAUCUCCAAGAAUAAGGGGACGAAAGAUGUGCAGAUGGGAUUAUGAGGAUGAGGAGUGUGAGGAAAUGCCACCAGCACUAUCAAUUCAGGCUGACCACAAAUAUCAGAAGCGUGAUGAAAAUGGAAACAAGGAUUUCUCUUGCAAAAGAAGAUCAGACAAGAAUAUUCGUGUACGUGGAAGUGCAGACAGAUCAACUGUCUCUAAAAAUUGUGAAAGCCCACCAACUCGGGAGAAGAAACAAUCUGACCAAUCACAGCUUGCUUUGGUUUCCUUGUCAAUAUCUUCAGAGGGCAAAUCAAUUCUGCGUGAACUAGACGCUUCAAAUAGUGAAAAUCCUGAAGAUCAUUCUGGAAAUUUUGCUGAUCUGAUUUCCAGAUAUCUUUAUGAAAAUGCUUCCACCGCCAAAGGACGCAAAAAGAAGGCUUCUGAGUUAAACUUCGUGAGGAAGGAGCGUGGAUUCGUGGUACAACGUUUACUCAGAAAAACAUACAAGAGAAAUGCAUUUUGCAUCCGUUCUGAAUGGGAGAGUAUAUACAAUAUGAAGCCUUCUGGAAAGAAAUCAUUUAGUGCUGCUGCAUGCAGAGAAUUGUUGACAAGAUGCAUGGAGAACAUUGACGUAACCAUCAAUAUGGAACAGCCACCAGUUA